rnacentral:lncRNA from 1 species
CACCAUCAUUAGUAGAUCAAAAAACAGCUGCGUUUCAAUUGACCCCUCGUCUCCAUUCAGGUUCUCUCUCACCAUAUCUAUAAUUAUCACCUUCCCAGCUUUCUGCUGUCCCUUACUCAUAAUUGCUUGUCUGCAUCGUCUAAGUAUUUUCACGCAGUCUUCAUCACUCCAGUCAUGCAGUAUCCACUGUUUUUCAUUUGCCAUAAGAUAUGUAGCAUGAAUAAAUGAAGACGUACGGGAAAAAAAAUCCUAAAGGAAAUAGAAAACAUAAGAUGCAUAUAUAUAGAAACUCCGUAGUAUAGAUUUUUGGGUUAGAGAUGAUGUCCAUCUUUGAAUAUAAAUCUUCAUAUGCAUGUGUACGCAGAGGUCAGGAAUGGAAUAGUUUAUAUAUGUGUCAAAACAUAAGCUCAAGGAUGGACGUGUGUAUAUAAGCACCUCUCAAAACAAAAACUAAUAAAAGAUGUUAUAUAUAUAUAUAUAUGCAAAUUUAAUAUAUAGUGUUGGUAGAAGAAUACUGUUGAAAUUAAUUUACCUUGAGUAAAAUUGCUUCUGCUGGAGGAACUGCCUGAAACAUAUCCCCCCCUACAUACUUCAAAUUUUUACAGCCUUGCAAGUCAGAAACCACAUGGGGGAGAUCAAACACAGUGCAGUCCAUGUGAGGAAAUGCUUCAGCGAUGCCCUUGGCCAUAGUUCCAAAGCCUCCCCCGACAUCCACCAAGGAACUCAGCCCCUCAAAGAUGCCUUUACAUUUGCUUACAACCAACUUACUAGCCAGUAUGCUAUCACUAGCCAUGGCUUCAUUAAAGAGAUUUUUGAUUCUUGGAUCUUGGCCAGCGUACUCCCAAAAUGUAUUUUCAUGGGCAACACUAAAUGCGGUGGCUUCAUCAUUUCGGAACCAAGUGCUCAAGCAAUCCCAUGGUUUUGUCAGAACUGAGUCGAGCUCAAAAAGUAAAAGAGGUCUCAUAUUCCAGGGAUUGUCCUUGAGUAGGAGACGAGUGGAUUGGGUAAGGGAAUAGGCUUCUUGGUUGUGAACGCCGUUAAGAUUUUGCUGGGAAAAGAAACCGGAGUGCACGAGAAUACGCAUAAGGCGGUGGACAUAUUGAGCUUUUGAUGGGUGGAUCGGUAGGGCAGAAACAAGCUCCGAGAGGGUCAUGGGUUUGCCAUGUUUUUGGAUCACAUCUGGUAUGCCUAGUUGAACGGCACAUUUCAGAGUCAUGGAGUUUAUGAAGUUGAAUAUAUGAUUCCACACAUGAGUUUGAGCUUGAAGCAGCUCACCAACACUUUCCUCGUUAAUCAACUCCAUUGAUUUCAAGUGGUACAUAUGCUAGUGAAUGUUAUGAUACCUCAAAAUACUAUUUUCUCGUCAUAUUUAUAGGAGUGAAACUUACUGUAACCUCAGAGAACACUACCAGAAAACCGGAGAAAACCAAUGGAAUUACCGACGGCACAAUUCCGUCGGUAAUAAUUACCGACGGACAUAAUUCCGUCUCCAAAUCUGUCGGUAUAUACCAACGGACUAUUUCCGUCGGUAUAUACCGAUCGUUUCGCCGACGGGGUAUACAGUUUGUCUGGAAAUAUGCAACGACGUGGUGACGUCAGACGAUUUUACCGACAGAAUGACCGAGGGAUUCAAACUAAGAUAGCCGUAUAGUGACGUGGCACUGUCACCGACGGAAUUAAUCCGUCGGUGAUUCCAUCGGAAAAAACCAUUAUAUACCAACCCAUCUGCCGACACUCUCUUCCUCUGUUUCUCCUUCUUCUUCUUUCCCAUCCCACCUCUCCCCUCUCAAACUGCAGCCAACCUCCCUCCCAUCCCAACUCUCAACUAUUCUCAACAAGAGCACUCAAGUUAAUUUCUUAUAUCUUGUACGUGGUCACAAUAUCCAUUUCUUGUAGAUUUUAUCAUUUUUUUUGUAAGUAAAUCUAUCCUUUUUAGUUUUAAUAUUUAAUUGUGAAUUUUAUUGUUGUAGUACGUAUAUGUCGUAUUUUGCUAACGUUUGUACUUGUUUAAUUGUUAUUUUUCAAAGAAACUUGUAGUAUGAAUGUAUAAUUUUGUAGUUGUUAUAGUUUGUUUUAGAUUUUGUCAAAUUAUAUUUGUUUGUAAAUUGUUGAAAUUUUGUUUGAAUUACACCGAAUUAAAUGUGUCAUUGUGAUGAAAUAAAUAAUUAAUAGCUUGUUUAACGAGUUUUGUUUAAUUGUUAUCAAUUCUAUUUCGAAGUUGUGAUUUCUGUAAAUUUAUAUAUGUAUAAAUUAAUUUGUAUGUAUGAACGUUGAUAGUUGAUAGUUGAUAAUGAAUAUUUAACAUAAGUGUUGUUUUAGUUUGUUGGAUAAUGUCGGGGAAAACCAAUAUUUUUGUUAUGUUUUAUAGAGGUUCAAUAGAAGUCAUGGAUGUAUCGGGACUCACCCCAAUGAUUGCGGAGGAUGGAUUAUUGUAACGGUGUCCAGGGUUUUAUUAAUUUCGCAACAUCUAUUUCGAGGAAUUUUACUGAUGGCGGUAUUAGGUAUCCAUGAAGGAAGUGUAAAAAUUUAAAGUUUCUGCAUCAAGAUGUUGUAACGAUGCAUCUUUUAACCAAAGGGUUCAUGGAAGAUUACCUGUGUUGGUAUGCUCACGGAGAACUAUUUGUUCCUGAUGAGAGCAUGGAAGAACAGGUGGUUGGGUCAACUUCUAGUGCUAGCAACAUGCAUGAAGUUGGAAAUGAGAACAGUAAUCCUUACAGGAAUAUGGUUAUGGAUGCAAUGAGAAUGAGUGAAGGUAAUGUCAAGGAAUGUUCAAUCGUAGAAGAAAAACCUAAUGCAGAUGCAGCAAGGUUUUUUGAUCUGUUGAGAGAUUCUGACGAACCAUUAUGGGAUGGCUGCACGAACCACAAUAAAUUAUCAGCCGUAGCACAGUGUUCACCAUCAAGUCAGAUCACAGGUUAAGUGAGGCCGGUUAUGACAAGAUUAUUGAAUGGGCGAGAAGCAUUUUACCUGAAGGGAACAGGCUGAAAGAGAACUUCUAUGCUGCCAAGUCAAUGAUGAAACCCCUCGAUUUAGGAUACCAGAAAAUUGAUAUAUGCCCUAACUUCUGCAUGUUAUACUACCUUGAAAAUGCCGAGAUGACCGAGUGCAUGACAUGCGGGCAUUCCCAUUACAAACCCAGAACUGGUAGAGGGAAGACUCUCGUGGCAUAUAAAAAACUUAGAUACUUCCCAAUCACACCUAGACUGCAGAGGUUAUUCAUGUCACCAAGGACUGCUGAGCACAUGACAUGGCACCAAUCACACCAUGCGGUUGAUGGAGUGAUGGUUCAUCCUUCUGACGGUGAAGCCUGGAAACACUUUAACAAUAUGCAUCCUCACUUUUCAGCUGAAUCAAGGAAUGUGCGUCUUGGGUUGUGUACAAACGGAUUCAACCCAUUCGGGUCAUUUGCUGCUCCUUAUUCUUGUUGGCCGGUCAUACUGACGGUUUAUAACUUGCCAUCGGGGAUGUGUAUGAGGCCGAAGUUCAUGUUUUUAUCUAUGGUCAUACCAGGUCCGAGCAGUCCGGGUCGGAAUAUAGAUGUUUGUCUUCAUCCGUUGAUUAAUGAGUUGACGCAGUUGUGGUCCUCUGGAGCUUUGACUUAUGACAUCUCGAGGAAACAAAAUUUUGUUAUGAGAGCGGCUUUGAUGUGGACUAUCAAUGAUUUCCCAGCUUAUGGAAUGGUUUCUGGUUGGAGCACGCAUGGAAAGCUAGCAUGUCCAUACUGUAUGGAGAACAACAAGGCAUUCACGCUAACAAACGGGGGUAAAGCUUCUUUUUUUGACUGUCACCGUCGUUUCUUGCCACAUAACCACAGGUACAGAAAGAACAGAAAGGAUUUCUUUGUUGGCAGAGUUGAAAAUGAUGUUGCACCCCCGCGUCUUUCCGGUGAAGAAUUGUUUGAUGUUGUGUCAAAGUACGGUGAAAUUGUGUUUGGUCUCCAAUCAAGUAAGCAGAAGUUUCCUGGUUUUGGUUUGACCCAUAAUUGGGUGAAGCGAAGUAUGUUUUGGGAGCUUCCUUAUUGGAAGACCAAUCUUCUCCGCCAUAACCUUGACGUCAUGCACAUUGAAAAGAACGUGUUUGAGAACAUUUUCAACACCGUCAUGGAUGUGAAGGGGAAGACAAAGGACAACAUCAAGGCUAGAUUGGAUGUAGCACUGUUCUGUAACCGUAAAAAUAUGGAGUUGGUUUCUGAUGGGUCACGGGUCGCAAAAGCAAGAGCAAGCUUCGUGCUAGAGAAAAACGCAUAACUACUAGUCUACAAAUGGCUUAAGAGUCUGCGUUUUCCCGAUGGACAUGCCUCGAACAUAUCAAGGCUGGUUAAUACGGAGGAAUGCAGAUUAUAUGGAAUGAAGAGUCAUGACUGCCAUGUGUUUAUGCAAACACUCAUCCCAUUAGCUUUUCGUGAUUUGUUGCCAAAGGGGAUAUGAGAUGCACUAACGAAGAUUAGUCAUUUCUUCAGAGAUAUAUGCUCCGGCAAGUUGAAUGUUGAUCACAUUGAAAGGCUUGAAAAGAAUAUCGUCGAGACAAUAUGCAAACUUGAGAUGAUAUUCCCUCCAUCAUUUUUUGACUCAAUGGAGCAUCUACCCGUACAUUUACCGUUUGAGGUAAAAGUUGGAGGACCGGUCCAGUACAGAUGGAUGUAUCCAUUCGAGAGGUUAGGUAUUACAGUUGCUAUGACAUUUAUAAUUAAAUGUUUUUAUUUUUAUUUUAGUGUUUUUAAUUGAUAAUUUUUUAUUAAUAUAUAUAUAUAUAUAUAUAUAUAUAUAUAUGCAGGUACUUGUUCAAUCUUAAAAAAAGCUUAAGAACAAGGCGCAUGUUGAGGCGCAUGUUGAGGCGUCAAUAUGUGAGGCGUAUAUUGUUGAGGAGAUCCCAACAUUUAUCGCAUACUAUUUCGAACCUCAUAAACCGUGUUCCACGGCAUGAUGAUGGUGGUGAAGUGCAUUCAAGUGGGAACUUGUCAAUAUUCUCCAAUCCUGGACGAUCCUGGACGACCCACACCUAAAAAUGUCGUGAGGGGAAGAUAUUUGUCUGAAAUAGAGUUCAGACAAGCACACAAUUAUGUCCUAUUUAACUGUGAUGAGCUGAGACCUUUUAUUAAGUAAGUAGAUGUUCGACUUAAACUUUGUCAAGAGUGUACUAUUUAUGUUUUGUGAUACCAUACACUCAUAUAAUUUGGAACAACCUUGUAGGCAACAUCGACGAUACUUACUAUCCAAUAACUCACAGCUGACCGAAUCCCAGAUCUUUCAAUUACAAGAUGAACAAUUUGCCACAUGGUUUAGAACACAUGUAAGUCCUAUCACAAACUCAUUAUCUCUUGCAAUGUAAUUAAUUGUAGUCAAUGUUACAUAAUAUCCAUUUAUUGAUUAUUGUUGUAUUUAAUUUACAAGCUAGGUUUAUCAAAUGGGAGGUAGUGCUGCUAUUUCACUGUCUUUACUAUGUCUGGGCCCUGAAAGAAAAGUCAAGUGCUAUAACGGGUAUUUUGUCAAUGGAUAUGUCUUUCACACUGAAGAAUACGGGCAUGGAAGAAAGACAUACAACAGCGGUGUUUGUAUUAAGGGAUCGACUUCUAGUGAGUUUGAAGUUGACUACAACGGUAGAUUGGAAGAGGUCAUCGAACUGCAAUAUCAUAGCGAGCAAAAUAGAGUGUUUUUAUUCAAAUGUUAUUGGUAUGACACAACAGACAGAGGAAUCAUAGUAGAUCCUCACUAUGGUCUCGUUGAAAUCAACUCAAAAGCUAGACACCGCAACGUAAACGACGUCUUUGUUUUCGCAAAGUAAUGCCAACAAGUUUAUUACACAUACACCCCUUCCUUUAGAAAGGACCGAUCAAGAGUUGAUUGGUUAUCCGUUUUAAAAACAAAACCCAAGGGUCGUGUCGAGGUUGUUCAGGAUGAGAACAAAGACACAAGUGUGAUAGAUGAAGUCUUUCAAGCUAGUGAGUUGGUUGAACCAUACCGAGUUGCUCCGUCGAUUGAAUUAGAAGAAAAUUCAAAUUUUCAUGUUUUCAAUGAUUGUCUUGUUGAUGUUGACGCAGAGGAGUUGAAUGUUGUUCUGAGCUCUACUAGUGGAAAAAAGAAUGUUGUUGAAGAAGAUGAUAACGAAAUUGAAGAGUGCGAUGAAACUGAUGAUAACAAUUCAAUAGAGGACGAAGAUGAAAAUUCCGACUAACUAAACAUGUUAUAAAGCCUUAUUUUAUAAUGUAAUAAUUUGAAACAUGAAAUAUUUAUUCUUCUUUAAUAGUCAGCCCUUGUUAUUGUGUUGUGUGUGCUGUAAGAUUGCAAUUCAAGAUUUUGUGACAAGGUUACAUAAAAAAAAAUAAGAAAAAUUUUAUGUUUUACCGACGGGAAUACCGACAGAAUAUAACCCGUCGGUAUUUCACAGAGAGUUGAAAAAAAUUUACGGGAUUGUGCCACUGUCACCGACGGAUUUACCGACGGAUAAUAACCCGUCGGUAUUUCACAGAGAGUUGCAAAAAAAUUACAGGAUUGUGCCACUUUCACCGACGGCUUUACUGAUGGACAAUAACCCGUCGGUAUUUCACAGAGAGUUGCAAAAAAAUUACGGGAGUGUGCCACAAUCACCGACGGACGUACCGACGUCCAAUACCGACGGACUCACCGACGGAUUUACGCAUAUCCCGAAGCGCACGCAUGUCUGACACGUGUCCGUCUGCAACAAUACUGAUGGAUUUUCCGACUGAUCAGAAACUCUGGCGGGAUUUUCGAACUUUUUUGGUGCGCAUUUCAAUUAAUUACCGACGGUAUUACCAACGGAAAUUAAUGCCACCGACAACAAUUAAUUUCCGUUGGUAAUUCUGUCGGAAAUAUUGCCAUAUAAAACAUCCCCUGCCCCCCAUUUGAUUCAUUUUUUCUGUCAGCUCAGUUUCUCUUCUUCUCCAUUUCUCUUCUCCUCUCUGGUUGCAUUUGGUUUUUUGAAGAGAUCUACCCUUAUUUGGUGGUAGUCUACCCUUAUUUGGUGGUAGUUUUAAAAGGUAUGUAUUCUUUUUUCUUUAUCUUUGUAUUUUUUUUAUUUUAAUUAUGAUUUUUUUUUUUUUUGUUCUUUGUUUUGUGUAUUGUUUGUAGAUAAAAUCUUAAAUUCAACACACUAUUAAGGUAAGCAUUUUUUAUUCCCAAAUUUAUUUUGAAUUGAUAUAGUGUUUUUUUAGUUUUGUGUAUUGUUUGUUUGCUAUAAUUGUUAUUGUUGAAUUUAUGUUAAAAAUGUUAAUUUAUAUAUAUAUAUAUAUAUAUAGAAUUACAUUUAAUUAGUUUAUCUUAAUUUAGGAUAUUAUUGUUUGUAUUGCUAUAAUUGUUAUUGUUGAAUUUAUGUUUUAAAUGUUAAUUUAUAUAUAUAGAAUUACAUUUAAUUAGUUUAUCUUAAUUUAGGAUAUUAUUGUUUGUUUGCUAUAAUUGUUAUUGUUGAAUUUAUGUUUUAAAUGUUAAUUUAUAUAUAUAGAAUUACAUUUAAUUAGUUUAUCUUAAUUUAGGAUAUUAUUGUUUGUUUGCUAUAAUUGUUAUUGUUGAAUUUAUGUUAAAAAUAUUAAUUUAUAUAUAUAGAAUUACAUUUAAUUAGUUUAUCUUAAUUUAGGAUAUUAUUGUUUGUAUUGCUAUAAUUGUUAUUGUUGAAUUUAUGUUUUAAAUGUUAAUUUAUAUAUAGAAUUAAAUUUAAUUAGUUUAUCUUAAUUUUAGAAUAUUAUUGUUUACAUGUUAUUGUUAUUGCUUGUUAUAUUAGGGUCGAUCGUGUUAGGAAUGAUAUUGAUUUAGUUACCUUUUUCUUUUGACCAUGUAAUUAUUUAUAAAUUAAGAGUCUUGUCUCCUAAAACUUGAAAUGUAAUAUUAAUCCGUAAAUUUGAAUGUAUGACUUUAAUCUAAUGUUUGUAACUCUAAGUACCAAUUUAACAAUGAAUGUUCAUAGUUGAAAUUGAUUCUUUUACUUGAAUAUCAUUAUAUGAUGUUAUUAAAUAAAAUGUUGUGUUGAUGAUGAUGAGUUGGGUUGAGAUCCAGGAUGAUUGGAUCGGGAUGUGAAAUAAAAUUAGAAGUGUAAUAUGAUUUUGUCGAUAACUUGGGACCCCCCAGUAUAGGGGAGACUCUGUCGAAUUUUUUUUAAAAUAAUCGAAGUUAAUUAUGUAAUUAUUCGUAUAAAUUUGUGUAGAUGCGUAGAAUGAAAUCUACAGCACGUCAUCAGAAGACAGUUGCAGCUAGUUCUUCUAGCAGCGAGGAGGACGUAUCCUUAGGUGCUGAUCACGGCAAGGAAUCUACGCCAACUUGUGAUGCUGCCUCUUCUAGCGCGGUUUCACAGCGCAGAAGCGGUGUGCCUUCACAGCGGGGUCAAUUCACCCGCAAGUACCAGAUACAAUGGAAGGAUGACCUCUCAAUGUAAGUUUGUUUAGGUUUUAGUUUUUUUAUAUAUAUACUUAUAAUAUAAUUUAUGAACAACUAAUUAAUAUUACUACUUUUAUUUAAUUUCAGGUUCACAAACAUUGAGGCUGCAAGGACUAUAACAUUGGCGUUUAAAUCAUCGAUGGAGAUUCCAUUGUUUCAAUGGAGCCAGGUUUCCAGAAAUCCUGAGUGGAAACCUAAUAUCGAUGCAUGGUUUAAGCGAUUUUAGGUCGAUGUUAAUUUUUAAUUUCCAGCUUAUUUUUAAUUAAUUAUUUUUAUAAUUUUAUAUCUUGUACUAUUUUUAUUUUAUAUGAAUUAUUUAUAUACAAAGAACAAAUUUGAGUGGGAUAGGGCGGACAACAAUGUUGUGAGGAGGGUAUGAGAGAAUCAUGCGGCAACUAGGUAACAUCGAAAAUAAUAUUUAUUUUUGUUUUAUAAUUUUAUGUUUUUAAUUCUAAUUUGUUACUAUGGAAGUAGGUUGCGUGAUUUUUGGUAUGACACCAAAAAAGAAUAAAAAAGACAUGCGAGGGAUAACGGUCUUGAAGGAUGGAAUGAGGUGGCGGUUUGGCAGGAAUUCAAACCGCCAUUCAUCUCGGGGGAAAUAUGGACGGCAUAUAUUGAGCACGUGACCUCAGAGCGGUUCUCACGGCGCUCCUAGUCCGGCGCCGACAACCAGAACCGGCAAAUUCAUGGUUCGGUGACCACGCACACUAGCGGAUCCGUCCCAUUCAGCGCACAUGCAAAGCGGAUGGUAAGAUUAAUUUUAAUGAAAUAUAUCGUUAAUUAAUUUGUCGUUCCUUAUAAUAUAUUUAACUUUCAACCUAUUUUUUCCUUACAGGCUGCAUCUCUUGGACGUGAACCGAGUCCAAUGGAGCUGUUUGUAGAGACGCAUGUGCGGAGUCAAAACCGCCAAAAGGGGGUGCAGCAGUUCGUGGACAAUCGUGCUCAGCACUUUGUGGUAUGUUCGUUCAUUAAUUUUAUUUUGUAAGUUAUUAUUUUCUUGAAUUGCAUCUUGAAUUGCAUUUGAUGAUUUUUUUACCGACGGAAUUUUCAGGAGACCUAUAAUAGCCGGUUGAGGGAGAGAUAUGGGGACAAUCCGUCGACCCAUCCAGAUUUCAAUCCAGAUUUGUGGAUGGAGGCGGGAUCGUCUGGUGGACCCGAUAAAAAUCGGGUCUACGGGCUCUCCAACACUACGACUGAAAACUUGUGUUCGGCUCGUAGUGUCUCAACUGUUGGAAGCUCUCCAUCAGUAUCGAACACCUAGUCUGAGGAGUUCAUUGUGUUGAAACAACAAUAUCAACAACUCUCGACGAAUUAUGAUGAGCUCCAUCAAAUAGUCAUGGAGAUGAGAUCAAAGAUGGGUGACGAUACUUGUGCAGCUUCUUUUUGGCCGUAUGGUCCCGGGAACAACCAACCUCCUCCUCCUCCUCCAGCUCCGCCGCUAUUCUAGUUUAAUUUUGUUUUUUAAACACAUUAAAUUUGUAAUGAAUAUUAUUUAACAUUACUUUUUUAUUUUUAAUGUUUAAUCCAUUUUUAUUUGUUUAUUAAGGUUUUUUACUGUUAAUAAAUUAUUUUUUAUAUAUAUUUUAAAUACAUACCGACGGAUAUACCGACGGAUAAUAUCCGUCGGUAUUUCACAGAGAGUUUCCAAACAAUUACCAGCCAUGCCAUAAUUACCGACGGAAUCUAUCCGUCGGUGAUUAAAUACAGACGGAUUUACCGACGAAUACUAUCCGUCGGUAUUUCACAGAGGGUUAAUUACCAGCCAUGCCAAAAUUACCGACGGAUAUUCCGUCGGUAAUUACCGUUGCAAUUUCAGACGGAUUUAUUCCAUCGGUAAUGUUCCCGCGGGAAACUUUUUUUUGGCGCGUGCGUAUCCGUCUGUAAGACCGUCGGUGUUCCGUCGGUGGGUGUUUUUUUUAUUUGCGACAGACUUAGCGACGGAAAUUGGAGUUACCGACGACUGGUAUACCGACGGACGUGUUCCGUCGGUGACGCCGUCGGUAAUUAUUUCACCGACGGAUUUCAUUCCUGUUACCGACAGAAUUAUUCCGUCGGUAAAACUGUUUAAUGGUGUAGUGGAAGGCUUAUUAAUUUCUCAACUGUAUCCAAUAAAAAAAUUGAUAUGUGGCUCUCGCAUUCACAUCUUCUAUUUUAUAGAUUGUUAUAGAUAAAGCGCUGGCUCUAAAUCACAUUUAAUUAUUAAACAAUAUUUUACAAAAUUAAUACAAUUACAGCUACAUGGUUUUUAUGACACGUUUAUAUAUAUUAUCAUUUUAAGUUGAAGUAUUUAAAUUAAAAAAAAUUAUUAUUUUUUAUAUUAUAUUACAUAAACAUAACUUUUUUCAUAUAAAAAAUCAUAACAAAAAUAAAAAUGUUGUUUUUUUUUUAAGAAUACAAAUUAAAUAAAUUAUCUAUAUAAAAAUAAGCUGAAAUUAUCUCAUUAUUUUUAAGCUCUAAGAAGAUCAUAUGAAUUUAAAUAUGUAAUUUUAGUGCGGUUCUGAAAAUAUUUGCACAUGUUAUUCCCAAAUAAAGAUGACAAACCUCUAUAAUUCUCAAAUUUCUAACCACCAAACCAUGGACCACCCGUUCCAGCGCAAUAACCCGAACCCGCCACCACGAGCCUCGGCGCACAGGAAGCUCGUCCUGCUGGGGAGGAUGGGGGUUCAGCAAACGCUGCCCCACCAACAUCAGACCAAGUGAAAGAAUCAUUGACAGCCUUCCUGAAUCAGUUUAGUAAGAGAAAAGUCAAUGAUUCUUUCUUGAACAAUGCCGCGCGGGACCUCGACCUGAUUAUGGUUGUUGUGUAAUAUAUAAUCAUUUGUGCAAAAGCAACGAAUUUAUAUUUUAUUUAUUUAUCAUGAUAUCAUCAUACAAAUAAAUAAUAAAUUCAUUUUAUUCAUUAUUUAAAAUAAAAUCAAUUUUUUGUAAUUUUAUUUUUCAAAACAAGUAUUUCAUUUAUUUGUCUCUUCGUAAGAUAAUUUGUUUCUAAAAUAAUACAUAUUAAAAGAUUUCAAACACAAUAUAUAUAUAUAUAUAUAUAUAUAUAUAUAUAUAUAUAUAUAUAUAUUUGAAUUUAAAGGAUACAAUUACAAGUGGUUUGGGAAAAAAUCUUAUCAAUUUCUCUUAGAAUAUGACAAUCUUGUCCCACAGAGUUCUAUCUGAGACAAUGUUGUUAAAAUUGCAUUUUAACUCGAAAUUUUACGACUUAAAACAUGUAUUACGUGUUGAAUCGCUUGAAAAAAUAAAAAAUGGGUAAAAUCGGGUUGAAAUCGGGUGAAAUCACAAAAAUCGAACGAAAUCGCGCCAAAUCGCGAUUUCAGGACCGAUUUUGCGAUUUUGCCAAAAUGAGGCGCUGAAACAAAAUUCCCCCCCUCAUGUCCAGCUGUCAGACGCCUAUUGGAUUUUUCUUGCACAGUCACGGACUCACGUGACUGUCUUCAGUCUUCACUUCAGGCGAAAAUACUCACAAUUCACAAAUCAAUCUUCACAAAUCACAACACACAAAAUACUCAUUCCAAUCGAACAAAUCCCUAAUCGGCAACCACAAAAGCGGCGACAACGAUCUCCAUCCUCCACAAAAGCGGCCAGCGACAGUGCUCACGGUCCGGUGACUCCAGUCUUCACUCCUUCUCUUUCCUCAGUGCUCACGGUCGCGGCUUCCUCUUCUGUUUAUCGUGAUUUUAACCGCGACGAGCCGACAACGAUCUCCUCAACAGCUCACGGCUUCGGGCUUCCUCUGCAGUCUUCAUUAACAGCGGCACGCCGGCAACGAUCUCCUUUCUUUGCCAUCUUCAACAACAGCAGGCGACAUCGGGCGGUCGGGCCUCUUCACCAACAGUCGUUCAGCUCAUCAUCAUCAUCUUCAACAGCAGUCGUUCAGCUCAUCAUCAUCAUCUUCAACAGCAGUCGUUCAGCUCAUCAUCAACAGCAGCCGUUCAGCUCAUCAUCAUCAUCUUCAACAGCAGCAGGCGACACCGUAAGUUCAUUUUGCCUUUAUCAUCAUCAAUGCAGUAGUUGAUUUUGCCCCUGUAAUAGAUUUGUAUUUUGCCCUAUUAAGUGUUAAUUGUUAGUUAGUCUGUUACCCUGUAAUUCAUUUUGCCCGGUCCUGUAAUUUGUAUAUGUAUAAUGUUGAAUUGAAUGGAAUUGAUCGGGUGAGAAAAUUGUUGAAUUGAAUGCCACAGUUUAUACUUUAUAUCUUGACUGAAUUGGACUAAAUAUUACUCGGUGAAAAUUGGAUUGAAAACUAUUGAAUUGGACUAAAUUGAAUGUCAUUUCAGUAAUAUAGGACUGAAUUAAUUGGACUGAAUUGAAUUAAAUUAAUGGGGUGAAAAUUGGACUGAAAAAUAUUGAAUUGGACUGAAUUUAAUGUCAUUUCAGUAUUAUAGGACUGAAUUAAUUGGACUGAAUUAAUAGGGUGAAAAUUGGACUGAAAAAUGUUGAAUUGGACUGAAUUUAGUGUCAUUUCAGUAUUAUAGGACUGAAUUAAUAGGGUGAAAAUUCCUUACGAUUUUUAUUGAAGCAUGAAUUUGUUUUGAUAUAUUUUAAAAUUCCUUACGAUUUUAUGAUUUUACGAUCCGUUUUUACGAUCCGAGUUUGUUUAGUACUUUCCGUGCCGUGUUAAAAUCGUGAUUUUAACAACCUUGAUCUGAGAUAUGCACCAAAUAAUUUUAAAAUAAUAUUGUUUUGAUUAAAAAAAUAAUAUUUGUUUUUGUGGCCAUAAGCUUGCCCCAACAGCACCCGAAUAGACUUGUAGAAAUUUCUCAGUACAUUGUGGCCUCAAAACAAAAUUGUAAAAAUCUUAUCUGGUGCUGUUUUUUUUUCUUUUUGUUAAAAAUAGAAGGACUCCAAAGAAUAUGUAAAAUUGUUAUGAAAUUCACAAAAAAAAAUUGUUAAUAAAUAUUUUAAAUAUAUUAUUUUUCUUGCCUAACAUGUUUUAAAAAAUCAAAGGUAUUGAUAAUAAUUUUAAAAACAUUGAUAAUUGUUAAUUAAUCUCUUUUGUAUAGCCCAAAACAAUCACAAGAUUUUUACUAAAAAUAAAAAAAUAUCACCAUAAGAAACAAUAAUAAAUAGUCGAUAAAUAACAAUAUAAAUCUAAAUACAAGAUGUAGAUUUAUAAUUAAAAAUAAAAAAUAAGUAAAAAAAUGAUAUUAACCCCAUUAACUUUCCAAACAUGUAACUCAAAUCAUUAGACCAUAAGUACCCAACUGACAAAACCUUAAAGUAUAAUCCAUAACCAAUCAAAUUUUGAAUGAUAGAAUUGGAAAGGAAAAUUAAACAGUAAAAAAAGAUCCAAAACAAAAAAAUAAAUAGCAAUUAAAAAAACAAGGAUCGUCAUUGAAAUAAAAAAUAAAUUAGAGGACAACUAAGAUUUUUUGAUUGAAUGAUGAAAUUGAACCAAUAAAAUGUUGGAGGAUGGCAUUGAAAAAAAACAUUAAAUUAUACAAAAGGAUAUAAAAACAAAGAAAUAGCUAUUAAAAGAAUAAGGAUCAACAUGGAAAUAAAAAAUAAAUUAGAAGACAACUAAGUUGUUUUAAAUGAAUGGUAAAUUGAAAAGAAAAAUAAUUUAGCAAAAGAACAAUUAAAAAAAUAAGAUUCAAAAUUGAAACAAAAAAAAAUUAGAGGAAAACUACAAAUUUUUUUAUUGAAUGGUAAAACUAAAAAUAAAAAUUGAUUUAACAAAAUGAUCUAAAAAAAACAAUAGAAAAAUGACGACCAAAUUGAGAAAAAUAACAUAUCACAAAUUGAGAUUGAAUGAUAAAUUUUUUUAAAAAAAUUAAAAUUUUACAAAAGGUCCAAGAACAAAAAUUUAGAGAAAAAAAACAUAGACCGAUUUGAAAUCUCAAUAAAUUAUGAAGAAGCUCUUGGACUUGUCAUUGGCAUAGACACAACACUUGCAAUCUGGGAAGCACUGAAAGAUGCUUAUGCACAGGACUCUCAAGAGUGAGAGUUUACACUGCAACAACAACUGACCUACCUUCGCAAGGAUGAUAACAAGACCAUUGGAGAUCACAUACGCAUUUUUAAAGGUCUGUGUGACAAUCUUGCUAGUAUUGAAAAACCUAUACCAGAUAAAGAAAAGGUUUUUUUUGUCUUCUCACAAGUCUUGGACCACAAUAUGAAACCUUUACAACAACGAUGUUGAAACCUCUAAGACCAACCUACUCUAAGCUGAUUUCACAAUUACAAAAUCUUGAUCAGCGUCAUAAGUGGUUUUCAAACCAAUCAGAUGCAUCUCUUUCUCAACUCACUCCACAUUUAGCCUUUUAUAGUCAGCAAUAGAAACAAUCUCAAAGUAUCAUUUCAAGGAAUCGCAACAGUAACUUUACUUCCCCAGGUCAUGGAUUCCAAGCACAACAAUUUCAAAACCAAAGUCAAAGCUAUCCAGACAAUUCAACACCAAUUACACAACAAUGACAACCACCACCACCAGGAGAACAUCAUAUAGUAGCAGCGAAGCAAGAUCUAUAUCGCAAUGAAACAUAUCAAUAUUAUUGGAAACCAGGCCAUAUUGCCAAAAUCUGUUGGUGGAAACCAAAAAGAACAACUCAAAAUGAUGCAAUUCCACAACCUCUUGCAGCCCUCACUUUAGACAACUCCAUUACCGAAACAGAAUGGACUUCUGACACAGGAGCUUCAAAUCACAUGAUAAGAAAGCAAGGUAUGUUGACUAAUAUUCAUAAAUACUCUAGAUCUGAUUCAAUCAUAAUUGGAGAUGGUUCUUCUAUACCUAUAACAGGUAUUGGUGAUUCAUAUAUUAAACAAAAAGAUAAGACUUUGCCUUUCAUGAUGUUCUUUUAGUUCCAAAUUUGAAAAAAAAAAACUUGCUCUCAAUAAGUCAACUAACCUCUCAAUUUCCUAUUAUUUGUGAAUCUUCUAAUGUUGAUUUUUGUGUAAAGGAACGGAAAAUAGGACAUCCGCUAAUAACAGGGAAAAGGAAGGGUGACUUGUAUGUUUUAUCCAAUGUACCAGAAGCACACUUCUCUUAUUGGUUCAAAUCUAGCACUAUAGAUAUUUGGCACCAACGUUUAGGACAACCUUAAGCUUCAGUUGUUUCGUUGUUAAAGAAUAAAAGAUUAAUUGAUGUUAUAGGUCCUUUACAGACAAAACAUUAAUAUGAUAGUUGUCAAUUAGAAAAAUUAUGUAAACUUCCUUUUUGCUCUUUCUGAAGAUUCUAGUUCUGGCAUUUUAUAAGAUUCACUAUGAUUUGUGGGGACCUGCCCUUGUUUUAUCUAUUGGCAAGUUUAAGUUUUAUGCUUGUUUAGUUAAUGAUUUCUAAAAGUAUACUUGGAUUAUUCCAUUGAAACACAAAUCUAAUUUUUUUUGUUGCCUAUCUAGCAUUUGAAUAGUAUGUUGAAAGACAAUUUAUGGGUGGAAGCCUUUAUCAUAACAAUUUUCCUUCUUAAUUGGUUACCAUCUUCGUCUCUUCAAUUUAACACUCCAUAUUUCAUGUUACAUGGAACUCAUCUUGACUACACAUCGCUUUGAGUUUUUGGUUCUAAAUGUUUUCCAUAUACAUGGCAUACAAGAAAUCAUAAAUUUGACCCUAAAACUGUCUUGUGUGUUUUUGUAGGAUACAAUGAAAAAUAUAAAGGAUACAAUGCCUCUAUCCACCUAGUCGUAAAUUUUUCAUUUCUCGUCAUAUUGUUUUGUAUGAGACUAUUUUUCCAUUUAAAUCUUCAUCACUUUCUACUACUGCCUCACAUGUUCUUAAUAUAUUUGAUUUUUGGCUACCUUAUUCUUACACUCUUCUUGAAUCAAGUGUUCUCCCACAAAUGUCUGCAUCGAUAAAUUCUAUUGCUCUACCAUCUGUUGAUAGUCAUUGCUGGCAGUCUACCCCAAAUUCACCAUAUGACGCAACUGUGACAGGAAAUGUUGGAACUGAUUUUAAUGAUCAACCUUUCGAAGAUCUCAAUCUACCUACAUUAAUGUCUGCAUUAAACUCUGAUAUACAUCCUAAACACUUCCUUACACCUAAGUCCCCUCAUUUCAUAAACACAACGCAACCUCAUGAAGCAUCAGUAAAUCAUCCUAUGCUAACCAGGUCCAAGCUUUGAGUUGUUAAGUUGAAUCCUAAAUAUGCCUUGACAGUAACCUCAUCUAAUACAAUACCUCGUGAACCAAAAAACAUCAAAUUAGCCUUGUUGCAUCUCGAUAGGAAAGUUAUGUAUGAUGAACUUGUUGUGCUACAUCAAAAUGAAACAUGACGAUUAGUUCCACACACUUGCAUGUGAUUGGAUCCAAAUGGAUUUUUAAGUCAAAACUUAAACCUGAUGGUACACUGGAUCGUCUCAAAGCAUUAUUAGUUGCCAAAGGUUAUCAUCAGAUUGAUGGUAUUGACUACACAGAGACAUUCUCUUAUGUAAUAAAACCAAGUACAAUUCAAAUAAUCUUAACUAUUGCACUUGUAAAACAUUAGCCCAUUUGUCAACUCGACGUCAAAAAUGCAUUUUUACAUAGCAACAUCGUUGAAGAUAUAUAUAUGGAACAACCACCAGGUAUGGAUGAUCUACAAAAACCUAUGCAUGUGUCUAAGUGCCAACAUGCUUUAUAUGGGCUCAAACAAGCACCAUGUGCUUGAUUUGAUAGACUUAGUGAAUUUCUUAUAUGAUAUGGUUUCUUUUGUAGUUUGGCUGAUCCUUCUCUUUUUGUUUUUCAUUCUGCUAAAGGUUUAAUUGUUUUACUUCUCUACAUUGAUGAUAUAUUUCUUACACGGUCAUCCACUGAGCUUGUUACCUUUUUUAUUCAAAUAUUAAACCAUGAGUUCUCUAUGAAAUAUUUAGGGUCGGUGCAUCAUUUUCUUGGUGUUGAGAUUUCUACCACAGCAGAUGGACUACAUUUAUCUCAGUCACACUAUGUACUUACCAUUCUUGAAUGGUCUAAUAUGCUUCAUUGCAAACCCAUGAGCACGCCUUUGGAGGUCAAAUUCAAAAUUGAUGCAGAUAUUACUUCUAUUCUUGAUCCUAGUUAGUUUUCGUAGGAUUGUUGGUGCUCUCUAAUACCUCACUCUCACGUGACCAAAUUUAUCCUACAACAUCAACUAUGUUUCGCAAUUCAUGCACAAUUCUAUAGUUGCUCAUUUGAAAUUGGUUUAGUGAAUUCUUCGAUAUCUAAAACAAAUAAUUGACAUUGGUCUACACCUCUGUUUCAAUACAAAUCUUGAAUUGCAUGUCUUCUCUGAUUUUGAUUGGGUUGGUUGCCCUAAAAUAAGGAGAUUUACUAGGUUACUGCAUCUUUCUUUGCACAAAUAUCAUUUCAUGGUGUGUAAAGAAACAACACAAAAUCUCUCGAUUCAGUACCGAAGCUAAGUAUCAUGCUAUGGCUAAUACUACUACCAAACUUACAUGACUCACUUAUAUUCUUAAAGACCUUUACAUAUCUCUCUUAUCUCCACUAGUCCUCUGCUGUAACAAUAUCAAUGUUCUAUACAUGACCACCAAUCCUGUCUUUCAUGCUCGGAGUAAACACAUUGAGUUGGAUUACCAUUUUGUACGCGAAUGAGUUGAACUUGGAUUCCUUGUCACUAAACAAGUGUCCUCUGAUUAACAUGUUGCUGAUAUAUAUACUAAACUUGUGCCCAGGCUGCUCUUGCAAAUUUUCGCAACAAAUUGUGCCUUCAACCCCGGCUUAGUUUGCGGGGGAUAUUAGCAACCUAUAACCUCAUUUUAGCACCAAUCGUGUGAGUCUAUGGAGUGAUAAGAAGUCCCACAAAUUAUGGAGUGAUAAAGAUAAUCAUACUUGUCAUAACUCAAUUCUAGAUUAUUCCCUAAAAUUAACCCUGUUUUAAAAAAAAUAAAAAUUAAAAAAGUAAAAUAAAGACUAAUAAAAUGGAGAAAACAGGCUGGAGAAUACAGCUGCAAUUUGACCUAAAACACAGAAAAGUAUAAUUCUAGUUAUCUAUAGAUAACACCUUACCCUGUCCCCACGCUAUCACUUCUCGUUUGACCUAAAACACAUAAAAGUGUUGGGUUCAAAUCUUGUUUUUAAAUAAUUUGUGUUAAUGAUUUUUAUGAUUAUAAUAAUAAUAAUAAUAAUAAUAAUAAUAAUAUAAUUCUAGUUAUCUAUCAGCUAAUACCUAACAAUAUCCUCGCACUGUCACUUCUCAUAAUUAAAUUCGUUAAGAAAAGAUACUUUCUUUCAUCAAAACCAGUAAAAUAUCCAUUAAAAAAUUAAAAAGGUGGAAAUAUGGUGAAAUCUUUCAAUUAAAUGUACUUAAAGGAUCACAAUUGCUUGAAAAUAUUUUUUGUGGUCAUAAAUUCACCGAUUAACAGCAACUUAUGGCUUAAAAGAUUUCCUCAGGUGCUGGUUUUUUGUUUUUUUGGGUAAAAGUAGCAUACAUGCUCUAAACGCACAUGAAUUUAAAGUAAACCAAGAAGAAGAUAUGCAUAAUCUCCUUUGAAAACGAUAUCCAUAAUCUUAUAAUACAUUUUAACUCAACAAGAACAUGCAAAAGGGUAUGGUCAUUAUUGAACUGUGAAGAUCUUCAAUAUCUAUAACUUUGUUAGAGCAAAUCCCCUUUUCUUUUCUUUUCUUUUCUUUUCUUUUCUUUUUUUAUGAUUUAUCAUAUCCACGACUUUAUCUCGUCUUUGUAACCUCUUAUCUCUCAAUACAGAAAAUAAGCGUUCCACAUGAAUUUUUUGUCAGUGGCUACACUAAAAUCUGUCGGCAAAAAAUUUAUUGACAGAUUCACGAACGGAAACCGUUCGUCAGUAAUGUCAUUUAUGUCGGUAAGAAAAAACAUCGAUGAUUUUAUAGAUAGAAAAUGCGCGUAAAAAAAUACUCGCUUUAAUACACCAACAAAAUUAUUACGUCGGUUAUUGGUAGUGGCAUUUAUUGUAAAUUUAUUCGAAUCCUCUAUAAAACAUAGACAGAAUAAUUCUAUUGGUGAUGUAAUUGUGUUGUAGUGGCAUAUGAAGUAAAUUGUUCCCCUCACCUCUGGAAUAUACCGACGGAUUGUGUCCGUCGGUAUAUCCGUCUAUAAUAAUUAAAAAAAAAUCUUUUGAAUAAAAAAAUAAAAUUGUAUAAAAUUGAAAUAUGUAAAAAUAAACUUGAAUAAUAUAAAAUCCAAAUAUUCAAUACACAUUUAUAUGUUCAAAUAAAAAUUAAACUAGAACAAUGGCGGCGUUGGAGGAGGAGGAGGAGGCUGGUCGUUCCCGGGACCUUACAGCCAAAAAAAGGACGCACAAGUACCACCCAUAUGUGAUCUCAUGUUCAUUACCAUUUGGCGGAGUUGUUCAUAAUCCGUCGAGAGUCGCAUAUUUUUUUCGGUGAGACAUGGGUUGUAUGUUGUUGCAAGGCCGCGAACUCUUGAGAUUGGGAUACCGAUUGUGAGCUCCCAACGAUUGAGACACUACGGGCCUCCCACAAGUUCUCGCUCGUAGUGUUGGAGAGUUCGUACACCCGAUUUCUAUCGGGUCCACCAAAUGAUCCUACCUUCAUCCAUAAAUCCAGAUCGAAAUCCGGGUGGGUUAAAAGAUUGUCCCCAUAUCUCUCCCUCAACCGGUUGGUAUAUAUCUCCUAGAAAUAAAAACUAAAAUUAUCAAAUUGUUCAGCGUGGUUGUCGAUGAACUGUUGCACCCCCUUUUGGCGAUCUUUAGUCUGCACGUACAUCUCCACAAAAAGCUCUAUUGGGCUCGACUCACGUCCAAGAGUCGUAGCCUGUAAGAAAAAAAAUGUUGCAAGUUAAAUAUAUUUAUAAAUAACAAUAAAUUAAUUAAAGAUAGAUGCGAUUAAAAUUAAUCUUACCAUCCGUUUCACAGCGAAACGAAAGGAAUGAAGCCACCAAUAUGCGUGAUAAUCGAGCCAUGAAUUUGCUGGCUCCGGUUCCCCAUACCGGACUAGAACGUCGUGUGAAACGCUCGGACAUCACGUGCUAAAUAUAUUCUGCCCAUGUAUCCUCUGGGAUGUAUGGCGGCCUGAAAUCCUUCUGAAUUGCAACAUCGUUCUAGCCUGGCAAAGCAUUUUCUCUGGCAUACGUUUUAGCUUUUUUUUACACCUCAUACCAAAAACCACGCAACCUACAUGAUACAAACAUAUUCUAUAUGAGUUAAUGACAAAUGAAAUUUUAAUAUUUAAAAUAAAAAAUAAUUAUCGUAUUGUUUUUGUUGUUACCUAGUUACAACGUGAUUCUCCCAAACCCUCCACACAACAUUGUCAUUUUCUCUAUCCCAUUCAAAUUUACCUUGCAUUAACAAUUUAUGAAAAAUAAAUCAAUAAUCUAAAUAAAGUAAACAAAUUCACGUAAAAAAUAGUUAAAAUUUUAAGUUAACACUAACUUGAAAUCUUCAAAACCAUGCAUCGACAUGGGGUUUCCAAUCAGGAUGUUUGCAAAUUGACUCUAUUGAAACAAUAGAAUCUUCAUCGAUGAUUUAAAUGCCGAUGUUAUUACUCGGGCGGCCUCUAUGUUUGUGAACCUGAAAAUCGACCUAGUGACUGGAGUGAAGUCGUAACAAGGUAGCCGUACUGGAAGGUGCGGUUGGAUCACCUCCUUUUCAGGGAGAGAUAAUGCUUGUUGGGUAUUUUGGUUUGACACUGCUUCACACCCAAAAAGAAAGGAAAUUAAUGAAAUAUUAGUUGUUCAUAAAUUGUUAAACACAAACAAACUUACAUUGAAAGGUCAUCCUUUUAAUGUGCCUCGUACUUGCGGGUGAAUAAAUCCUGUUGUAAGGGACACCGCCUCUACGUUUUGAAACAACAUUGGAAGAGGCAGUGUCGCGAGUCGACACAGGUACCUCUUCUUGGUCGGCACCCAAUGACACGUUGUUGUUAUCAUCGCUGCUAGAAGAACUAGCUGCCAUUAUAUGCUCAUGAAAUGCACUUGAUUUUCCCCUAUGCAUCUACACAAAUUUGAUGAAUAUUUGCAUAAUCAAUUUUGAUUUUUUUAAAAAAUAAAAAUUAGUAUCACCUCCCCUAUACUGAAGACUAUCCAAAAUUUUCAAUCCUUCAAAUAUACAAAAUAUAUGCCACAAAUUAGUUGAUUUUAAUUUAUUUCUACCAAUAAUUUUGGAUUAUUCAAUUUCAUCUAAUUUUCAACAUGAAAAAGUUUUGUAUACUAAAUUGGCAAGAAUGUUUUGUAGGUAAAUUUAAUCCUACAUAUUCAACUAACAUUUAUACUACAAAUUUGACUAUAACAAUUAAAAAUCACAAAACAAUAAAGCAUUAUUGCAAUGUAGACAAUAAAAUAGAAAAAACAUUAAUCCUAUAUAUUCAAUUAACAUUUAUACCACAAAUUUGACAAUAACAAUUAAAAUUCAACAAACACAAUAAAACAUUAUUGCAAUGUGGACAAAAAAAAUAUAAAAACAAAUAUAAGCUUUAGAAAUGAAAAAUGUUUACCUCAAUGGCGUGUUUAAUUUCAGAGUUUAUCUACGUACGAUAAAAAAAUAAAAUAAAAAUGAAAAUACAUUGUUAAUAAACCGAAGAAAAAUAAGAAGAAAAUAAGUCAAAAGAUUCACCACACCUUUUAAUCUUGUUGAUGGUAAAAACCUUAAGUUGUACUACUUGAAACUAAAAAAAAAAGGAUUUGAGUGAGAGGAUUAGUAAAUAGUGAAGAGAGAAUGAAAAUGAGAGAAAAAAAAUGAACUUUCAGUGUCUCGUUGGGUUUUAUACUGUGUUUUUACCGCUGAAAUCACUGAAGGCAUGUUAAAUAAUAUUACUUUUAAUUAAUCCGUCAGUGAUUCCCUCAACAAAUGCACCUAUAAAUUUUCAUUUAGCACUAAAAUUUUCAAAAACCUAUAGAUUUUUUGUGGUCCGUCCGUGAUUCCGUUAGUAAAAAAAGUAAACAGUACACAAUCAGAGAUGCAUUAAUUAACAAUGCAUUGGAAUUUUCAUUCUGUCGGUAAUUUUCUCAGGAACCUGACAUUGAGUAAUUGUCAUCACCGACAUGAGAAGGGGAACAGUUCCCCUCGCCUCUUGAAUACACCGACGGACACAAAUUAUCAGUUUUUCCAUCAGUGGUUUGCACAAUGAAUGACAGAUUGUAUUUGCAUUCCCUAUCUAUCCAUCUUGCAAAUACUUAAAUUGAAAGUUGCACGCACAACACAGUAACACCAGUUUAAAUAACAAUUAUAAAAAAAAAAUACUUAUUUGUUGAGAAUUUCAUCAAUAACUAUUAUAUUAUCAUAUAUGGCAUUACAGUACUCUCAUGUUUUCAUAGUUUGUCAAAAUUGUCUUUUUCUUCUUCAAUUGACUCGUCGUCAACUCCAACGCAAUCUUCUACAUUGAUAUCAUUGUUAUCAUCAUCUUCAUCGACUUAUGCUUGUCCGCUAGAGCUCAUAAUAGCAUUCAACUCUUCAGCGUCAACAUCAACAAAAAUAUUAUCGAAUACGUGAAAAUUUUAAUUUUCUUUCAAGUCAAUCGAUGGAGUAACUCGAUAUGGUUCAACCAACUCACUUAUUUGAAAGACUUCAUCUCUGACAUUUGAGUCAUCGCUCUCAUCCUGAACAAACUCGACACGACCCCUGGGUUUGGUUUUUAAUACGGAUAAUCAAUCAACUCUUGAACGAUCCUUUCUAAAGGAAGUGGUGUAUAUGUAAUAAACUUGUUGGCAUUGCUUGGUGAAAACAAAGAUAUCAUUGACAUUACAGAGUCUAGCUUUUGAGUUAAUUUCGACCAAACCAUGAUAAGGAUCUACUCUGAUUCCUCUGCCAGUGGUGUCAUACUAAUAACAUUUGAAUAAAAAAACUCUAUUAUGCUCGCUAUGAUAUUUCAGUUCAAUUACCUCUUCUAAUUUCUCAUAAUAGUCAACUUCAAACUCACUAGAAGUCGAUCUCUUAACACAAACCUCAUUGUUAUAUCUAUUUCUACCAUAUCCAUAUUCUUCAAUAUGAAACACGUAACCAUUAAUGAAAUACCCGUUAUAGCAUUUCACUUUUCUUUUAGGACCGAAACUUAGUAAAGACAAUGUAGCACUAGCAUUCCUUUAUAUUUUAUAAACCUGGCACAUCAAGUACAAUAAUAAAUAGUGAUCAAGAAUUCUACAACAAAAUUAAGUAUCCCGAUAGAUAAUGAGUUUGUGAUAGUACUUACAUGUAUUCUGAACCACGUCGCAAAUUGUUCAUUAUGUAAUCAAAAAAUUUGAGAUUUGAUCAGCUGUGAGUUAUUAGAUAGUAAAUAUUGAUGAUGUUGCCUAUAAGGUAUUCAACAAUGUAUGAGUUUGUGAUAUUAUAUGAGAGAAAUAGUCCAUUAAUAGCAAAUUUUAAGUAGUAUACUUACUGAAUAAAAGGUCUCAGUUCAUCGCACUUAAAUAGCAUAUAAUUAUGUGCUUGUCUGAAUUUUAUUUCAGAAAAAUAUCUUCCCCUAACAACAUUUUUUUAUGCAGGCCAUCCAAGAUUGGAGAAUAUUGAUAAAUUCUCACUCAAAGGCACUUCACCGCUAUCGUUGUUGUUACCCAUUUUUGAGUUCCCCACAAAAAAAUGAAAAAAUACAAAAAAAAUACACAUAAAAAAAUAUAUUCGGAAGAAAAAAAAUAAGAGUGAGAAAAGGAUGCUGGAACUACCAUAAAAUGGCUAGGAAUUGGUUGAGGAGGUUCAGAAAUACAAGAAUUGAAAUUUGACAAUAAGAACCCUGUUGAUAAGAAAAAUUCAAUUUGAGGAAGAAAAGUCCAAAAUCAAAUGUUUAUGGACUCAAUUAAAUUUUAUCCAAGGUUUAAAUGAAUUUAUGGAGGGUUUGAUUGCAAGAAAAUUGAUUUCUUAUGUCAAUUUAAGCUUUUAUUGGAAGAAAUUAAAGUUCUGGGGUCCAAUUAUAAUUUUAAAGAGUUGAUUUGGUCAAAUUAGGGGCUUAAUUGCAUAAUUAUUGAAGUUUGAUGGUCAAUUAGGGACUUAAUUGAAACAAUCUGAAACCAAGGACCAAACCAGAAAAGCGCUAAGAUCAAGGGAUCCAAUUACAAUUCAUCCGGCGGUUUGAUUGCAAAAUUAUAAAAACAUACAAGGACAUUCAUUUGAAUUUUGAAACGACGCUGUUUCAUUAAAAGCAAUAUUCGUUGUCUCCCUCAAGAAGCCGUUUUCAGCAGUAAAGAAACAGAUAUACGUUUUGCAGCAAAAGCGCCAAAUUGCUCCAAUCUUGGGGCACAUUUUAUGGCUGCUAUCCCGUUGUUUCCAGAUUACAAGGCGACCGUUACCACUUACCAGCACAAGGCCGUCUCUGGCCUAUAAAAGCAGGAAGAACAGACAGUGAGAGGGGGAGAGGGGGAGAGUGUAAGAGAGGAAAGAAAACCGAGAGAGGGAGAACGUGAGAAGAGGGAGGAACGACAGAAGAAAAAAAAAAAGGGGAGAACAGGGGAGAAGACGACGAGCAGGAGACAGAGCAGAACAGGAGAAGAACUAAGAAAAGAAACAGAAAGAGGGAGAGAACCAGACGCAGAGAGAGGAGAAGAGACGGACACGAAGGGAAAACAGAACGGAAAGGAAGCCAGACGCAGGGAGUGGCAUCAAAGCUUCUUCCCAGAAUCCCAGUUACAAGCUCAGGAGGAAUUUCACCCAGCAGCGGCUGUGAACCAGGUAAGCUUUUCAUUCCUUCUCCUUCCGUUUAUAAUUGCACAAACACUAUGCAGGUGCAAUUUAAUUACAUCCUAGCUGUAGCAGGCGUGCGUGAAUUGUUCACGCACGUUUGCGUUUAAAAGUCAGUCGGGUCACUGGCUUGGGCCAGUGACCCGGCUGGGGCUUGCUGGGUCCAGCCCAGCCACAUGGGCCGGGCUGGGCCCAGCCCCAAAACAAAAAUUUCAAAAUUUAUUUCAAAAAAAUCUGUGAUUUUCCGCAAAUAUUUUACUGCAUUUUGAUCAAUAUUGGUUUGUAUUUUUAUACUGUAAAGAUACAAAUCCGGUAUUAAAAUAUUUUUUUUUUGUCAAAACAUAAAAAAUGUUUUGUUUUCAUGCAUACGGCCAAGUCUCUCAAAAAUAAAAAAUCAUAUUGUAUUUUCAUACAACAAAGAAAAUUUCAAAAAAAUAUGUAUUAGCAUGCAUUUUGGCUUUAAUAACCAGUUUAUUAAAGUCACGAGAACUAGGCCAAUAUUUCAAAAAUUCUAAAAAAAUUUAUUUUGUUUUCUUUUAAUAUCUGGGGUUAUGAUCUUAUACGUAAGACGUGUUCCGGAUAUUAAAAUUUUCUUUGUUGGCAUUAGACCGGUUAGGUUUUACCCGAUAAGAUAAGGAUCUUUUUACCGAAGAGAACUUUUCUUAAGCCAUAGACGGACCAACAAAUAAAAAGCACGACAUGACUUUAGAUUUUAUCAGACAAUAAAACAAUGCAGCUUACCUUAGGUAGGACGUAUUUGGGGUGCUAAUACCUUCCCUUUACGCAACCAGUCUCCGUACCCGAUCUCUGAGACCAGUUAGGGUUCCUAGUGACCAAAAUACUAGGUGGCGACUCCCAUUCCAUUUUUCCACUAAUAAAAGACAUGAAUUCCUUGUCUCCACACAUUUGCCAUAUUAGAUAAGAUUUUGAGGGUGGAUGUUUUCGCCGCGACGCCGCACACGUGCGACAAUCGUCAUGCCUUGGCACGCGAUUGAUUCUUGUUCUCAAAUGAAGCUCGAAAUAGUACGAGAUAAAUGUUGAGAUCUCCUUAAACAAUAUAAGCCUCACAUAUCGAUGUCUCAACAUGCGUCUUGUUUUUUACCUUUUCCUUAAGGUUGAACGAGUACCUGCAUGGAAUAAAAUGAUUGUUUUUAAUUAACUAAAACAAUGAAAAUAUAUUUUUAAUUACAUUGCAUGUGUAAUCUCUAACCUCUCGAAUGGAUACAUCCAUCUAUAUUGGAUUAGGUCUCCAACUUUUGCCUCAUACAGUAAAUGUAUGGGUAGAUGCUCCAUAGAGUCAAAAAACAAUGGAGAGAAUAUCAUCUCAAGUUUGCAUAUUAUCUCGACGAUAUCCGUUUCAAGCCUCUCAAUGUGUUCUGCAACUUGAUAAAACAUAAAUCUCUAAAGAAAUGAUUCAUCUUCGUGAGUGGAUCCCAUAUCCCCUUUGACAAUAAAUCAUGAUAAGCUAAUGGAACAUGAGUUUGCAUUAAUAUGUAGCAGCCAUGGCUCUUCAUUCCAUACAAUCUGCAAUCCUCUAAAUUAAUCAACCUCGAUAUGUUUGAGGCAUGUACAUCGGGAAAAUACAGACUCUUCAACCAUUGGUACACUAGUAGUUGUGCAUUAUUGUCUAAGGCGAAGCUUGCUUUGGGCUUUGCAACCUGUGACUCAGCAUAAACCAACUCUAUAUUUUUACGGUGACAAAACAACGUUAUAUCCAUUAUAGCCUUGAUGUUAUCUUUUAUCUUUCCCUUUACAUCUAUGAUCGUGUUGAAAAUGUUCUCAAACACAUUCUUUUUUAUGUGGAUAAAGUCAAGGUUAUGGCGGAGAAGAUUGGUCUUCUAAUAAGGAAGCUCCUAAAAAAUAUUUCGUUUUACCCAGUAGUGGGUCAAACCAAAACCAGGAAACUUCAGCUUACCAGAUUGGAAACCAAACACAAUGUCACCGUACUAUGACACCACGUCAUAUAAUUCUUCACCAGAAAUACACGGGAGUGCAACAUCCUUUUCAACUUUGCUAAUAAAAAAAUCAUUGUUGUUCUUUCUGUACUUGUGAUCCGUUGGUAAGAAACGCUAGUGGCAGUAAAAAAAAAUGUUUUACCCCUGUUUGUUAACGUGAAUGCCUUGAUGUUUUCCAUGCAAUAUGGACAUGCUAGUUUUCCAUGCGUGAUCCAACCAAAAACCAUUUCAUAAGCCGGAAAAUCAUUGAUAGUCCACAUCAAAGCUUCCCUCAUAAGGAAAAUUAUAUUUCAUCGAUACAUUAUAAGUCAACGCGCCGGAGGACUACAACUACAUCAACUCAUCAAUCAACGGUCAAAGACAAACAUCUAUAUUCUAGGCUGGACUAUUAAGACUCAGUAUGGCUAUAGAUAAAGACAUAAACUCCGGCCUCAUACACAUCUUUGGUGGCAAGUUGUAAACAGUUACUAUAACCGGCCAACAAGAAUAAUGAGUAGCAAAUGACCAAAAUGGAUUGAAUCCGUCUAUACAUGGCCCAAGACGAACGUUCCUUGAUUCAGCUAAAAAGUGAGGAUGUACACUGUUAAAGUGUUUCCAUGCUUCACCAUCAGAAUGGUGCAUCAUCACUCUAUCAACCGCAUCAUGUGAUUGGUGUCAUGUCAUGUGCUCAGCAGUCUUUGGUAACAUGAAUAACCUUUGCAGUCUAGGUGUGAUUUGGACGUAUCUAAGUUUUUUAUAUGUCACAAGAGUCUUUCCCCUGCCAACUAUGGGUUUAUAACGGGAAUGCCCACAUGUUUUGCACUCGGUCAGCUCAGUAUUUUCAAGGUAGUAUAGCAUGCAGAAGUUUGGACGCGUGUCAAUUUUAUGGUAUCCUAGACCGAGGGGUUUCAUCAUGGACUUAGCACCAUAACAGUUCUCUUUCAGCCUGUUCCCUUUAGGUAAAUGCUUCUAGCUCAUUCGAUAAUUCUGUCAUAACUGGCCUCACUCAACCCCUAAUCUAACUUGAUGGUAAACACAUGUGUAACGAUUGAUAAUUUACUGCGAUUUGUGCAGUUAUCCCAUAAUAAUUUGUCAAAAUCUUUUAAAAGAUCAAAAAACCUGAUCGCGUCUGCAUUAGGUUUUUCUUCUACGAUUCGACAUUAACCGACAUGACCUUGAUUUAUUCUCAUCGCAUCCAUAACAAUAGUUCUAUAAGGAUUACUGUUGUCAGUUUCAACUCCAUACACGUUGCUAGCACUAAAAGUUAACUCAACCAUCCUUUCUACCAUGGUCUCGUAAGGAACAAAUAAUUCUUCGUGUGCAUACCAACACAUGUAUUCCUCCAUGAACUAGCCCCCUAAGUAGUCUUUUCGAGCUAUAAAGGAAGAAGACAAUGAACAAUAACCACACAACGCGUCGUCUGGUUCCUUUUUUUACUAUUCAAAAUGAUGUUGUUUUGGACUUUAAAUUAGAGAUUUUGGCCAAAGUUCAAGUUGGUCCUUCGUCUUCUGAUUUCUUUUAAUUACACCCUUAAUUGGCUUCAAACUUUUAAUUUUAUGCAAUUUUGCCCCUGUCGAACUUCAAUAUCAACCCUGAAUUUUAGCGUUUUUUCAUAUUAGUCAUUGGUCUUGGAUUUAUGAAAAUUGACUCUUAAUUGACCAUUAAAAUUUUAAUUCUCUUCAAUGUCACCCCAGAUUUCAAUCAAUUGAGUCCUCAUAGUUCGGUGCCUUUUGCAAAAUGGACAUUAGCUGCAAAUUUCUUCAAUUUAGCACUUAAUUGACCCUAAACUUUUGAUUUUCUUACAAUUUUAACCCUAAUUUCAAUCAGUUAACUUGAUAAAAAAUAAAUUUAGUCUUCUAAAUUAUAAUCUUCUCAAUUAAACCUAAAUUGAGCUCUCAGACUUAAUGUUUCACCAUUUAAGUCCCUAAUAAAAUUAAUUUGACCCAUUUAAAGUAUAAUUACAUCAUUGCACUUAAUUAAAUCUUUUUAAUGGACCUAAAUUAAUUCUUACACAUAAUUAAACUUUUAAUUUGACCCAUGAUUAAAUCAAAUUGACCUAUUAAAAAUCUAAUUAUGUCCUUUGACUUAAAUUUUAUGUAGAUUCUUUCAAUAAUCAUUUAAUUUGACCUUGAAUCUGCAUUAUUUCUCUAGUUUUGGGUAUAAUAGGGUACAAUUAAGCUCCUGAUUCUAUCCAAAAUUGCAACUUGAUUUUUCUAUAUUUGAACUCCUUCCUCAGCCAAUUUUUUUAACAUUGUCAGUUUUCUUACAAUUAUUAUUUUAUUAUUUAUUUUUAUUUUGAAAAGAAAAAAGAUAAAUUUGGGGGAAAUAACCUAGAAAUAGGUUAUUUCAAUAUGAAUACUAGUUUUUAGUUUUGAUUGCAAGUUUGCAAUGAUAUAUAAAAUUGCAUGCUUAUAGUUUUAAACUUGUAUAAACUCUAGUAAUUUCUCGAACAAUUUUUUGCUUAGUAUAUUCUUAUGAUCUAAACAAUUAAUGCUCUCUGGUUUUAUUACUCACUAAAUUUUUGGACAACAAUUUUUACUUCGAAGAAGAUAUUUUAAUACUCCAUAGAAGUCACGAGCGGGUGGUAAGAUAUGAUUGCUAUAAAUCCCCGUAAAUAAAACGAAUUUGUUUACUUAAGAGAGAAAAUGUCAAACAAUUUUAGCAAAACUAUGGGUAUGAAAAGAAAAGUGCAACCACAAGCAUCUAGAAAACAAGUGUUUUCUUUACGUAGCUCCCUUCAUUCGUGCAAAAGCAACGAAUUUAUAUUUUAUUUAUUUAUCAUGAUAUCAUCAUAAAAAUAAAUAAUAAAUUCAUUUUAUUCAUUAUUUAAAAUAAAAUCAUUUUUUUGUAAUUUUCUUUUCCAAAAUAAGUAUUUUAUUUAUUUGUCUCCUUGUAAGUCUGUUUCUAAAAUAAUACAUAUUAAAAAAUUUCAAACACAAAAAGGAAAAAAAUAUAUUUUUGAAUUUAAGGGAUAUAAUUACACGUGGUUGGGGAAAUAAUCUUAUUAAUUUAUCAUAGAAUGUGACAAACUUGUCCUUCGGCGAGGACAAAAAUCACUACUUGUUCUAUCUGAGAUAUGCACCAGAUAGUUUUAAAAUAAAAUUGUUUUGAUUUUUUUUUUUUUGUGGCCAUAAGUUUGCCGACAAACAGCACCCGAAUAUGUAAAAUUGUUAUGAAGUUCACUAAUUUCUCCGUACAUGGUGGGCUCCCCAACCUUCUAUUGUGCUUUUGUUUUUUUUAAAAAAAAUAUAGGACUCAGAGAAUAUGUAAAAUUGUUAUGAAGUUCACAAAAUUUUUUUGUCUUAUUUUUUUUCCAAGUUUCAAAUGAUUUGAUGAAUCAUUGUAUUAUACAUAUAUUUCUUUUUUUGUUGCCUAAUAAGUUUUAAAAAAUCAAAGGAAUGAUAAUAACCCUCCUUGUCUAAGAUUUAAAAAAUAUUAAUAAUUGUUAAUUAAUAUCUUCUAUAUAGCCCAAAACUAUCAUAAAACUUUUACUAAAAAGAAGAAAAAUCACGAUAAGAAACAAUAAUAAAUAGUCGAUAAACAAUUAUAUAAAUCUAAAUAUAAGAUAUACCCGCAUUAAUUAACUUUCCAAACAUGUUACUCGGAUCAUUAGACGAGAAGCACUCUACCUAAUAAAAUCAUAAAGUACAAUCCCUAACAAAUUAAAUUUUGAAAGAUAGAAUUGGAAAGAAAAAUUAAACUAUAAAAAAAAGAUAAAAAAAUAGCAAUUAAAAAAAUACAAAUUGCUAUUGAAAUAAAAAAAAUAAAUUAGAGGACAAAGGAUGAAAUUGAACCAAUAAAAUGUUGAAUGACGGAAUUGAAAAAAAACUUUAAACUAUACAAAAACAUAUAAAAUAAAAAAAUAACAAUUAAAAGAAUAAGGGUCAACAUGGAAAUAAAAAAUAAAUUAGAGGACAACUAAAUUUUUUUAAAUGUAAAAUUGAAAAGAAAAUUAAUUUAACAAAUGAACAAUUAAAAAAAUAAGGAUCAAAAUUGAAACAAAAAAUAAAUUAGAGGAAAACAACAAUUGUUUUAUUAAAUGGUGAAAUUCAAAAGAAAAAUCGAUUUAACAAAAUGAUCCAAAAAAAGCAAUAAAAAAUUGACGACCAAAUUGAGAAAAAUAACAUAUCACAAAUUGGGAUUGAAUGAUAAAAUUAAAAAAAAUGAAUUUUAUAAAAAGUCCAGCAUGAAUUUUUGCAUGGCCAGUAUGAAUUUUGAGCGAAUAAAAGAGAAAAGAGGGGGAAAAGAAAAUGUCAUUGGCGUUGCAUCGCCACACCAAAGACUCCAUGUGCUGCCACAAUAGGGAGAGGAUGGCGCGACACUUCUAACAACAUGACAAAAAGGAGUUUUUGGCUACUACGAGACAUUAUACGCGCUGCUCGAACACGUUGCACGUACUAGCAACUUUUUUAAAAUUAUAUUUUAUACUUAUCAAAAUAUCAAAUUAGCCUAAGACAAUCUAAUAAUAACAAAAAAAAAACUCCUAUAUACUAGUUUUAAUUUUUUUUCUUCAAAUGUAAAUUUGAUGGAUAAAAAACUUUGAUGGAUAAAAAGCUUCAGCUAUUCUGAAAAUGUAAUGAUUUUAUUUUUUGAAUUGUUAUUCAAUAUGUAUUGAAUAAAAUAUAGAUAUUAUUAAACACGACUCAAAACUUGAUCUAAAUACAAUCAAGAUAAAAUAGAUACCUAUAUAUAUAUAUAUUAAAUUUGUAUACUAAAGAAAAAACCUAUAUUUUUACUUCAAAAACUUUUAAAACCAUUUGUAAAAGUGAAUUAAAUUUUCUUUUGCAUUUAUAAAGAAUUUCAGUUAAAAAUACUAUAUUUCAAAUUUUUAAAAGAGAAUUUUGGUCGAUACUAAUAAUCAAAUCAAACGAAAAGCUAGUAUUUGUUAAAAACAUGAUGGUUCAAGUACAAGAUUGAUCAUUCAUCAAAUUGACGGUGGAUGCUUUACACCGUGUGUGAUAUUACGGUUAAAAUAUUGUUUGUAAAGUUUUUAAUUUAAAUUCUUUUUUCUUAAAAUUAUUUUCAUAAUAUUUUUAUAUCAUUUUAAUAUGUGUUAAAAAUAAAUUUUAAAAUCACUACAACAUUGAACAGUUUUGCUACCACUUCGUAGGUAAAUUUUUUACCGACUAAUUCCCCGACGGAAAACGUCCGUCGGCAUAACGUUUGUCGGUAAUUCCAUAUUUUAUCGUUAAUUCUGUUGGUAAAAAAAAAUCAAAAACUGAUGGUUGUACAUACGGCAAAAUGCACGCAAAAAAAAAUUCAUGCUGUAAAUAUACCGACGAAAUAAUUUUGUCUGUAUAUCCAGCAGUAAAUCACCGAUGGAAUAGUUCCAUCGAUGAGUGUGGUAUAUGCAGUAAAUAUUUUGCAACUCUCGGUACAAUACCGAAGGAAUAUGUUCGUCAGUAUACACGUUGGCGAUGGUGGCAUAUGCAGUAAAUAUUUUUCAACUCUCUGUAAAAUACUGACGGACUGCGUCCUUCUGGAAAUCCAUAGGUUGUGAUUUAAAAAAAAAUUAUUUAGAAUAAAUUAUAUAAAUUAAUAGUAAAAAAAAACCAAUUAUGCAAAUAAAAUUGUAUGAAACAUCAAAAAUACAAAAAUAAAGUUAAAUAAUAUUCAUUACAAAUUUAAUGUGUUUCAAAAAAAAAUUAAACUAGAAUAAUGGCGGAGCUGGAGGGGGAGGAGGAGGAGACUGGUCGUUCCCAGGACCAAACUGCCGAAAAAAAGGCGCACAUGUAUCACCCAUAUAUGAUCUAAUCUCCAUGACCAUUUGGCAAAGUUGUUUAUAAUCCGCUGAGAGUCAUUGCUAUUGUUGUUUCAAGGCCAUGAACUCCUCAGACUGAGUGCUCGAUACUGAUUGGGUGCUCCCAACGGUUGAGACAUUAUGGGCCGCCCGCAAGUUCUCGGCCGUAGUGUUGGAGAGCUCAUACACCUGAUUUUUAUCGGGUCCACCAGAUGAUCCUACCUCCAUCCACAAAUCCAGAUUGAAAUCCAGAUGGAUCGAAGGAUCGUCCCCAUGUCUCUCCCUCAACCGCUUAUUAUAGGUCUCCUAAAAUUUAAAAAAGAAAUCAUCAUAUUCAAUUCAAGAAAAUAAUAACUUACGAAAUAAAAUAAUAACGAACAUACCACGAAGUGUUGAGCGCGGUUGUCCACAAAAUGUUGCACCCCCUUUUAGCGGUCUUCACUCCGCAUGUGCGUCUCUAUAAACAGCUUAAUUGGGCUCGGCUCACGUCCAAGAAACGUAGCCUAUAAGAAAAAAAAUGUUGCAAGUUAAAUAUAUUUAUAAGUAAUAACAAAUUAAUUAACGAUAUAUUUCAUUUAAAUAAAUCUUUCCAUCCGUUUCGCAUGUGCAGCAAACAGAACAGAGCCGCCGGUGUGCAUGGUCACCGAACCAUGAAUUUGCCGGUUCCGGUUGUCGACACCGAACUGUGAGCGUCGUGUGAACUGCUCAGAUGUCACGUGCUGAAUAUAUUGCGGCCAUAUUUCCCCUGGGAUGUAUGGCGGUUUGAAAUCCCUCCAAACCACCACGUCAUUCCAACAUUAUAGACUAUUAUCCCUCGUGUAUUUUUUGGUUUUUUUUGUGAUUCAUACCAAAAAUCACGCAACCUACUUCCAUAAUGACAAAUUAGAUUUUAAAACAUAAUUUUUUUAAAAAAAAAUAUCGUAUUGUUUUUUAUGUUACCUAGUUGCCGCGAGAUUUUCCCACACCCUCCUCGCAACAUUGUCAUGCGCGCUGUCCCACUCGAAUUUGUGAUGUGUAUAAAUAAUUUAUUUAAAAUAAAAAUAAUAAUUUAUUUACAAUUAUAAUAAUAAUUUAUUAAAAAUAAGCUAGAAAUUAGAAAUUAACAUCAACAUGAAAUCUUUAAAACCAUGCAUCGAUAUAAGGUCUCAUUCAGGAUGUCUGGAAACCUGACUCCAAUGAAAUAAUAGAAUCUUCAUCGAUGAUUUAAAAGCCAAUGUUAUUACUCGGGCCGCCUCAAUGUUUGGGAACCUGAAAAUAAAAUAAAUUAAUAAAAUAUUAAUUAGUUGUUCAUAAAUUAUGUUAUAAUUAAAAAAAAACUAAAACCGAAACAAACUUACAUUGAAAGGUCGUCCUUCCAAUGUGUCUGGUACUUGCGGGUGAAUUGAUUCAGCUAUGAAGGCACAUUGCCUCUGCGCUGUGAAACCGCGUUGGAAGAGGCAGCAUCGCGAGUCGGCGCAGGUGCCUCUUUUUGAUUGGCACCUAAGAAAAAGUCAUCCUCACUGCUAGAAGAACUAGAUGCAACCAUAUGCUCACGACGUGCUGUUGAUUUCAUUCCAUGCAUCUACACAAUUAUACGAAUAAUUACAUAAUUAAAUUUGAUUAUUAAAAAAAAGUAGCACCUCCCUUAUACUGAAGACUACCCAAAGUUUUCAAACCUGCAAAUAUUGACAAUAGCCACAAACCAAUUGACUCUAUUGAAAAAUCUUAUAGAUAACCUAACAUCUAUACAAAUUUAACAAUAAAAUAAAGGGAAAAAAUAACAUUUAAUUUUAUAUAUUCAACUAACAUCUAUAUAAAUUAAUUAAUAACAAUUAAAAUUAAUCGAAAUAAUUAAACGCAUAUCCUGCAAUAAUAGAGUAAAAUAAUUAAAUUUAAUCAUAUAUAUUCAAUUACCAUUUACAAGGUAACUUCAACAAUAACAAUUAAAAUUCAACAAAGUAUUCAAUUAUUAUGGCAAUACAAACAAUAAACUAUAUUGAGCAAAUUAAAAAAAAAAACUAUAGACUUUAGGAAUGAAAAAUGCUUACCUUAAUAGUGCGUUUAUUUCAGGACUUUAUCUACGUACAAAUACAAAAAAAACAAAAAACACAACAAAAAUAUAUUAUUAAUAAAACGAAGAAAAAAUGAGAAAAAUAAAAUCAUUAAGCAUAUUAAAUGAAAAUACAUACCCUUUAAUUUGUUGAAGAUUACAAGAAAAUAACUUAAAUUUUCACAAUAGAUGAGAGAAAAAAAAGAUGAGAUGAAACGAAAGAAGAGAGAAAUGAACUAAAGGGGUGGUCGCUGGGAUUUAUACUGCAGUUUUACCGACGGCAUUACCGACAGACUAUUUAAAUAAUAUUAUUUUUAAUUAUUCCGUCGGUGAAUUUUCAAACGUCCGUUGGUAAAUUUUGAAUUUUGCACUAAAAUUUUUAAUUGACCCUCCAGAAAUUUCAAAGUUUCUUAGUAAGUCUGUCGGUAUAUACACGCGGUCAGAGAUGCAUUAAUACCUAUGCUUUGCAAUUUGCACAGUUCGUCGGUGAGUCCGUUGGUAAUUAUGAACUGCACUGACAUAGAACUAAAUAGCCCCGCCCUCUGAGAAAUGUCGACUGACUGUAUCCGUCUGUAGAGACAUCGGUGAUUAUGGCAUGUGUAGUAAAUAUUUUGCAACUCUUGAUAAAACACCGAUGGAUUGUAUCCAUUUGUAGAGACGUCAGCGAUUAUGGCAUGUGCAGUAAAUAUUUUGCAAUUCUCGGUAAAAUACCGAUAGACUGUAUAUGUUUGUAGAGACGUCGGUGAUUUUGCACUGUGCAUGACAGAUUAUGUUUGUAUUGCCUAUUUUUCCUCCUACAAACACUUAAAUUACAAACUGUCUGCACAGAACAAUAACAACAGUGAAAAAUUAUAAAAUAAAUAAUUUGUGUUACAAAAUAUCAUCCAUAAUAUUACAUUAUAAAAAAAUGCUUUACACUUUCGUGUUCUAAUAGUUAGUCAGAAUUUUCUUCUUCUUCUUUGUCGUCAAUUGAAUUGUCAUUAGCUCCAUCACAAUCUUCAAUGUGGAUAUCAUCAUCAUCAUCAUCAUCUUCAUUGACAUUUUCUUGUCCGCUAGAGCUAAAAACAACAUUAAACUCCUCUGUGUCAACAUCAACAAGACUAUCAUCGAAAACAUGAAUUUUUGAAUUUUUACGGUUACAUAACAAAGUUAUAUCCAAUCUAGCUUUGAUGUUGUCUUUUGUUUUCCCCUUCACAUCCAUGACGGUGUUGAAAAUGUUCUUAAACACGUUCUUUUCUAUAUGCAUGACGUCAAUGUUAUGGCGGAGGAGAUUGGUCUUCUAAUAAGGAAGCUCCCAUAAAAUACUUCGCUUUACCCAAUUAUUGGUCAAACCAAAACCAGGAAACUUCUGCUUACCUGAAUGGAAACCAAACAAAAUAUCACCGUACUCUAAUACAAUAUCAUGCAAUUCCUCACCAGAAAGAUGCGGGGGUGCAACAUCCUUUUCAACUUUGCCAACAAAGAAAUCCUUUUUGCUCUUUUUAUACCUGUGAUUCGUUGGCAAGAAAUGGUGGUGGCAGUAAAAAAAAGAAGCUUUACCUCUGUUUGUUAGCGUGAAUGCCUUGUUGUGUUCCAUGCAAUAUGGACAUGUUAGUUUUCCAUGCGUGCUCCAACCAGAAACUAUUUCAUAAACUGGAAAAUCAUUGAUAGUCCACAUCAAAGUCGCCCUCAUAACAAAAUUUUGUUUCCUUGAUAUAUCAUAAGUCAAAGCUCUAGAGGACCACAACUGCGUCAACUCAUUAAUCAACGAUCAAAGAUAAACAUCUAUAUUCUGGCCUGGACUACUCGGACCGGGUAUGACCGUAGAUAAAAACAUGAACUCCGGCCUCAUACACAUCCCUGGUGGCAAGUUACAAACUAUGAGUAUGACCGGCCAAUAAGAAUAAGGUGUAGCAAAUGACCCGAAUGGGUUGAAUCUGUUUGUACACAACCCAAGUCGCACGUUUCUUGAUUCAGCGAAAAAAUUGAGGAUGCACACUGUUAGAAGGAUGCACCAUCACUCCAUCAACUACAUCAUGUGAUUAGUGACAUGUCAUGUGCUCAACAAUCCUUGGUGACAUGAAUAACCUCUGCAGUCUAGGUGUGAUUGAGAAGUAUUCAAGUUUUUUAUAUGCCACGAGACUCUUUUCCCUGCCAGUUCUGGGUUUGUAACGGGAAUGCACACAUGUCAUGCACUCGGUCAGCUCAGCGUUUUCAAGGUAGUAUAACAUGCAGAAGUUAGGGCACAUGUCAAUUUUCUGGUACCCUAAAUCGAGGGGUUUCAUCAUGGACUUUGCAGCAUAAAAGUUCUCUUUCAGCCUAUUCCCUUAAGAUAAAAUGCUUUUCGCCCAUUCUAUAAUUUUGUCAUAACCGACCUCACUCAACCCGUGAUCUAACUUGAUGGUGAACACCUAUGGUACAAACAAUAAUUUAUUGUGGUUCGUGCAACCAUCCGAUAAUGGUUUGUUAGAAUCUUUCAACAUAUCAAAAAACCUUGUUGCAUCUGCAUUAGGUUUUUCUUCUACGAUUGGACAUUGACUGACAUUACCUUGAUUCAUUCUCAUUGCAUCCAUAACCAUAUUCCUGUAAGGAUUACUGUUGUCAUUUGCAACUUCAUGCACGUUGCUAGCACUAGAAGUUGACCCAACCACCCUUUCUAUCAUGCUCUCAUUACGAACAAAUAGUUCUCCGUGUGCAUACUAACACAGGUAAUCCUCCAUAAACCCUUUUGUGUAGAAGAUGCAUCAUUACAACAUCUGGAUGCAGAUACUUUUUAUUUUUAUACUUUUUGCAUGGACACCUAAUACUGCCUCUAGUAAAAUUUCUGGGAAUAGAUGUUUCGAAAUUAAUAAAACCCCGAACCCCAUUACAAUAAUCCAUCCUCCGCAAUCCUUGGGGUGAAUCUCGAUACAUCCAUGAACAAUCAUCCAUGACUUCUAUCGAACCUCUAUAAAAUUAUGAUGACAACAUGUAUUAAUUAACUAUGUUAAGUAAAUAAAUUUGCAAAAAUAUUGGUUUACCUCGAGAUUAUCCAACAAACUAAUUAAAACUUCUCAUAAAUAUUCAUUAUUAAUUAUCAACGUGUAUACAAAUUUAUACAUAUAAAUUUACAGAAAUUACAACUCCACAAUAGCAUUGAUAAAAAUUAAAAUGGACCCGUUAAACAAGCUAUUAAUUAUUUCAUCACAACACAUCUAAUUCGAUAAUUCAACAAGGUUUCAACAAUUUUACAAAAUAUAAAACAAACCAUAACAAGUACAAAAUUAUACAUUCAUACUACAAAUUUGUUUGAGCAAUAACAAUAAAACAUGUACAUACACUAACAAAAUACAUAUACUAAAAAAAAAAAUUAACAUUUAAAUGUUAAAAUUAAAAAAGAUAGCUUUACUUACAAAAAAUGAUAAAAUCCACAAUAAAUUAGAACAAAGAUGUUGUGACCACAAAAGUUAAAGAAAGAUGACUUGUGUUGAGAAGAGGGGGAUAUUUUUAGGGGGGUGGUUGUUUACAGUUUGGGAGGGGAGAGUUGGCAUGAGGAAGAAGAAGGAGAAGUAGGGGAUGAGAGGGUUGACAGAGUGGUGAUAAAUUAACUUUUACCGAUGGAAUUACCGACGGAAUACUUCUGUUGGUGAUUCCAUUGGUAAUUCUGACGGUGAAUUAGUCACGUCACUGUACGGAGAUCUCGGUUUGAAUCCCUUGGUCAUUCCAUCGGUAAAAUCACCCGCAAAAACUUCCACGUCAUUGAACUGCUUUUUUUUCUUAAAAAAAAUUCUAUAUAUUCCGUUUGUAAUUCAAUUGAUAUAUACCGAUAGCAUUAGUCUGUCGGUAUAUACCGACUGAAUUACCGAUGGAUUAGUAUUCGUCGGUAAUUAUCACCGCAAUUUAUCGACAGAAUUAUUUUGUUGGUAAUUCCGUUGGUUUUAGACGAAUUUCUAGUGGUGAAUAUAAAAAAUUAUUUUAAUAUAUUUUAAAAUAAAACAUAUUUUAAAAUAUAAUUAUUGUCGUAAUAACAAACACACGCUCAUAAUAUAUCACAAUCGUAAUAGGGUAAAAAUGCCAUCAUAUCCCAACUUAGCCAUGAAAGCAAUAAAUCACAGGAUCAACAACUUCUGUUCGCCCAACUACUGUAUAUAGCCAGCAGAUUUCUUUUUAUAUAUUUUAUAGUAAAAUGGUAUUUUCAACCAUAGCUUGACAAACACUACACCAUUAAAUAGUUUUACCGACGGACUAAUUCUGUCGGUGACAGGAAUGAACUCCGUCGGUGAAAUAAUUACCGACAGCAUCACCGACGGAACAUGUCUGUCGGUAUAAUAGUCGUCGGUAACUCUCUUUUCCAUCGCUAAUUCUGUCGCAAAUAAAAAAACAAUCCACCGACGGAACACCGACGGUCUUACAGACAGAUACGCGCGCCAAAAAAAAUUUUCCCGCGGGAACAUUACCGACGGACUAAAUCUGUCUAAAUUUUCAAAGGUAAUUACCCACGGAUAAUCCGUCGGUAAUUAUGGCAUCGGUGGUAAUUGUGUGGCAACUCUCUGUGAAAUACCGACAGAUAUUAUCCGUCGGUAAAGCCGUCUGUAUGUAAUCACCGAUGAAAUAUGUUUGUUGGUAAUUAUGGCACGACUGGUAAUUGUUUGGCAACUCUCUGUGAAAUACCGAUGGAUAAUUGUCGUCAGUAAAGCCGUCGGUAUCUAUUUAAAAUAUAUAUAAAAAAUAAUUUAUUAAUAGUAAAACUCUAAUAAACAAAUAAAUUGGAUUAAACAUUGAAAAUAUAAAAAUAAUGUUAAAUAAUAUUCAUCCAAAUAUUCAUUACAAAUUUAAUGUGUUUAAAAAACAAAAUUAAACUAGAAUAGCGGUGGAGCUGGAGGAGAAGGCUGGUUGUUCCCGGGAUCGUACGACCAAAAAGGCCCUGCACAAGUAUCAUCACCCAUCUUUGAUCUCAUCUCCAUGACUAUAUGAUGGAGCUCAUUAUAAUUCGUCGAGAGUUGUUGAUAUUGUUGUUUCAAGGCAAUGAGCUCCUUAGACUGGGUGCUCGAUACUGAUGGAGAGCUCCCAACGGUUGAGACACUACGACCCGAACGCAAGUUUUCAGUCGUAAUGUUGGAGAGCUCGUAUACCCGAUUUUUAUCGGGUCCACCAGACGAUCCCACCUCCAUCCACAAAUCUGGAUCGAAAUCUGGAUGGGUCGAAGGAUUGUACCCAUAUCUCUCCCUCAACCGGCUAUUAUAGGUCUCCUGAAAAUUUUUUAAAAAAUCAUCAUAUGCAAUUCAAUAUGCAAUUCAAGAAAAUAAUAACUUACAAAAUAAAAUGAAUGAACGAACAUACCACAAAGUGCUGAGCACGGUUGUCCACAAAGUGCUGAGCACGGUUGUCCACAAACUGCUGCAUCCCCUUUUGGCGGUCUUGACUCCAUUGGACUCGGCUCACGUCCAAGAGACGCAGCCUGUAAGGAAAAAAUCGGUUGAAAGUUAUUUAAUAAGGAACGACAAAUUAAUUAACGAUAUAUUUCAUUAAAAUUAAUCUUACCAUCCGCUUUGCAUGUGCGCUGAAUGGGACAGAUCCGCCAGUGUGCGUGGUCACCGAACCAUGAAUUUGCCGGUUCCGAUUGUCGGCGCCGAACUGUGAGCGCCGUGAGAACCGCUCUGAGGUCACGUGCUCAAUAUAUGUUGUCCAUAUUUCCCCCGAGAUGAAUGGCGGUUUGAAUUCCCGUCAAACCGCCACCUCAUUCCAUCCUUCAAGACCGUUAUCCCUCGCGUUUCUUUUUGAUUGUUUUUGGGUGUCAUACCAAAAAUCACGCAACCUACUUCCAUAGUAACAAAUUAGAAUUUAAAACAUAAAAUUAUAAAACAAAAAUAAAUAUUAUUUUCGAUGUUACCUAGUUGCCGCGUGAUUCUCCCAUACCCUCCUCACAACAUUGUUGUUCGCCUUAUCCCACUCAAAUUUGUUCUGUGUAUAUAAAUAAUUCAUAUAAAAUAAAAAUAUUACAAGAUAUAAAAUUAUAAAAAUUAUUUAUUAAAAAUAAGCUGAAAAUUAAAAACUAACACUGACCUGAAAUCGCUUAAACCAUGCAUCGAUAUUAGGUUUCCACUCAGGAUGUCUGGAAACCUGGCUCCAUUGAAACAAUGGAAUCUCCAUCGACGAUUUAAACGCCAAUGUUAUAGCCCUUGCAGCCUCAAUGUUUGUGAACCUGAAAUUAAAUAAAAGUAAUAAUAUUAAUUAGUUGUUCAUAAAUUAUGUUAUAAGUAUACAUUGAGAGGUCAUCCUUCCAUUGUGCCUGGUACUUGCGGGUGAAUUGACCCCACUGUGAAAGCACACCGCUUCUGCGCUGUGACACCGCGCUAGAAGAGGCAGCAUCACAAGUUGGCGUAGAUUCCUCGUCGUGAUCAGCACCUAAGGAUACGUCCUCCUCGCUGCUAGAAGAACUAGCUGCAACCGUCUUCUGACGACGUGCUGUAAAUUUCAUUCUACGCAUCUACACAAAUUUAUACGAAUAAUUACAUAAUUAACUUCGAUUAUUUAAAAAAAAAAUCGACAGAGUCUCCCCUAUACUGGGGGGUCCCAAGUUAUCGACAAAAUCAUAUUACACUUCCAAUUUUAUUUCACAUCCCGAUCCAAUCAUCCUGGAUCUCAACCCAACUCAUCAUCACCAAUACAAAACAUCUUAUUCAAUAACAUCAUAUAACAAAAUCCAAGUAAAAGAAUCAAUUUCAACUAUGAACAUUCAUUGUUAAAUUGGUACUUAGAGUUACAAGCAAUAACAAUGACAAGUAAACAAUAAUAUCCUAAAAUUAAGAUAAACUAAUUAAAUUUAAUUCUAUAUUUCAAUUAACAUUUAAAACAUAAAUUCAACAAUAACAAUUAUAGCAAUACAAAUAAUAAUAUCCUAAAUUAAGAUAAACUAAUUAAAUGUAAUUCUAUAUAUAAAUUAACAUUUUUAACAUAAAUUCAACAAUAAUAAUUAUAGCAAUACAAACAAUAAUAUCAUAAAAUUAAUAAAUAAAAUUAAAAAACUAAAAAACAAUAUACAAGACAACCUAAACACAAAACAAACAAUACACAAAACUAAAAAACACUAUAUCAAUUCAAAAUAAAUUUGGGAAUAAAAAAUGCUUACCUUAAUAGUGUGUGAAUUUAAGAUUUUAUCUACAAACAAUACACAAAACAAAGAACACCAAAAAAAAUAAUCAUAAUUAAAAUAAAAAAAUACAAAGAUAAAGAAAAAAGAAUACAUACCUUUUAAAACUACCACCAAAAUAAUAAAAUCUCUUCAAAAAGCCAAAUAAAAAUGGAGAGGAGAAGAGAAAUGGAGAAGAAGAGAAACGGAGCCGAGAGAAAAAAAUGAACCAAAUGGGGGGAAGGGGGUGUUUUAUAUGGCAAUUUUUCCAACGGAAUUACCGACGGACAUUAAUUGUUGUCGGUGGCAUUAAAUUCCGUAAGUAAUACUAUCGGAAAUUAAUUUAUAUGCGCACCAAAAAAGUUCGAAAAUCCCGCUAGACUUUUCGAUCUGUCGGAAAAUCCGUCGGUACUUGUGUCGAUGGACACACGUCUGACAUGCGUGCGCUUCGGGAUCUGGGUAAUCCAUCGGUAAUAUACGUCGGUAACACCGUCAGUGAUUCCGUCGAUGAUUGUGGCACAAUCCCGUAAAUUUUUUUCAACUCUCUGUGAAAUACCGACGGGUUAUAAGCCGUCGGUGACGCCGUCGGUGAGUGUGGCACAAUCCCGUAAAUGUUUUUCAACUCUCUGUGAAAUACCGAUGGGUUAUAGUCCGUCGGUGUACCCGUCAGUGAAACCGUAAAUUUUUCUUGUUUUUUUGUGUAACCCUGUCACAAAAUCUUGAAUUGCACUCUUACAGCACACGCAGCACAAUAACAAGAGCUGACCAUUAAAGAAGAAUAAAUAUUUCAUGUUCCAAAUUAUUACAUUAUAAAAAUAAAGCUUUAGAACAUGUUUAGUUAGUCGGAAUUUUCAUCUUCGUCCUCAAUUAAAUUGUUAUCAUCAGCUUCAUCGCACUUUUCAAUUUCGUUAUCAUAUUCUUCAACAACAUUCUUUUGUCCACUAGUAGAGCUCAAAAUAGCAUUCAACUCCUCUACGUCAACAUCAACAAGACUAUCAUUGAAAACAUGAAAAUUCAAAUUUUCUUCUAAGUCAAUCGAAGGAGCAACUCGGUAUGGUUCAACCAACUCACUAGCUUGAAAGACUUCAUCUAUCACACUAGUGUCUUCGUUCUCAUCCUGAACAACCUCGACACGACCCUUGGGUUUUGUUUUUAAAACGGAUAACCAAUAAACUCUUGAUCGGUCCUUUCUAAAGGAAAGGGUGUAUGUGUAAUAAACUUGUUGGCAUUGCUUUGCGAAAACAAAGACAUCGUUUACGUUAUGGUGUCUAGCUUUUGAGUUGAUUUCAACGAGACCAUAUUGAGGAUCUACUCUGAUUCCUCUGUUAGUUGUGUCAUACCAAUAGCAUUUGAAUCAAAAUACUCUAUUCUGCUCGCUAUGAUAUUGCAGUUCGAUGACCUCUUCCAAUCUACCGUAGUAGUUAACUUCAAACUCACUAGAAGUUGAUCCCUUAAUACAAACACCGUUGUUGUAUGUCUUUCUUCCAUGCCCGUAUUCUUCAGUAUGAAAGACAUAUCCAUUGACAAAAUACCUGUUAUAGCACUUGACUUUUCUUUUAGGGCCCAGGCUUAGUAAAGACAGUGAAAUAGCAGCACUACCUCCCAUUUGAUAAACCUUGUAAAUUAAAUACAACAAUAAUCAAUAAACGGAUAUUAUGUAAAAUUGACAUACAAUUAAUUACAUUGCAAGAGAUAAUGAGUUUGUGAUAGGACUUACAUGUGCUCUAAACCAUGUGGCAAAUUGUUCAUCUUGUAAUUGAAAGAUCUGGGAUUCGAUCAGCUGUGAGUUAUUGGACAAUAAGUAUCGUCGAUGUUGCCUGCAAGGUUGUUCCAAAUUAUAUGAGUGUAUGGUAUCACAAAACAUAAAUAGUACACUCUUGACAAAGUUUAAGUCGAACAUAAAUAGUACGCUCUUGGUUUUGCGACCCGUGACCCAUCACGAACCAACUCCAUAUUUUUACUGUUACAGAACAGCGCUACAUCAAAUCUAGACUUAAUGUUGUCCUUUGUCUUCCCCUUCACAUCCAUGACGGUGUUAAAAAUGUUAUCAAACACGUUCUUUUCAAUGUGCAUGACAUCAAGGUUAUGGCGGAGAAUAUUGGUCUUCCAAUAAGGAAGCUCCCAAAAGAUACUUCGCUUCACUCAAUUAUGGGUCAAACCAAAACUAGGAAACUUCUGCUUACCUGAUUGGAGACCAAACAUAAUGUCACCGUACUUUAACACAACAUCAAACAAUUCUUCACCGGAAAGACGCGGGGGUGCAACAUCCUUUUCAACUCUGCCAACAAAGAAAUCAUUUUUGUUCUUUCUAUACCUGUGAUUCGGCGACAACAAAUGACGGUGACAGUAAAAAAAAGAAGCUUUACCACCGUUUGUUAGCGUGAAUGUCUUGUUGUGCUGCAUACAGUAUGGACAUGCUAGCUUUCCAUGCGUGCUCCAACCAGAAACCAUUCCAUAAGCUGGGAAAUCAUUGAUAGUCCACAUCAAAGCCGCUCUCAUAACAAAAUUCUGUUUCCUCGAUAUGUCAUAAGUCAAAGCUCUAGAGGACCACAACUGCGUCUACUCAUCAAUCAACGGACGAAGACAAACAUCUAUAUUCCGCCCCGGACUGCUCGGACCUGGUAUGACCAUAGAUAAAAACAUGAACUCUAGCCUCAUACACAUCCUCGGUGGCAAGUUAUUAACCGUCAGUAUGACCGGCCAACAAGAAUAAGGAGCAGCAAAUGACCCGAAUGGGUUGAAUCCGUCUGUACACAACCCAAGACGCACGUUUCUUGAUUCAGCUGAAAAGUGAGGAUGCACACUAUUAAAAUGUUUCCAUGCUUCACCGUCAGAAGGAUGAACCAUCACUCCAUCAACCGCAUGGUGUGAUUGGUGCCAUGUCAUGUGCUCAACAGUCCUUGGUGACAUGAAUAACCUCUGCAAUCUAGGUGUGAUUAGGAAGUAUCUAAGUUUUUUAUAUGCCACGAGAGUCUUCCCUCUACCAGUUCUGGGUUUGUAACGGGAAUGCCCGCAUGUCAUGCACUCGGUCAUCUCGGCAUUUUCAAGGUAGUAUAACAUGCAGAAGUUAGGGCAUAUAUCAAUUUUCUGGUAUCCUAAACCGAGGGGUUUCAUCAUGGACUUGGCAGCAUAGAAGUUCUCUUUCAACCUGUUCCCUUCAGGUAAAAUGCUUCUCGCCUAUUCAAUAAUCUUGUCAUAACCGGCCUCACUCAACCCGUGAUCUGACUUGAUGGUGAACACCUGUGCUACGGCUGAUAAUUUACUGUGGUUCGUGCAACCAUCCCAUAAUGGUUCGUCAGAAUCUUUCAACAGAUUAAAAAACCUUGCUGCACUUGCAUUAGGUUCUUGUUCUACGAUUGGACAUUCCCUGACAUUACCUUCACUCAUUCUCAUUGCAUCCAUAACCAUAUUCCUGUAAGGAUUACUGUUCUCAUUUCCAACUUCAUGCAUGUUGCUAGCACUAGAACUUGACCCAACCACCUGUUCUUCCAUGCUCUCAUUAGGAACAAAUAGUUCUCCGUGUGCAUACCAACACAGGUAAUCCUCCAUGAACCCUUUGGUUAGAAGAUGCAUCGUUACAACAUCUUGAUGCAGAAACUUUAAAUUUUUACACUUCCUGCAUGGACGCCUAAUACCGCCAUCAGUAAAAUUCCUCGGAAUAAAUGUUGCGAAAUUAAUAAAACCCUGGACACCAUUACAAUAAUCCAUCCUCCGCAAUCCUUGGGGUGAGUCCCGAUACAUACAUGAACGAUCAUCUAUGACUUCUAUUGAACCUCUAUAAAACAUAACAAAAAUAUUGAUUUUCCCCGACAUUAUCAAACAAACUAAAACAACACUUAUGUUAAAUAUUCAUUAUCAAUUAUCAACUAUCAACGUUCAUACAUACAAAUUUAUACAUAUAUAAAUUUCCAGAAAUCACAACUUCGAAAUAGAAUUGAUAACAAUUAAAAAAGACCCGUUAAACAAGCUAUUGAUUAUUUAUUUCAUCACAAUACAUUUAAUUUGGUGUAAUUCAAACAAAAUUUCAACAAUUUACAAACAAAUAUAAUUUGACAAAAUCUAAAACAAACUAUAACAACUAUAAAACUACACAUUCAUACUACAAGUUUCUUUGACAAAUAACAAUCAAACAAGUACAUACGUUAACAAAAUAUAUAUACUAAAAAAACAAUAAAAUUCACAUUUAAAUGUUAAAACUAAAAAGGAUAGAAUUACUUACAAAAAAAUGAUAAAAUCCACAAGAAACGGAUAUUGUGACCACGUACAAGGUAUAAGAAACUUGAGUGCUUGUGUUAAGAAUAGUGGAGAGUUGGGAUAGGUGGUUGGUUGCAGUUUGGGAGGGGAGAGGUGGGAUGGGAAAGAAGAAGAAGGAGAAACAGAGGAAGAGAGUGUCGGCUGAGGGGGUGUAUAUAAUGGUUUUUACUGAUGGGAUCCCUGACGGAUACAUUCCAUCGGUGAUUCCAUCGGUGAUUCUGUCGGUGACAGUGCCAUGUCACUGUACGACUAUCUCAGUUUGAAUCCCUCAGUCAUUCCGUCGGUAAAAUCGUCUGAAAAAACUCCACGUCACCACGCCGUUGCAUCUUUCCAAACAAAAUGUAUAGUCCGUCGGAGAUACGGUCGGUAUAUACCGACAGAUUUUGAGAUGGAAUUUAGUCCGUCGGUAAUUAUUACCGAUGAAAUAUUUCCGUCGGUAAUUCUAUUGGUUUUCGCCGGUUUUCUGGUAGUGAAAUAAACACAAAAAGGGAUGAAUUGUGUGAUUUUCCACGGUACCUCAUUCUUUUCAUCAAAAUUCUUUGUAGAUAAAAGAGACUGCAAAGGUAGAAUUUCAAUGCGAGAGAUUAGAGAGAGUAUAUUUAUUAUAUAAAAACAAAAAGAAAUUAUGUUUUUAAUGUAAAUCACAUCAUACUAUUUAUUAAAAUAGUUUUUUUAUUCUAUAUUUAAAUAUUUUCUAAUUUCAUCCAUGAGGUUAUUCUAAUCUCAUGAUUCGUGUAACAGGUUUGACGGGUUAACCUGAUUGACUAGAUUUUUUUUUUUUUGAAAUUGAUAUUUUUUUUAUUUCAUCCUCUAACAUUGCAUUGAUUGUGAAUUAGGUUUUAUGAUUUGUUUUGGUUUGUUUUCUAUGAGGUUAUCUCGGUCUCAUAACAAGGGUUUUGUGAGUUAACCCGGGUAGACUUGGGUUGUUUUAUGUGUCCUAUUUUUAUAUUGAUUUUUUUUUCCAAUUUCAUCUUUUAACAAUUGAUUGAUUAAGAAUUGAACUUCAUAAUUUGUUUUGAUUUGCUUUUUAUGGGGUUAUCUUAGUGUCAUAGACCAGGGUCGCAAGUAUGACAGAUUAUCCUAGAUUAACUUGGAUUAUUUUUACAGUUUACUUUCUAUGAGGUUAUCUUGGUUUCAUAACCAGGGUUAUAAGUUUGGUGAAUUAACCCGAGUUGAUUCAGAUUGUUUUAUUUGUGUUCUUUUUUUAAUUAUAUUCUGCAACAUUUAGUUGAUUCGAAAUUAGACUUCAUAAUUUAUUCGAAUUACUUUCUAUGAGAUUAUCCUGGUCUCAUGACUCAAGUCGUGGGUUUGACAAGUUAACUCGGGUCUUUUUAAUAUAUAUAUAUAUAUAUAUAUAUAUAUAUAUAUAUAUAUAUAUAUAUUCAAUUUCAUCCAUAUUGAGUUGAUUAGGAACUAGACUUCAUAAUUUAUUUUGAUUUAAUUUAUAUUGAGUUAUCAUGGUUUCAUAACCUAAGUCACAAAUUUGUUCAGUUACCUAAGCUAACUCGAAUCAGUCAAAUAUAUUUUUAUCUCAAUAUUUUGUUUUAACAAAAAAUAAAAAAGAUGUCUUAACUUUUUUUAGUUAAACAUGGUUACAGAUUCAAGUAACACAUAGAUGCAAAAAUUUCUGCACCAAGAUUAACCGAAGAAUGCAUUACCUAGCGAAAGAUGAAUCAUCUUUGUAACACCCCAUACUUUCAUAUGCAUUUAUAAUUAUUUUCCUACGAUUUAGUACGUAAAAAUACAAGUGAUUGUUUUUUACAAUUCUCAUAUAAAAGUCCACCGAAAUUUCCACCAAAAUUUCGACAAAGUCUCCCCUAUACCAGGAGGUCCCAAGUUAUCGACAUGUACCCUGCUUACACUUCUAAUAUCUCACAUCUCAUAACUCAAUCACGACUCAAUCGUCCUGGGUCUCAAUUCCACAAACAUCAUCAUCAUCACAACCAUAAUAUUUAUAACAUACAUUGAACAACAAAUAUCAUUAUAGAGAAAUAAAUGAGAUAAACACGCAUACAUGAAACAUUAAAUAUCAAUUAUAUAAAUUAAGUUAUAUAAAUGUUUUAAUAUUUCAAAAUACAAGGAUAAACUCCCUAGAACUACAUAACAAAAAGUUAACAAAAGCUAGGAUCUACUCCUGUCAUGCAUGUGAUGGUCCAGAAACAAAAUACAUAUUAUUGAAACAUGAAUAUCACAAUAAGUAUAGUAACACAAAUAUCCAACAAUUUAAAAAGGCAAACAUGUAUUCAUAUUCUAUUCACUUCUUCAUUUUUGUUUUCAUUGGAACUCUUUCUCAUUCAACUACUAAAACCGUUUUAUCUUCCAUUUUCAACUUCCAUUCAAGAUUCCAUAAGAUCAACCACAACUAUUUCUGCCUAACUCAUUAUCAAUACCAAUUUCACCGGUAUCAUCAUCACCUCGUAGGCGUUGAUGCUUAGCGAUCCCCUUACCCGGGACCCUAAAAUACACUAAAUGUAUGCUAGUCGAUGCAUGGUGAUCCCCUUGCGGGAUUCUAACAUACACUAAAUAUAUGUUAGUCCAUGCCUCAUAGGCGUCGAUGCAUGGUGAUCCCCUUACCCGGAAUCCUAACAUACACUAAAUGUAUGCUAGUCCAUGCUCCAUAGGCAUCGAUGCAUGGCGAUCCCCUUAUCUAGGAUCCUAACAUACACUAAAUGUAUGCUAGUCCAUGCAUGGUGAUCCCUUUACCCGAGAUCCUAACAUACAUUAAAUGUAUGCUAGUCCAUGCCCUAUAGGCAUCGAUGCAUGUCGAUCCCCUUACUUGGGAUCCUAACAUACACUAAAUGUAUGAUAGUCCAUGCAUGGUGAUCCCUUUACCCAGGAUCCUAAUAUACACUAAAUGUAUACUAUGUGUGCUAGUACAUGCCCCAUAGGCAUCGAUGCAUGGUGAUUCCCUUACCCGGGAUCCUAACAUACACUAAAUAUAUGCUAGUCCAUGCCCCAUAGGCAUCGAUGCAUGGUGAUCCCCUUACCCGGGAUCCUAACAUACACUAAAUGUAUGCUAGUCCAUGCCAAUUUCACCCAUUAAUAUUGUCAUUCUUUGUCCGAUCAUACUUAUCAUUAAAAACUUUCAUUUUGAACAUAGCUCGUUUCUUUUUGAAGCUAAGAUAUAAUAUCACAUCUUCCCCGAAGGGAAAGGACCCAAAUGUUCACCUUUUAACGUGUCUAAAUAGUCGCUUUAGCGACUUUCUGAAUCUGCCAGCAGGGGUCGUAUUUCGACCUCUCCUCAGAUUGUUUACUAUAUAUGGAGUUCUAGUACUCCGUUUCAAGCAAGGUUGGUCUCGUUGGAAAGCUAAGACACGGGGCUACAAGUUCCAUGAGGGAGGAGAACCCAGUUCUGCCCCCAAGACACUCGAAAUUAUUCGUCAACAAAUCAGACCUACUACCCUAUAGAGUCUGUCAUGACCCAGUCUCGGUUGAUGACCCAUAACUGGAGUUCUAUAGCUCCAAAUUACACGAGGUUAGUUUUGUUUAAAAUAUAACAUCCAUACCUACAACCUUUGUGAAGAACCCAAUCUGGAAUUUUAUCAUUUUGGUUCCCUAACCAUAGCCAAAAGGUGAGUGAUAAAACUGUUAAGUUCUAAUACAUAGAUUGGGACAACCAAUAUCUCCAUUUUUCUACUAUCAAUAAUAUGGCCGAACAUGCCUAAGGAAAGACACUAAGGAUUUUCUUCAAUUUAAAUCAUAAUUAGCAUGCUUUUGAUGGUUAAACACAAAUCAAGCCACCACACUUUCCAUUCAUUUCAUUUCUGCUAACCUAUUUUAAACAAUGUUUUAUUAAGGUUCAAGUUUCUCCCAACUCAAUCCGAAUGAAUACAAUCCAAAUGGUGAAGUUAACCACCAUUAUAUCAUGAAACACAUAUCAACAGAUCAUAGCAUUUUAACGGUUAGAUCUUUCUAAAUCAAGACCAAACCAAAACGGACCUGAAAAUUGACAAUACAUUGUUCUCCGAUGAAUAACUUCUUGUCAGAGUCUCUAAUACCGAUCUCCACCAUUCAUAAUGAAGAGCUCAUCAAUAUGACCUACAUAUCAAACAUAGAGCAAGAUCCAACGGUGGACAAAGGUGAAAACUGCUAGCGACCAUGACUAUGACUGAUGAAUUAGACCCAUCUCUCAAAACAAGAUUUCCAUCAUGACCAAGAACUGCUUCCACAGAACUUGACCUACUAGAGAUCAAAUUUGUGGACCAAAUUGGGAUCUUGGACUCAUUAAAGAGAACUAAAUUACCGCCAGAAAUCCUUAACUCUGAAGAAAGUUUAUCAGAAACGGGUGUCUCUGUUUGCUACCCAAACUAUGGUCUGUUCAGACACUUUAUCUCUACAGUACCACAUGCCUAUAUUAGUAGUUUGAGAUAAGGAGUUACCUGGAUGGAAGAAACCAAGUUCAAAGACUUUUCGUGCUGAGACAAUAGUUUGGUCUCCAGAGAGAGAACUGUUUGCAGAGAUUGUAUCAGCUCCAAGGGAGACAUGGGAGUUGAGAGGAAAACAAAAAAAGAUAACCAAAAACAUGAUCCAUGGAUUGUUUCGGACAUCCAUGGCUGCUGCCAAAGAAUUUUGCAGGCAAGAUUUAGAUGCUGGAGGUGCAAGAAUGUACACUACAGCUAGUUUAAGAGUCUGAAAGAGAGAAAACAAGACUUGGUCUCAAUUUGCUACGUAAGCAUUUGAAAAAGAAACUUCAAAGACUGUUGUUUUGAACCAUAAGUCAACCGAGCUUUCUUCUGGACACAUUCAGCGUCAUUUUCCUAAUGCCAUCUCCCCAUCAUUUAUUUGUUUAUUUUAUUACCAUAUGAUAUUCUCAAUCAAUUUUCAUUUAAAUCCAAAUUAUUUAUAUAUAUUAAAAUUAAAGUUAAACCUAUAUUUCAAUAUCUAUCAAAUCUUGUCAUUUAUAAUUAUUUACAUGCGGUGGUUGAUGCAUUCAUUAAAACGAAAAUGACAAAUUAAUAGGUAAAUAUGUGUCUCAUAUUUUUUCUUUUAAUAAAUAUUUAGUGUCCUUUUGGCUGCAUUUGUAAUGGAGUUUUAGUAAAAAAAAAUUUAAAAAUAAUCAAAUUAAUUUUUUAUAUAUUUUUAAAUUAUUUUGAUGUGUUGGUAUUAAAAAUAAAUUUUAAAAAAUAAUAAAAAUUAUUUUUAUAUAUUUUUAUAUAAAAAAAUCUUUUUAAAAAAAAUCAACUAAGCUCCCGAAACACCCUUCAUCAUUUGAGAUGCAGUGGGCGUGAUUUUUUUAUGAUAAAAAAGUCAUUCUCGUGGAAGAUGAAGGAAAGGCCACAUAGCCAAGAACUCUUGUAAAAUAUUAUUUCAUAUUAAUAUUUACCAUUGGCUAUUAAUUUCUUGAUAUUGUUACAUGUUUGUGAAUUGGUUUUCAUCAUUAUUCUCUUGAAGGUAUUUAAAUUUCAUUUUUUAACUCUUAAUUGAAAGAAGAUUUAUAAAUACAUUUGAUUAGAAAUAAUUAUUUGAUUUAAAUAAAAAAUUAUAUAAAAUCAAAAUCAAAAUUUUACUUUAAUCAAUUCUCUUAAAGAAACAAGAAAAAAGUUAAUAUAAUUUAUUUAUUUUUUGUCAAACAUACUUUUAAUCAAUUUAACUCAAAUUUUUUUGAUAAUUUAUUUAUGAAAAGAUAAUAUUAAAUUGUGAUUCAGAGUUAAAAACGAUGGUUUCAGAAGUCAUAAAUCAUGUAAAACGGAUUUUAAAGAUAAUAAUGGUUCAAAUUGUUGAUUAGAAUAUUUUAUUAUUAAUGUGUGAUAUGAAGUAUUAGAUAAAUAACACUAGUUGAUUAGUAAAACAAUACAUCUCAACCGUAGUUAAGAUCGAGUUGGGUGCUCUCAUUUGCCGUGUGGAAAACUCGCUCCAAUCACUUUCAUGAACAUAAAUAAAAUAUAUUGUUGCCUUGGGUGAUUUUUUAAUGAUAAAAAAUUGUCUUCAUUACAUGUUUAAUGAAACAAUGUUUUCCUUUGCUCGUAUCUUUUAUGAUGCAUGGCUGAGGGGUGAUUAUUUUUUUUUGUUCAAUAUGGGUUUUUACUUGUAAAAAACAACCAAAUCAAAAUUUUAUAAAAUACAAAAAUAAAACUGAAACCGGUUCAAACCAAACAAUUUCAGUUUGGUUCAAUUAUUUUAUAUUAAAAACCAAAACCCAACCGACCGGUUUUGGUUUGGUUCGGUUUGGUUUCGGUUUGGUUCGGUUACGUUUCGGUUCGAUUUGGUUAUUUUAUAUUAAAAGCCAAAAACUAUAUUGUUAUUUAGGGUUUUUUUUUUACUUUUCUAGUGGGUUUGGUUUUGGUUGAGUUCGGUUUUUUCAGUUCGGUUCAGUUUUUCAGUUUCAAGCUUAUGAAACCAAACAAAACCGAAUAUUUUUUAAAAUAUUCUAAAAGAUUUAAUCGGUUUUUUCCAUGUUUGAGUUUUUUCAAUUAUUUUGUUUUUUAUUUUCUCGGUUUAAUCGGUUUUUUAAUUUUUUUGUUCAUCUCUACAUGGCAGACAUAUCUAGAGACUCGGAUGAUUUGGGUUUAAAUUGAUUUAAAUUGAAUAAUAAAAAAACAAUUAACCUAAUUUGACCUAAUUAAAAAGCUUAAAUGAUUUGAGACUGGGUUGUCCUAGGUAAAACUCGAUUAAAAUUCUAUUAAUAAUUUUAAAAAUAAAUUAUUAAAAUAACAUUAUUUUAAUAUAUAUAUAUAUAUAUAUAUAUAUAUAUAUAUAUAUAAUGUCCAUGUAAAUUAAUCCUCUCCUCCUAGCUCGUGAUUUUUUUAAAAAAAUAUGCAAUACUCUUCAUCAAUAUAUCUGUACAUCCAUUUAAAAAGAAAAUUAUAACUGGUCUUCCCUGCUUAAGUUUGAAUUGGUUCGAGGUCAUGCCCUAAAUAAGAAGUCUUCUUUAGGGCUCGAGAAGCAAGACCGCACUUGGUCAUAUAAAUAAUCCUUUCUAAAAGAUUGAAAAUUGGAUCAGUCUUGACUUGGUUUUUACCUAUAUACCCUUGAAAGAUUAUCCCUGACGACAAGGAAGAAGAUUUGGAAAAAUUUACCGGAACAAUAAUCAAAUUGUUUUUGAAAACAAAAUCAAAAGGAAAAAAUCAAUUUUGUUCACAUAAAAUUAAUUUGAAAUUAAUAUCAACAACAAUUAAAACAUGCAAUCAACAACUUCUAUUGUCUAAUGAUGGUUCUGAUACAACUAUUGGUUUUUUGAAUAUUAUACACGCAACAAAAAUUAUAAAAUAAAAUUAUUCGGGAAUUCCUAGAAUCUAUUUAGAUAGAUCUAAAGUUUUUUAGAGAUUUAUUACCUGAAAUCUGAUUUUCUUCGGGUUUGAACAAUUUCUUAAAGACUGAGUUGUUGCAAACCAGAAGUCGUUCAAUUGUCCGGUCUUCAAAGAUAAUUCACUCGAACCACCCGUGACAAAUCUCAUAAAUUCCUAUUUAGAAGAGAGGGAUUUUUAUGUCUAGAGAACUAGCUCUAUUAUUGUAUUUACGUAGUUUUUAUGUCUAACAGACAACCGCUCCUUUUUUUAAUUACAAAAUAAUAGGCCUAGCUUUAUAUUUACAAGGAAUUCUAAAAACCCUAUAAAUGACAAAAUCUCUAUUUUCCCCUUAAAUAAUAUACAUAUAUUAUUUAAGGAUAAUUUUAAAAAUUUAAUCAAUCAAGUCCUUACUUGUUUUUCUCUAAAUCUAAAAAUAUAAUCUCUGUAUUAAUUAUAUUCUAAUUCUUAAUUUCUAAAAUAUAUUUUAAUUAAGUCAUACUUAAUUAAAUCAUCACAGUUUAAUUUCUGACUAAUGGUUUUUAAUGUGUAUGACUCAUUAGGUUUCUACUAUGUUGGCCCAAAUAUAAAUUAUAAUUCUAAUUAAAUAGAAUUGAAUAAGUGAAACAAUUUAAUUUAUUAUCAAUUCAACAAUUGAUUAAUUUAUAUUUAAAGAUUAGGUAUAUCAUCUAACAACAUGUCAUGAUCCCCUCAAUAUUAGAAAAAUCAUCAGUAGUUUGACUUAACCUUUCAGUGACCGAUUUCCUAGUGUAAUUAAUAUAUUUUCAUCAAUAAUGUUCUGAUUUAACAUUAAAGCAUGGAGUAUGUCUGUCAUGUUAAAUCAUGUUUGUUCUCUACAUAAUAGUCAUUGAUCGUUUGAUUAAAUUUUGAAACUUUUUUCAAAUCUCAUUCUAUCUUGGCCAAGGAUUUCUUGAGAAUAGAUGAAACAUUUUCUCAAAUUCAUCUAGAAUGAUGAAUCUUCUCUUGAUCACUCAAAUACCUUCAUAUGGUUCAUGUUAUACCUCAUAUCUUCCCUUUCAUUACCCCGAUUAAGAUAACAUGUAACAGGAUCAUAGCAUAACAUUUUUUAUAUAAGAUGAUUUAGUGAUCUUAAAUCUAAGAAUCACUUAAACAAUCAUCAUGUGAGCCUUUCUAUAAACAUAUGUUAUUUUUCUAUAUAAAAUUCUCAUAUAAUUCAGUUUAGUAUAAAUAUAUAUAACAAGCAAUUAUAUUAACAUUUCUUUCAAACAACUACAUCAUCUUUACUUCCAAAUGAACAGAACAAAAGAUCCAAAAACCAAGAAGAAAAAAGAUGAAGGGGUAGCAUUCCAUGCAGAAAUGCACCAUGAAAAAUAACCAUGGAAUGAAGAAAUGAUUCACAAAUAAUCUACCAAUAUUCUUAUUUGGUUGAAGAAGCGGCGUCUUGAUUCGGAUGAUGAAGAGAAAACUAGAAUAGCUUUCAUCAAUUAAAUCUAUCAUAACACAUGUUGAUAGACUCAUAAAUCCGCAUGUAGCGAUUUAUAACCCACAAGAAUCAAAUGCUAGCCCCAAACACGUAACUAACAACCACGCAAAAGAAAAGCAAGUGAUUGGUGGCUUGAUCAUCAUCUACCACCAACUUUGUUGUUUGCACAACUGCUGAGAAUCCUCGGCAUUUCAUCUCAUUGAUAAGUUGCCCUGCCCUUAGAUCCUUGUGCUGGAGAAAUCCUCGGAUAAAAACAUUAUAAGAACAAUUAUCUGGUGGGCGGCCAUCCUCUUUCAUUAGUCUGAAAGCUUUGUAUGCUUCAUCUAGCAAUCCCUCUCUACAAAGUCCAUUCAUUACUAAAGUCAAAACCCGAGCAUCAGGCUGCAACCCUUUGACUGAGUUCCGAAAACAACUCCGAUGCAUCUUUAAGCUUCCUAGAUCUGCACAUGGCAAUGAUUAUGAUAUCAUAGAUCACCAAAUCAUGAGACUUCAAGUAACUUUUUUGCAUGUCAUGAAAUAGUCCCAACGCUUGAUCAAGAUACCCUUGUUUUCUUAAGCCAUCAAGCAAAGUUGAGUAGGUCAUUAAAUCUGGGAAAUGGCUUUGGGCACGUAUAUCCUUGAAAAGCUCUUUUGCUUCCAAAACUCUCCCUGCCUGAAACAAGCCACUUAUAAAAGUGGUAUAACUAACAUUGAAAAACAAGCCACUUAUGAUCUUGAUAUCUCGCCUUCUUUUUCUUCUUUCCUCUAGAUGCAUAGCAUUAUGCUUGUAGAAAACGGAUCUGAAAUGUUUAUCCACAGAUGCAAAAAUUAUACUGAAACACCAAACCUAAUAUCCAUGAUAGUUGUUUUCUUUUGAACAAUAGAUACAUGAUGCUUGAAGAGGACAUGAAAAAAUUACAGACAAUAGAAGAUUCUAAAUUCACUCGAGAAAUUAUUCAACACAAUUUAUUAUUAUAUGCAUGCUUGGAAAGUGUAUGCACGCACCAGCACAAGCUCAAAAGUAAAUGCUAGGAAGAGGGGAGUAUGGAAAAGUGAUUUUUAAAAACCUAAACGCUCACCUCCUCCCUUAGUCUGUUCUGAACUUUGUUAGUUACACAAUUUGCUGUCAUACUCCUCGGCUUCAUUGAUGGCAUUUCUCCUGCAGAAAAUGAGUGUGAAAUUUUUAUCCAUGUGAACAUUAUGCAAGUAACCAUAAUUUGUAGUCAUGAUAUCUCAGUCACAUACAACAAACAAGAAAGAAAAGUAUGACUUGAUUCUAGAAACUGAGGAGGCUAGUCAGUAGCAUCGGCACGUCUCAAACAAGGCAGUCGCUUUGAUUCUGAUGAAUAAUAUAUAAUAGUGCUCAAUGACCACUCCAUGUGAGUAUACUUCAAUCUUUUAGUAUGGCAGGCUUUGCAGGAAACCCUUAUUUAGGUCAUUGUGAAGGUAAAGUCCUGGUUAGUUGUACAAUUUUUUUAUUUUCUUUGGCAUUAUAUUUCCUAAUCUACGAUUUUUCUCGAAUUUUUUUACCAUUACAUGGUGUAAAGAUCAACUAUGUUACACCAUAAAUGGCAGAGUAUCAUGGCUACAUGGAUUACCAUGGACAUGUAAGAGUAAAAACGGUGGUCCGGGUAUGUGGUUGCAUUUGCAUCCUUUAGCAUCUAAGGUUUUUUAGUGCCAAAACAGCAACUGAGAGGACAAAAGUUAAGCAAAGAAACUAGGGAAUCAGUAACAUGAACAAGUGCAAACAAUAGAGGAUCACACAUGAGUAAGUGCACUAGCAUGCACAAUAGCCACAUUCAAAUAGCUGGAGCCAGCAUUGACAGAAAACAACUAGGAUACCAUCAGCUCAACAUGACCAAAAAAGUAGCAGAAGUUUUGAGUUUUCCUAAGAAAAUUACGUAGAAUUCCACAAAUUUCUCACACGUUUUUGCAACAUGACACAAAAUCACCACCAAUUCAAACUUAUGAGGCCAUUUUUCUUGGCAUCAUUUCAAGGGUGGACCGUGUGUUGAGUUCUGGCCAACUGUCCAACGUAAGAAGUAGUGACUUUGCAGUCAAACCAAAGUCACCUUAACAGGGGACCCAAUAAGGCUACAACCCAUUUUUUGAUCUUCAAUACAUGACACUACUAAUGAACAUUUUCAGCUUAUAAUGUAAAGUUCAACAUGCAGAAUGAGAUGAGGCAAAGCACUUAUAAAGCUUGGUGAAUGCCUGCACUGAAAGUCUCAUAGUUAGUGUCUUGAUCAUGAUGUUAAUUGAGAGAGUUUAAAUCUCUAUAAGGGGUGCACAAGCAUACAAAAUCCCAUAAGUUUUGCAUUAACAAAAUACCUGAAGAUUUGGAUCAAUGUAUCCCACUUGUUCGGUUUCUUAAGUACAUCAACCACAUGUCCCAUCAAGAUAAUUGGAAAAAUCCAUUAGAAACAAGAAUUGCAAUGAACACAGAUAUUUUGGUAUGUGCUGCUUGAAAAACUAGAUUGUGAUUUUCAUUCUAAAUAAGAUUCAGAUAUGGACUCCUCGUAUUUGAUAAUUCAUGAUGAAGUUCAUCAACUACUGCACAGUAAAACUCUAGAUACUGAAAACAGGGCAAAUUAUCAUUUCCAGCAACUCUCGUGAUACCCAUACCAGAAUUCUACAGAUAUAUGCUCGAUUGCAAGUAUUUCUACAAGUAUUUUUUUGGCUCACCCAACAAGUAUUUCUACAAGUAUCUUUUUGGCUCACCCAAUUACAAAAGUUAACACUUUUAAUCUGAACAGUCACUUUCCACAAUUUUGGCUCCACAGCGCACUCUUCUUGAUGCGCUCGCUCUGCUUACAUUAACUCUUUUAUAAUCCACUCCUACUGGCCUGCUUUUUUUCCUUCCUGCCUUGGGAGAAUUACCACUUUCAAAAUAAGAUACAACAACUUCUUUUUUGCCUCCCUUUUUCGUUUAAUUCUUGUAGACGAACCUCUUUGGUGGUUGGUUUACACCAUAAAGGCGACUGAAGUAAUAAAGUGGGUCAACAUAACAAGAUGAUGAAGACACAAUAACUUUCAUGUUAGUUGGUUGGACUCUGCAAAGCAUAAGUGAUCAGAGUAAGGAACUGAAAACAUGUACUGGUGAUACCUUUCUGCAUAUGCUAAAUUACCGUCCAACUUAUCAGACGGCUGUUUUUUUUUGUAACGAGAAGUUAAGAGAGAACCGAAAAGAUUGUCAUCUCCUUUAACAUGUUUCAGCACCCAUGGAAGACCAGAUGGCAUGAUUCCUAUUGUUGGCCGCAUUGUGUUUAAUCCCUCUAAAGUUUCAACGCUGAGACUGUAACAAGGAACUGCUCGGACUCUUGUUAGAGAAUUUUUAGUUGUGAAUGUGUCAUGGAAUCCAAGAAGAUGCAUGGUUUGUAAACGCUCUAGCCACAACCAAAUCUUCAAAGAAGGAAAGGAAAUUAAAGCUAAAACAAACAUGAACCAAAAAUAGUUCGUAAAUGUAAUUUGCAAGUAGCUCACUAAAUUUCAUUCAACAACUACUUUCUUGUAAAACGAUAAGAAAAUAUGGGUGCCCUAGAAUUAUAAUAAAAACAAUAAACAGUCAUGGUAACUGAGCUAAGAACUUUGUUCUGUGGUUUACAGAAACACUUCCUUCCUAAUCCACGCAUAUAGAAGAUUAGAAUUUUCCAUCAACAUCAACGAUGAUUGUACCUUUAUGUUAAGCACACGUGAAAUGUGAAUUAGAAGCUCUUCUUUCCCCAAAGUAUCAAUCCCAAUAACGAUGUCAUGCUCCAGAUGAGAAGCAAUGAUAUCAACAACCUGUCAUUACCAAGUAAUUUAACUAGUAAGAAAAGUUGUAUAACUGAUCUGUUUCCUAUUUUGAAACACUGUAAUCUCCGCUAAAACCAUAAACUCAAAAUAAAUCUACCUACUUUCAUGACUAUUCCUAAGACACGAAUACUAAUCAAUUGCUCACUAUAUUUUCUCAUUUUCAUCACCAACAAUAUUUAGCUCUUUAUCCAUGCUUCAUCUUUAUUAACCGGUAUCCAUUCUCAGCAAUGCACAUUAAUCGUCAACACCUACCAAAAAACACUCAAAGAAAGAACUGCUAUGUGAAUAAGAAGUAUGUAAAUCCUACCUGUUGAGCAGCAACUUCUCGAGUGGGAAAAUCAUAAGACGGAUUACAAUACGUAUUAUCCAAGUAAAGAACAUCAACCGUCUCAUUCUUGAGAACAUUAAGUAGCCUGCUCCUCGCAUCCUUUGCCCUCUUGCUAUCAACUUCCCAUUGAAAAUCCCCCGUAUACAUCAAGCAUCCAAACUCCCCGCGAAACAAAAACAUGACCCCUCCUGUUAUAGUUCAAUCCCAUCAAAUCUCCAUAGUCAACCAUCCAAAAAGUGAUUUCCUGAAGGUAAUGAUUUCUUUUUCCGAAAUCGAUUCCCAAAAUAUCUCAUGCAUUGCGAUUGAAUAAGCAAGCGAACUCGGCCGGUGGGUUCCGGGAUAAAAAAGAAAACAUAAACAAAUUGGCUUACCAGGGCAAUGGUGGGUGUCGAGAGCCAUGACAUGAGCGGUGAUUUGAGAUCCGAUGGUCGGAGAAAUAAGAGAAAAAGAAUGCUAGAUGUGGAGAUCGACAACGCGAAGUAGAGAAAGGUUGAAAUCAGGGAACUUGAAAGGUAAGAGCUUAGCGGUUAGUUUAGAGCAAAAGAGAGGACCUUUUCCCCAUUUUGAGGUCAAGCCUUGAGUGUGGUCCGUGUGUAAGUGAGUCAAGAAGUAUGCUUGGCUUGACUUGGUGAAUCGGUCCACUGAUAUCAAGCCUUUCUCCAUCGAGAUUCGAGAGAGGAAGAGGUUUUGAUUUUUCAUUUUGCGGGGAAAUUUGAUUUUAUUUGAAUUAUUUUUUGAUUUAUUUUAUCUUAUUGAGACACAGCGCAUGUGUUUUUUAUAUUUCGGAGGUAGAAAAUUUGAAGAAUGAAAUCUUAUAAGAUGUGCUUGAUCAUAUUCAAAUAAAAAAUCAAUAAUUAUGAGCUAAUUAAUAUUUAUAUAUCGUAUAAGAAUUUUGGAUUAUCUAAAUUUAAUCUUAAAAAAACCCUAAAAAAAUGGGAAAUUCAUGUUUAUUUGUUGUGCAUUAAGAAACAUUUCACCACUCAUUCAUUGUUUUAUUAUUCACAUAUUGUUCAUUGCUUUUUUAUUUUAUUUUGAUUGUUAUUUUUUUUUUCAAUUGUAUAUUUUAUAGCUAAAUUAAUAAUCAAUUUCUUAUAAUUUACAAUUAAGAGUUAAAGUUCUAAGUUAGAUGAUUAAAGUUCAAAACACGGAAAAACCAAGUGGCCAAUAAUAACUUUGAGAAAAAAAAAGUAUUUUUAAUCCCAAAAAAAAACGUUCAUUAUGGUGGUUUUUUCCAUGGAUAAUUCCAGAAAAAUUACAUUUAUACUUAGAUGUUUGGGAUGUGGUAGCGGUUACUUUUCAAAAUGUUUUUCAUUCUAAAACACAUUAAAAUAAUAUUUUUUUUAUUUUUAAAAAACAAUUUUUGACAUUAGCACAUUAAAAUGAUCUGAAAACAUCAAAAACAUAUUAAUUUGAUGUAAAGAAAAAAAUAAAUAAAAAAUAUAUUUUUUUAAAGCGUUUUCCGACCGCAGUGUCAAACACUAUUUAGGCAAUUGAGAGUUGCAGGGGUGUUUUAGGCUUCUUCUUUUAAUUUCCUCCUUAAAAUUAGCUCGAAAUGGGCUUUGAAGGUAAACCACCUAACUGAUUUUUCUUUUCUUUUUUUUUUAAUAUUAUUGGGCCAUGCUUUUCCAGCACAAGCCUUUUUCUAUACAGACCUAGUGUGCGUCCAACCCAAUUUUUCUUAAUACCUUUCCUUUUCAAUGAUUUAUUGUUUUCUUAAUAUCAAUAUUAUUACAAUACUUAAUGAUUUUUUUCCAUGAUUUUAGCUUUUUUAUUUAUUAAAAAUCAGUGUAGAAAAAUAAUGAUUAUGGUAAAAAUAACGAUAAUAAUCAAUUUUUUCUAUAAUAAUUGAGGCUUGAGGAUAGAUAAUAUAUAAUACUAAAAUAGAGUUAAUGUAAUAACUAUUUGUUUCUCUUAAUAAAUUCAACAUUGACUUUAGAUUAAAUUCAGAAUAAUAAGGAUUUAUUUGUUGAUAAUUUAUCAUUUUUGGCGAAUUAUGUGUUGGUUCAAAAUUGAUCAUGUUUCUUAAUUAAUAUUUUCAUUUUUCUAUGUAAAUUAAUAUUUUAUUUCACAUGAUAAAAAUAAAAAUAAUAUUAUAAUAAAUGGAUACGAUACAAGUUUUUAGUGAAAUGAUUUAUGAGGCUUAAUUCCAGACACCUUUAGUUACACCACUCUUGUAAAGAGGCUUGUUUAAACCCUCGUUUGAUAUUGUAUUUUAAAUAGGGUUAGACAAAAUUUAAAUAUAUAUUUUUUAUAUUUUUUAAUGGUUUUAAUGUGCUAAUAUUAAAAAUAAUUUUUACAAAAUAAAAAAAAUAUUAUUUUAAUACAUUUCCGAAUGAAAAACACUUUAAAAAACAAUCACUACUACACUAUCAAAUACCACUAACUAACACUGGGGUUUGAAAGGAAAUGAUUGCCAAGGGCAUCCCCAGAUUUGAUGACUUACUCAACGCAUGAUGGCUUUUGUGAAGUUCAUUAAGCGGAAAAGGUGACGUAAUAGCUUCAUACAAGGUAUUAUUAGUCUUGUCGAAGUCUAAAACAAGCCACCAAUCACUGGCAUUUGUUUCUUGUAGGUUAUAAACUGAUACAUGCAGGCUUAUGUGUCUGUCAGCAUGUGAUUUUAAUCCCAUGAUCAAGUAUCAUGUAUCUGUUGUUCAAGAGAAAACAAUCAUCCUGUGGUGUUCCUAUAUAAUUCUUGCAUAUGUGGAUAAACAUUUCAGAUCCUUUUUCUGCAGGCAAAAUGCAAUGGAUCUAGGGGAAAGGGAGGAAAGAGAGGUGAAAGAUUAGAUCGUGAAUGAAGCUGAAGAUUGUAAACAAGCUGCAAAGUGUAAUCUUCCUAAAAUAAAUCACUCAUACUAUCUAGUACUUGCACUCACUUUCACUGUGUUAGCACUCAACCUUGUUGUGUUUAGCUCUCUAUCUCAAAAAAAAAAAAAUUGCCUCUCAGCUUGUAGGAAGUAAGCUCUGAUACCACUGUUAAAGCUGCAAAUAAAAGUAUAACAAUAGCAGCAAAGAAUAAAGGGAUAAAUUUUCAUAAAUCCAAUAGAAUGGUAGAUAAUUUAACGUUUAAUUGAACAUUAUUUACUUGUGCUGAAUAAGUCUUUCAAAAAUGAUUGUUUAAAAAAUUUAAGUGGCAAAUGAUGGUGCAAUGUUUUUAUUAAAAAAAAACUAGCAUGUAUAUUGCACACUUCAGCAUUCCAACCAUUUUGGUUUGUCAAAAAACUAGAAAUCAUAGCUAUUUAGCCCUAGCUAGAUAGUAAGAAACCUUGAAUUGCAGACCCUGACCCUAUCCUUACUUACCUCAUUUUGUCUGAACAUUUAUGUAUUUUUAAGUUCCCAAGUCGUCCACACAAACUUUUCAUGCGUGCAAUAUGUUUUAUGCAUGAAGUGCUUUCUCUAUAUAGUCUUAACACCAUUUUUCUAGCUAAUGGUUAUUUUUUGGUAUUUAAUAUCGAUAUUUUCACUAAUGGCACAUACAUAUAGCACAACAACUAGCAACCAACUGAUGACUCUGUUUUUUAAGAAAAUUUACCAAUAAUCUGAUUAUGAAUCAUUUAAAAGCAAUAGAAAAGGUACUCAAAUAUUUGGGAUACACAUUAGACUAUGGACACUAUUGUGCUAGUUACCCUAGAGUACUAGAAGGGUAUAGUGAUGCAUAUUAGAUAUCUAAUACUAAAAUUUCAAAAUCCACUAACAGAUAUGUCUUCACACUUGGUGGAGUAAUUAUGUCCUAAAACUCCUCUUAGAAAAAAAUUGUAUCAUAAGAUACAUGCAUGAUGGGAUCAAAGUUUAUUGUUCUUGAUAAAAGUGAAGAGGUAAUCGAGAGGCUUUGAAAUUGCUUAGGGGAUAUUCUAUGUUGGCCAAAAUCAGUGCCAGUAAUUUAUGUCCAUUGCAACAACCAGUCUUGAGUUGGAAGCAAUAUAUAAUGCUCAAUCUAGACAUAUACAUCAUUGACAUAAUACCAUUAAUUAAAUACUUGUUAUCAAAUGAAAUUAUUUUCAUUGACUAUGGAAAUUCAAAGUAAAAUAUUGCAAACCCAUUGACCAAAGAUUUAUUGAUAGAUCUUAUGUAUAAUUCAUCAAAGGGUAUUGGUUUAAAAAAUUUAAAAAUAAAAGAGUGUAAUGAUGGUGACAACAACUAGUUGAUUAAAGAUCUCAAAAUCCAGGUUCAAAUAGAAAACCAAGUCAUAUAACAUUUUCUGUAGCAUUAAAAAAUUAUUAUUUCCUGCUUAUUCUUAUGAUGAAAUAGGUAGUAGUUGUAGUGUGAUAAAAGGGUGAGUUGUGCUCUUAUUUAUUUUUAUAUAUUGGUUUAUCAAGUAGAGUAUAAAUGAAUACUCUUAAUGAAAAAUCACAUAUAUAAGUGAGAAAUGUGGUUAUUUCUUUGAGAACUUUAAUGAAGGAAAAUUUAUGUAAAACAUCCAUAAAUCCAGGAUUUGUUUAGUGCCAAAAUAAACAUAAUAAUGAGAACCAAAGUAAAUAUCUAGGUAGAAAACUAUGUGAAUAUUAUUGUCUUGGUUUACACAAAAGGUUGAAAGUUUAAGACAUCGCGUUCUCUAUUUAAUGGAGUAAAUCUAAUAGUUUUUCACUAAACAAUAUUCAAAAUUAAAAGAAACCUAUCUUGAUGUGAUGAUCUACCAAAUUAGUAUCUCUUUAUCAAUUUUCAAGUCUUUUAUACUAACCAAAUUAGUAUCUCUUUAUCAAUUUUCAAGUCUUUUAUACUACUCGGGUAAUUUUCAUUCAUAUGAAGGAUUGUUGAAAUUUGUUUUAAUAAAAUAUGAUUAAAAGGCAUAUCUAAGGUCAAAUUAAAAAUGGAGUCCACUCACUUUUAAGGUCAAAUCUUUAUUAAAAAGUGGAGUCCAACAAAAUUUCAUUAAUAUGAAACAUUAACAUGAUUAAAAUAAGUUAUGGGUGAAUGAGAAAUUGAUCUCACAGAACUAUUGGUUGACAUGUUUUUAUAAAACCAAAAACCCUUUAUGCAACAUAGGAAAGAAAAAAUAUUUUUUUUUUAGUUUAUACAGAAGGAUGUUAAGGAGUCAUAAAUGAGUCUUAACAAAGUAGUAUAGGUUUAACCCACAAACGCGUGAUCAAAUCAGCUAAGCUAUGGCUCGAGCUCCUAGUUCCAGGUUUUAGGUCCUCAGUCUUGGUUUUGGGUUAUUUUUUCCUAACAUAUUUUGAUCUUGAAUUUGGGUUUAUUAUAAAAUAAUUCUUUGGCUCAUAAAUAAUUAUUUUUUGCUAGCCUAUUUUUUUGUCCAAUCCAGCCCAUGAAUCUAAUUAGUUUUCUUCAAGAAGAGUUUCUUUAAAUCGUAUUAGUUUUUUCAACUCAGUUCAUCAAAUUUAAAGCCAAAACAUUAAUGUUUAAUUUUGAUUUUAUGACGGUUAAUCAAAGUUAAUAAUGGUGGAAAUCAAUUCUAGUAAUCAUCAUUAUUAAUUCUUUAUCAGUUUUAAUUCCAAAAUCCAUUAUAAAAAAAGGGUGAAUGAAGAGUUUCUUGCAUUGUUUAUCCUGAUUUUAUAUAUUCUUACUCACCUCAGUUUUUAAAGUUAUCUCUGUACUUUCUGAACUUUGUUUUUUCUUCUAAUCUAGAGUUUAGACUUAAUUUUAUUAAGAGAUAAUUGAGUCUAAAUAAGAUGUUGUUGUUGGAAUCUUAAAAAAUAUAUUGUAAAGAUCUUAGUUGCGCUAAGUGAGGAGCAAUGAAAUAUUAAGGAUAAAGAAUUUAUUAUGACGAGACGACGACAACAACAGUAGCAGCAGCAGCACCAACAACUUUAUUAUUUUACAUAUGAACAUUAUUUUGGACAAAACCAUAAUAUCAUGAAUUUCCACAAAACCAUAAUAUCAUGAAUUUUCACACUUAAACAUAACAAAAGCAAAACAUUACUAAGAUCUUAUCAAGGAUAAAGCUCAAUGAGAGCUCUUGUGCCUAGCACAGGGUGUAUCUUAUAAUUGAGGAAACCAGCAUCAAAGAAGAGCUUAGCCCACUCCUUUUCAUUUCUCUCCAUGCCACUAAAACCCACCAUCAAUUGUAGAUCAAAAAGUAGCUGCGUUUCAAUUGACCCCUCGUCUCCAUUCAGGUUCUCUCUCACCAUAUCUAUAAUUAUCACCUUCCCAGCUUUCUGCUGUCCCGUACUCAUAAUUGCUUGUUUGCAUCGUCUAAGUAUUUUCACGCAGUCUUCAUCACUCCAGUCAUGCAGUAUCCACUGUUUUUCAUUUGCCAUAAGAUAUGUAGCAUGAAUAAAUGAAGACGGGAAAAAAAAUCCUAAAGGAAAUAGAAAACAUAAGAUGCAUGUAUAUAGAAACUCCGUAGUAUAGAUUUUUGGGUUAGAGAUGAUGUCCAUCUUUGAAUAUAAAUCUUCAUAUGCAUGUGUUCGCAGAGGUCAGGAAUGGAAUAGUUUAUAUAUGUGUCAAAAUAUAAGCCCAAGGAUGGACGUGUAUAUAUAUAUAUAUGCAAAUUUAAUAUAUAGUGGUGGUAUAAGAAUACUGUUAAAAUUAAUUUACCUUGAGUAAAAUUGCGUCUGCUGGAGGAACUGCCUCGAACAUAUCCCCCCCUACAUACUUCAAAUUUUUGCUGCCUUGCAAGUCAGAAACCACAUGGGGGAGAUCAAACACGGUGCAGUCCAUGUGGGGAAAUGCUUCAGCAAUGCCCUUGGCCAUAGUUCCUAAGCCUCCCCCGACAUCCACCAAAGAAUUCACCCCAUCAAAGAUGCCUUUACAUUUGCAUACAACCACCUUACUAACUAGUAUGCUAUCUCUAGCCAUGGCAUCAUUAAAGAGAUUGUUGAUUCUUGGAUCUUGGCCAGCGUACUCCCAAAAUGUAUUUUCAUGGGCAACACUAAAUGCAUUGCGAUCAUCAUUUUGGAACCAAGUGCUCAAGCAAUCCCAUGGUUUUGUCAGAACUGGGUCGAGAAACACAAGUAAAAGAGGUCUCAUACUCCAGGGAUUGUCCUUGAGUAGGAGACGAGUGGAUUGGGUAAGGGAAUAGGCAUCUUGGUUGUGAAUGUCAUUAAGAUUUUGCUGGGAAAAGAAACCAGAGUGCACGAGAAUACGCAUAAGGCGGUGGACAUAUUGAGCUUUUGAUGGGUGGAUUGGUAGGGCAGAAACAAGCUCAGAGAGGGUCAUGGGUUUGCCAUGUUUUUGGAUCACAUCUGGUAUGCCUAGUUGAACAGCACAUUUCAAAGUCAUGGAGUUUAUGAAGUAGAAUAUAUGAUUCCACACAUGAGUUUGAGCUUGAAGUAGCUCACUAGCACUUUCCUCAUUAAUCAACUCCAUUGAUUUUUAAGUAGUAUAUAUGCUGUUAUCUCGCCAUAUUUAUAGGAGUGAAACUUGCUGUAACCUUGGAGAAGGCUUAAUUUCGCAACUGUUGUAUACAAUAAAAAUAUUAAAAGGAUAAAUUCUUAAAUAACAAAUGAUUUGAUUUCAAAUGCUAUUAGAGUUCUGUUAAUGAUAAGAAUUUGUAUUAAAAGAUAAAUUCUUAAAUAACAACGGGUAUGAUUUGAUUUCAGAUAAGCUAUUAGAGUUCUGUUAAUGAUAAGAAUUAAUUUGACUUAAAAGACAUAAAAGUCUUGGAUUCAAAUCUCACUUUUAAAUAACUUUUAUAGUUAUGAUUAAUUAUUAUACAUAAUAAUAAUCCUUAUUGUCUAUCUUCAGCUAAUUAUACGUAGUUAUGUCCCAUGUUAUCACUAUUUGUUGAUAAAUAAAUCAAGUGGUUUUAAGUUAGAAGUUAGAUAAUGCUUGGUAUUGUAAUAGUUUAUGUUUUUUUGUUUAUAAAAAAAAAUUAUUUGAUUAGUUAAAUAAUUUUUGCUUUUUACACCGAGUUUCAAACUUUGAUUUUGUAUAAUAAACGAUAUUCAUGAAAAUAUACUUUUUAUUCAUUUUAUAUACAAAAAUCUAUUAUAUAGUUAUUUUAACAAAACAUAUAUUUUUUAAAACUUAAUUUUUUAAAACCAUAACUAAAAUUAUUUUACUAAAUAUAUUUUUUAAUGUAAUUUAUUUUUUAAAUAUAAUAAAUAUUUUUUUCAUCUUAAAAAAAUAUCUUUCAUACUAUUUAAAGUGAAAGCUACUAUGGUGGGCUCCGUGAUGAAUGGCUAAAAGAAUAUAGAAGGUAUUAUAAUAACCCUACAUAUCUAAGAUUUUAAAAAAAUUGAUAAUUAUUAAUUAAUCUCUUAUGUAUAGUCCAAAACCAUUACCAGAUUUAAUAGUUUUAUCAAUAGAAAUUUAUAUCGAUAUUUACACUAAUAUUUUAUCUGUGAUUAUUUUACCGAUGGAAUCACGGACGAAAACUAUCCAUCGAAAAAAUAUUCAUCGGUAAUUUCUGGUCUGUCAAUAAUAAAUUUACCAAUAGUUUUACAGACGGAUUAUGCAAGCCAAAACAAAAAUUUUCCCGCUUCAAUCCUUCGGUAUUAUUUAGCAUAUCACCGACAGAAUAACCGUAGGUAAAUCUAUUGGUGAGUUGCAGUGGCAUUUACAGUAAUUCUUUUCUGACUCUCUGGAAUAUAUUGAUGGAAUUAUUUCAUCGGUGAUUUAACAGUUGCAGUGGCAUUUACAAUAAUUUAUUUCCAACUCUGACAUAUACAAACAGAAUUAUUUUGUCGGUAAGCCCGUCAAUACUAAUUUAAAAAUAUUUUAAAAAAUUCUAUUGAACAGAAAUAGAAAAUAAUUUUAAAUUUUAAUUAAUAUAAAAUUCAAAUAUUUAAAAAUCAAUUAUCUUAAUAUAAAAAUAAAAAAAUUAUUAUAAAUUUAUACAUUCAAGUAUAAUAAAAUUAGAAUAGAGGCGGUGUUGGAGGAGGAGGAGGUUAGUCGUCCUCAUGACCAAUAAGGAGGUGCACAUGUACCGUCCAUCUGUGAUCUCAUAUCCAUAAUCAUUUAACGGAGUUCUUGUAGAGAGUUGUUCAUAUUUUUCAUUAAAAUGGGUUGUAUGUUCUUACACUCCUUAAUCUAAUAGGUCGCGAACUUCAGAGAUUGAGUGCUCAAGAACGAUUACGAACACCCAACGAUUGAAACACUAUGGGACGUCUGCAAGUUCUCGGCUAAGUGUUAGAGAGUCCAUACGAUCGAUUUCUAUUGAGUCCAUCGGCUUAUAAUUUACUGUGAUUUCUAUCGAGUCCAUAAUGGUUCAUCAGAAUCUUUUAAAAGAUCAAAAAAAUCUUAUUGCGUCUGUAUUAGGUUCUUCAUCUACUAUUGGACAUUAACCGACAUGACCUUGAUUCAUUCUCAUCAUAUCCAUAAUCAUAUUUCUAUAAGGAUUAUUAGUCAUCUACAACUUCAUGCACAUUGCUAGCAGUAGAAGUUGACUCAGUCAUCCUUUCUAUCACGAUCUCAAGAGUAACAUCUGGUUCUCCGUGUGCAUACUAACAGAUGUAUUGCUCAAUAAACCCUUUUUGUAAAAGAUGCAUUGUUACAACAUCUGGAUCAAGAAAAUUUUUAUUUUUACAUCUCUUGUAUGGACAUAUAAUAUCACCUCAACUAAUUUUUUCGGAUUAAAUAUUGCAUAAUUAAUAAAACCAUGAACCCCAUUACAAUAAUCCAUCCUUCGUAAUUCUUGGAGUGAAUCUCGAUACAUCCAUGAACGAUCAUCCAUCACUUUUAUCAAACCAAUAUAAAAUAAUGAUGACAACAUGUAUUAAUUAAUUCGUUAACUAAAGAAAUUUGCAAAAAUAUUGGUUUAGCUCAAGCUUAUUCAAUCUAUUUUAAUAUUUCUCUUAAUUCAUUAUCAAUUAUCUAUAUAAAUGCAAAUUUAUACAUAUUUACCAGAAAUUACAAUUUGGCAAUAAAAUUGACAAAUAUCAAAUGGAACCAUUAAAUAAAUCAUUAUUUAUUUCAUCACAAAACACCUAAGUUUGUAAUUUGACAUAAGUUUCAACAAUUUACAAACAAAUACAAUUUUACAAAAUAUAAAACCAAUCAUAACAUUUACACAACAUAAAUCCAUACAAUAAGUUUUUUUGAGAAAAACUUUUAAAACAAGUAAACUUCCAAAUAAAAUACAUAUGCUACAAAAAUAUGCAAAAAAUUAACAUUUUAAAAUUGUGUUCAAAUUAAAAAAAUGAUAGAUUUGCUUCCUUAAAGUGGAGAAUCUCAAUAAAAUUUAAAUCAGAACAUGGAUGCUAACAAACUGAGUGUUGUUGUUGCUAGAAAAAUUAUGGGAGGUUGAGUUAUGUUGAGAUUGAGAUUGAGGGGUGGUUAUUUUGUUACAUAGAAAAGUUUUACAAAGAAGAAGAAAUGGGGGAGAGGGAGAGGAGGGUCGAGCGUUAGGUCAUAAAUUAAAUAUUCUCGAUGGAUUGACCAAUAAAAUUAUUUUGAUGGUAACUACGUUAGUAAUUUUGUCGGUAUAAAUGUCACAUCACCAUAUGAUUUUUUUUUAAUCCCACUGUAAUAUCGUCCGUAAUGUCGUCAGUAUAUACCGAUAAAAGUUUUUCGUUGGGAUAUUCAUGGACAAAUUGUAUCAUCGGUCCAAUGUUGUCGGUAAUAUUGUUUGUAAGAACUUACACAUAAUCAUAUUGUUUGGCUUUUUUUUAUUCCUUUUGUUUCCACUGUGAUUCCUUCGGUAUAUACCAACAGAUUUAGUGAUGGAAAAAUUUGGUCGGUAAAUGUCAUUGCAAUAUACCAAUAGACAAAUUUUGUUGAUAUUUUUAUUUGUAUUUGCUAAUUUUUUAGCAGUGAAUAAUCACAAGACUUUUACUAAAAGAAUAAAGAUCACGAUAGGAAACAAAAAUAAAUAGUCGAUAAACAAAUUGUUAUGAAGUUCACAAAUUUUAUUUGUUAAUGCAUGUCUAGAUUUGUUUUCCAAAUUUCAAAUGAUUUGAAGAAUCAAUGUAAUUUAUAUAUAUUAUUUUUCUUGCCUCACAUGUUUUAAAAAAAUAAAAAAUAUAGUAAUAACGUAACAUAUCUAAGUUUUUAAAAAGAAUUGAUAAUUGUUAAUUAAUUUCUUAUAUAUAGCCCAAAACAAUCACAAGACUUUUACUAAAAAAAAAUAAGAAAUUUCAUGAUGAGAAAAAAUAAUAAAUAGUCGAUAAGCAAUUAUAUAAAUCUAAAUACAAGAUGUAGCUUUAUAAAUAAAAAUAAAAAAUAAUGUAAGAAUUAAGGGCAAGAUAAUUAUAAGAGUCUUUCUAACAAGUUUUUAUUUUUUUAUUUUUGAAUUAAGAGCAAAAUAGUUAAUUCAAUUCAUUUCCAUUCCAAAUACUAUAAUAAAAUUGAAUUUUAUAAUUUAAUAUUUUAUUUCAAAUAUAAAAACUAUAAUAAAUUAUCAAUUUAAUUCAAAUUACAAAUGGAAUUGAAUUCAAUUUUAUAUGUAAUUUGAUUCUAAAUAGGCUAUUAAAGUUUUGUUAAUGAUAAGAAUUUGACUUAAAACACAUAAAAGUCUUGGAUUCAAAUUUUACUUUUAAAUAAUUUGUGUAAAUAAUUUUUAUAGUUAUGAUUAAUUAUUAUAAAUAAUAAUAAUCCUUAUUAUCUAUCAUCAUCUAAUAUCUAGUUUUGUCCCAUGUUAUCACUGUCUGACAAUAAAUAAAUCAAGUGGUUCUAAGUUAGAUAUUUUUUUUUUAUAUAUUGCUUGGUGUUGUUGUAGUUUAUGUUUUUUGUCCAGAAAAAAUAAAAAAACUUAGCUAGUCAAAUAAAUUUUUUUUUAUUUAUUUACGUGGGGUGUCCGGGUCAGCUUACGCGCACCACGACUAUUCCCCAAGGCCCACUGGACAUCCUGCAAGCCCAGGAGCAGGUAAGGCACCGCGGGGGUGACAGGCGUGCAUAUAGAGGGUCGAACCCGGGACUGGGGCGGAACAAGUCCACGAUUGACCACAGCACCUAGACUCUCAAGUGCUAGUCAAAUAAAUUUUGCUUUUACAUGGAGUUUCAUUAUUGUUAUAUUUCAAUUCUUAAUUUUAUAGAAUAUAAGAUAAUCUACUUUUUAUUCGUGAAAAUAUACUUACUUGUUUUAAUUAAAUAUAUAUUUUUAAAAUUUAAAUUUUUAAAAUCAUAAUUAAAAAUAUUUUUUCUGAAUAUAUUUUUUAAUGUAAUUUUUUUUAAAUAAAAUAAAUAUUUAUUUCAUCUAAAAAAAAUAUCUUUCAUACUAUUUAAAGUUAAAGCCACCAUGGGGGGCUCCCCAACCUAUGCCUAAAAGCAAUAUAGAAGUUCGUUCUGUGCUAUAUUGUUUUUGGUUAAAAAUAGCUGGAUCCAAAAAAAAAAAAAAAAAAGGUAAAAUUGUCAUUAUCAAACUAUGGAUAUGAAAAGAAAAGUGCAACCACUAGCAUAUAGAAAGUAGGUGUUUUCUUUACGUAGCUCCCUUCAUUCGUGCAAAAGCAACGAAUUUCUAUUUUAUUUAUUUAUCAUGUUAUCAUCAUAAAAAUAAAUAAUAAAUUCAUUUUAUUUAUUAUUUAAAAUAAAAUCAAUUUUUGUAAUUUCAUUUUCCAAAAUAAGUAUUUUAUUUAUUUAUCUCUUUGUAAGCUUGUUUCUAAAAUAAUACAUAUUAAAAAAUUCCGAACAGAAAAAGAAAAAAAAUAUUUUUUAAUUUAAGGGAUAUGAUUACAAGUGGUUUGGGAAAAAACCUUACAAAUUUCUCAUAGAAUAUGACAAACUUGUCCUUCGGAGAGGACAAAAACCACUUCCUGUUCUAUCUUAUGCACCAAAUAGUUUUAAAAUAAAGUUGUUCUAUCUUUUAUAUAUAUAUAUAUAUAUAUAUAUAUAUAUAUUGUGGCCAUAAGCUUGCCGACAAACAGCAGGCGAAUAGACUUGUAGACAUUUCUCAGUACAAGGUCGGAAGGUGGGCUCCCCAGCCUAUGGGAAAAAAAUUAUAAAAAUCUUCUCUGGUUUUGUUUUUUUUUUGGUUAAAAAUUGAAGGACUCCAGAGAAUAUGUAAAAUUGUUAUGAAGUUCACAAAUUUUAUUUGUUAAUCCAUGUCUUGAUUUGUUUACCAAAUUUCAAAUGAUUUGAUGAAUCAUUUUAUUUUAUGUAUAUAUUAUUUUUCUUGCCAGACAUGUUUAAAAAAAUCAAAAGUAUGAUAAUAACCCUUUUAAAAAAUAUUGAUAAUUGUUAAUUAAUUUCUUCUGUAUAGCAAAACAAUCACAAGACUUUUACUUAAAAGGAAGAAAAAUCAUGAUGAGAAAAAAUAAUAAAUAGGCAUAAACAACUAUAUAAAUGUAAAUACAAGAUGUAGAUUUAUAAAAUAAAAUAAAAAAUAAGUAAAAAAACGAUAUCAACUCGCAUUAACUAUUCAAACAUGUAACUCGAAUAAUUAAAUCAGAAGCACUCCACCUGACAAAACCACAAAGUAAAAUCCCUAACCAAUCAAUUUUUAAAGAAAAAUUAAACUAUAAAAUAAAAGAUCCAAAACAAAAAAAAAUAAAUAGCAAUUAAAAAAACAAUGAUAGCCAUUGAAAUAAAAAAUAAUUAGAGGAAAACUAAGAUUUUUUUAUUGAAGGAUGAAAUUGAACCAAUAAAAUAUUGAAUGAUGGAAUUGAAAAAAAACAUUAAACUAUACAAAAGAAUAUAAAACAAAAAAUAUCAAUUAAAAGAACAAGAAUCAACAUGGAACAAUUAAAAGAAUAAGGAUCAAUAUGGAAAUAAAAAAUAAACUAGAGGACAACUAAAUUUUUUUAAAUUGAUGGUAAAAUUGAAAAGAAAAUUUAAUUUACAAAAGCACAAUUAAAAAAAUAAUAAAAAAAAUUUAAACAAAAAAUAAAUUAGAGGAAAACUGCAUAAAAGUUUAACAAAAAUUUUUAUUGAAAGGUGAAAUUGAAAAGAAAAUCGAUUUAACAAAAUGAUAAAAAAAAAAAGCAAAAUUUUACAAAAGAUCCAAGAACAAAAAUUUUUUUUAAAAAAACAAGGAUGAAAUUCGAAAUCUUAAUAAAUUAGGAGGCAACAGUAAAAUUUUACAUGCAGCAUGAAUUUCUAGGGGAGAAGAGAAAAAAGAUGAGGGGGGAAAUGUCAUCGACGUUGCAUCGCCAUACCAAAGCGACCAUGUGCCGCCACAAUAGGAAGUGGAUGGUGCGACACUUCAAACAACAUGGCAAAAAGGAGUUUUGCACCAUACACGCCACCGGAACACAUUGCACGCACAUGUUACUUUUUUAAAAUUAUAUUUCAUACUUAUUCAAAUAUCAAAUUCACCUACGCCAAUAUGAUAAGAAAAAAAACAAUAUAAAAAUACAAAAAGCCCCAAAACCUCUAAAUACUAUUAGCAACCUACAACCUCAUUUUAGCACCAAUCUUGUGAGUCGAUGGAGUGAUAAGGAGUCCCAUAAAUUAUGAGGUGAUAAGGAUGAUCAUACUCACAGAAAUAUCGAAAGAAAUAUGGUUGGUGACAAGGACUUCCAAAUAGUAACAAAUUCCUACAUAAAUGGUAGUUCAAUAGAUAAAGGAAACUCCAACUAAUUGAUAACUAUAUUUGAUAUUUCCCAUCAUUAUUUAGCUGCAGAAUUUGUGGAGAUAAAAUAGUUAUCUUUUCCUUCUUAUUUUGUGUAACAACAAUGAAUGUGUUAGUCUAUAAAUAGCCUUCUUGGUCAGUGUAGAGGGUAUCAAUUCAAGUAUAAUAAAAAGACUUUAUUUUCUUAUAGCAAUUCUAUUUUUUCUCUUGCUACCAGAGCAGGAACGGUCAUGUCUUUUAUUCUAAUCACCAUGACCUCGUUGUAUUUGAAUGUUAUAAAUUUUGUGACACUAAAACUUACACAAUCCAUUUACCCACUAUGGAGAGAACAAGUUUUAGGGUUAGCAGAGAGCCAAGACAUGGUUUAUCAUCUCACCAAUGAAACACCAAUCCCAACAAAAUAUACUACAAAUUCAAACACCAUGAAAACAGGAAACACUGCACCAUAAUUGACAAAGGAAUUUGUUGCUUGGAAAAAGUCGGAUCGCCUUCUCUGGAGCUGGAUCAUCGGAACCCUCUUUAAAGAAGCUCUUGUCAUUGGCUUAGACACAACACUUGCAGUCUGGGAAGCACUGAAAGAUGCUUAUGCACAGGACUCUCAAGAGUGAGAUUUUACACCGCGACAACAAUUGACCCACCUUCGCAAGGAUGAUAACAAGAUUGUUGCUAUGUCGCGGUCUCACAAAUUAAUUACCCUAGCUUAAAACACAACACAUAAGAUAGUAUAGAGCAAGCAGGGGAUCUAUCCCACAAGGAAGGUUCAUGUUAGAUUUUUAUGCUAUAUGAUAUGCUACUGGAGGGUUGUGAAGUUAUCUAGGCUAAAGCAAAAGAAAACAUAAAAAUAUCAAGCGAAAUUAAAUAAAAUCAGAAAAUAAUCAAGAGAACAAACAUUGGUCACAAGUAAACGUUCACCUACAGAAAUCAGAACUAAUCAUAGAAACGAAACAUCAAUUUAUAUUCUGAAUAUUUAUCUCUUCUUAACAUUGGUUAGUUAACGGAUCCGCCAUAUAACUAACCCUAGCCAUCAAACAAAUAUAGUGUCCGCACUAGUAAUUUAAUUCAAUGGCAGCCUUAAGAACUAGAUAAGUUGAUUAAUAAAAAAAACUAACUGUUUGCAGUCUAUGUUUGAUUUGAUUGAAUGUUAUCCCUAAGAUUAAUAACUCCAGUUAUGAUAUUAAACUUAACAAUAGAUUGUCUACAAUAAUAACUUAGAGUCUGCUCUAGCAAUUAAAAUAAACAAUCAUAGAAAAAAUAAGCAUAGAAGAACAAACAUAUUCAUCAUAUAAACUGGAAAGAAAAUGUAAAAUAAAUCUCACAGUUCUUGAAAUUCGAAGGUUUUCGUGUCCUUGCAACCAAGAAAAAGAGUUUAGCAUUAUAUGUUUGUUUAACAACUAAUCAAAAAGAAGGAGGAAUGCAUGAUUUUGGUUUUUUUAAAGGAAGGGGGUGUUUUUCUCUUCUUGACUGGCUCUUCCCUUCUCUUCUUUAAUUCUUUUUAUAUCCUAGGAAACCCUAGGCUCUAUUUUACAAAAUAGUCCUCCCUUAAGUCGACAGUUUACAUUUAAGUACUUCAAUAACUAUUUUCCUAAAAAAAAGAAAUAGCCUUGCAUGAAAUCUUCAAGCUUUGACUUAGAGGAGCUAAAUUACUGAAAUAAAAACUUGGAUGUCGGUUUAGAUGCUUCGGAACGUAAUUUGGACUCGUUUCUUCACGAAACCUGUUUGCACGCAGAAUUCAGUUGUCAUAUUUGAAAACUCAUAUCUCCCUCAUAUGACAUUUUUUUUGGAUGAAAUUUGGAGAGUUGAUAUUUCUUUGAGUUUGGAAUCCAAAAAAAUUAAUUUUGCAUCAAUUGGACUUCUGUAGUUCAAGAUAUUCAAGUUGGAAUGACCGAAGGUCAAUACUGACAGAUUGCGAGAUUUGACUUUGAAGGCUGCGAUUUCCAUGCUCUUCCUUAUUUUAUUUUCUUGCCUUAGUGCCCAAAAAUUUAUGGAUGUUAGCUUUUUAAUGCCACUGGAAUCACUUCAUUUCAACUUCUAGAACUCACGCUCUGCACAAAACAUCUACUAAAGGUCAAAUCUACCAUUUACCUCCAAUUUACUCCUUUUUGCAUCUUUCAUCCAAAAGUGCAUUCAAAACAUAAAACAAAGAAUAUCAAGACAUUUUACAUAUAAAACAUAGGCAAAACAUUAGGUAAAUAUGGGUGAAACUAUCAAAUAAUAUGGUUACAUCAAAUAUGCUUAUGCACAGGAUCAUCAGAACCCUCUCUAAAGAAGCUCUUGGACUUGUCAUUGGCUUAGACACAACACUUGCAGUGUGGGAAGCACUGAAAGAUGCUUAUGCACAGGACUCUCAAGAGUGAGAGUUUACACUGCGACAACAACUGACCUACCCUCGCAAGGAUGAUAACAAGACCAUUGGAGAUCACAUAUGCAUUUUUUAAAGGUCUGUAUGACAAUCUUGUUGGUAUUGAAAAACCUAUACCAGAUAAAUAAAAUGUUUUUUGUCUUCUCACAAGUCUUGGACCACAAUAUGAAACCUUUACAACAACAAUAUUGAAACCUCCAAGACCAACCUACUCUAAGCUAAUUUCAUAAUUACAAAAUCUUGAUCAGCAUUGUAACUGGUUUUCAAAUCAAUCAGAUGCAUCUCUUUCUCAACUCACUCCACAUUUAGCUUUCUAUGGUCAGCAACAGAAAUAAUCUCAAAGUAUCAUUUCAAGGAAUCGCAACAAUAACUUUACUUCCCCAAGUCAUGGAUUUCAAGCACAACAGUUUCGAAACCAAAGUCAAAGCUAUCCAGACAAUUCAACACCAACUACACAACAAUGACGACCACCACCAGGAGAACAUCGUAUGGUAGCAGCGGAGCUAGAUCUAUAUCGCAAUGAAACAUAUCAAUAUUAUGGGAAACUAGGCCAUAUUGACAAAAUCUGUUGGUAGAUACCAAAAAAAAACAACUCAAAAUGAUGCAAUUCCACAAGCUCUUGUAACCCUCACUUUAGACAAAUCCAUUACCAAAACAGAAUGGACUUCUGACACAGGAGCUUGAAAUCGCAUGAUAGGAAAGCAAGGUAUGUUGACUAAUAUUCAUAAAUACUCUAGAUCUAAUUCAAUCAUAAUUGGAGAUGGUUCUUCUAUACCUAAAACAGGUAUUGGUGAUUCGUAUAUUAAAUAAAAAGAUAAGACUUUGCUUUUCAUGAUGUUCAUUUAGUUCCAAAUCUGAAAAAAAAAAAAAAAAAAACUUUCUCUCAAUAAGUCAACUAACCUCUCAAUUUCCUGUCAAUUGUGAAUCUUCUGAUGUUGAUUUUUAUGUAAAGGAAUGGAAAACAGGACAUCCGCUAAUAACAGGGAAAUGGAAGGGUGACUUGUAUGUUUUAUCCAAUGUACCAGAACCACACUUCUCUUAUUGGUUCAAAUCUGGCACUAUAGAUAUUUGGCACCAACGUUUAGGACACCCUCAAGCUUUAGUUGUUUCGUUGUUAAAGAAUAUAAGAUUAAUUGAUGUUAUAGGUCCUUUACGGACAAAACAUUAAUGUGAUAGUUGUCAAUUAGGAAAACUAUGUAAACUUCCUUUUGCUCUUUCUGAACAUUCUAGUUCUAGCAUUUUUUAUAAGAUUCACUGUGAUUUGUGGGGACUUACCCUUGUUUUAUCUAUUGGCAAGUUUAAGUUUUAUGCUCAUUUAGUUAAUGAUUUGUGAAAGCAUACUUGGAUUAUUCCAUUGAAACACAAAUGUAAUUUUUUUUCUUGCCUAUCUAGCAUUUGAACAGUAUUUUGAAAGACAGUUUAUGGGUGGAAGCCUUUACCACAACAGUUUUCCUUCUUAAUUGGUUACCAUCUUCAUCUCUUCAAUUUAACACUCCAUAUUUCAUGUUACAUGGAACUCAUUCUUACUACACAUCGCUUUGAGUUUUUGGUUCUAAAUGUUUUCCAUAUACAUGGCAUACAAGAAAUCAUAAAUUUGACCCUAAAACUAUCUUAUGUGUUUUUGUAGGAUACAAUGAAAAACAUAAAGGAUACAAUGCCUCCAUCCACCUAGUUAUAAAUUUUUCAUUCGUAAAUUUUUCAUUUCUCAUCAUGUUGUUUUUUAUGAGACUAUUUUUCCAUUUAAAUCUUCAUCACUUUCUACUACUGCAUCACAUGUUCUUAUUAUAUUUGAUUUUUGGCUACCUUAUUCUGACACUCUUCUUGAAUCAGGUAUUCUCCCACAAAUGUCUGCAUCAAUAAAUUCCAUUCCUCUACCAUAUGUUGAUAGUCAUUGCUGGCAGUCUGCACCAAAUUCACCACAUGACGCAACUGUGACAGGAAAUGUUGGAACUGAUUUUAAUGAUCAACCUUUCGAAGAUCUCAAUCUACCUACAUUAAUGUCUGCAUUAAACUCUGAUAUACAUCCUGAACACUUCCUUACACCUAAGUCCCCUCCUUUCAUAAACACAACGCAACCUUAUGAAGCAUUAGUAAAUCAUCCUAUGCUAACCAGGUCCAAGCUUGGAGUUGUUAAGUUGAAUCCUAAAUAUACCUUAGAAAAGACCUUAGAAAGUCAACCUAGAAAAGACCAACGAAUAGAAACUCGACAUAGAAAAACAAUCAAACAACAACGCAGCUUACUUUAGGUAGGGUGCGCUGGGGGUGAUGCAUCUUUCCCUUGUACAAUCAGUCCUUUACCCAGACUCUUGCAGACCAUAGGUUCCUAGUGACCAUAAUACUAGGUGGCGACUCCUAAACAUUAACCAUAAUUUUAUGAUUAAACCGAAAUCCAAAAACCCUUCCUAACACACACACACACCUCAUCAAGAGGCAUGAUAAAAGCCUUCGUUGUCGCCCGACGAUGUCAUGGCGCGACCCACGACAAUACUCACAUAAAUAUCAAAGAAAAUAUGGUUGGUGACAAGGACUUUUAAAAAGUAACAAAUUCCUACGUAAAUGGUAGUUUAAUAGAUAAAGAAAACUUCGACUAAUUGAUAGUUAUAUUUGAUAUUUCCCAUCAGUAUUUAGCUGUUGAAUUUGUGGAGAUAAAAUAGUAAUAUAUUCCUUCCUUAUCUUGUGUAACAGCUAUGAAUGUGUUAGUCUAUGUAUAGCCUUGUUUGUUAGUGUAUAGGGCAUAAGUUCAAGUAUAAUAAAAAGACUCUUUUUUUGUAGCAAUUCUGUUUUUUCUCUGAUACUAGUUUUUUUUUUUUAAAAUGUUAAUUAAAUCAUUCCACUUUGCUUUAGAAAUUUUAAAAUACUGAAUCAUCUCAAUUAAUUUAAUAAUGAUCUAUAGACCUCGUAAAAAUACUUCAUUAUUCUCAAUAAUCGAUUCAGAAGGCCAAAACUAUCCUUUACUGAUCUAGUGAACAAUGUCAUUGAAUUUGGGUGAACAAUAUUUUUUCAAGGUGCUUUUUAGCUUUUGUUAAUGAAGAUUAGCAAUAUUUAUUUCUAUGUUAUUUUAUUCUUUAAGAUAGCUAUUUGUUAUUUUCUUCAAUGAUAAUUAAUAUAAAAAAAAUAACCACAUUGUUGUCUCUCCAUCUCCCUUGCCAAGAGAGCGAUUGAGCACCCUCUCCAAUCUUCGGAGCAGCAGCAGACGAUUCCUUCCAUCAAUGAAUGUGCUUGCUAAAAGCACUCCAAUAAGCUUACCAUAUAACAGAUCUUCCAGCAAUCCCUAACUACGCAGGGAAUGAAUUCAUACUACCACACGCUCAUCCAAUCACUUCCUACCAGCGGGUUAACCUCUCAUUAGCAAGGAAAGCAGUUAAUGGACAUGUCUCACAAGUUUUGUUUUACGUUUUUGAGGAGGAAAUGAAAUGCUUAAAGCCUUAAACGAUAAGAGGCAUAAGAUUUUAAAAAUAUAUAUGAGAAAAAUAAGUUACAAUAAUGUUACAAGAUAUUGACACCGUGGGUUUGAUGACCUUUUUUAAUAUAUAUUUUAUAAAAAAUGGUAUUUUCCAGAAGAUUUAUUUUUAUAUAUUUUAUACUAAAAUGGUAUUUUCAACCAUUGCUUGAAAAAUAAACACAAAAAGGGAUGAAUUGAUCCAUCUUAUUGUGUGAUUUUCCACAGUACCUCAUUCUUUUCAUCAAAAUUCUUUGUAGAUAUAAGAGAUUGCAAAGGUAUAAUUUCAAUGCAUGAGAUUAGAGAGAGUAUAAUUAUUAACAAAAACUAAAAGAGAAUGUGUUUUUACUUUGAUACUAUAUAUGAUAAUAAUUUUUUUAUUCUAUGUUAUAAUAUUUUCUAAUUUUAUUUUUAAAUAUUUAGGUUAUUAGAAAUUAAUUUUUAUGAUUUGUUAUGGUUAGCUUUUUAUAAGGUUAUUUCAAUUUCAUGAUUUGUGUCACGGGUUUAACGGGUUAAACUGAUUGACUCGAGUUUUUUUUUUAAAUGACAUUUUUUUAUUAUUGUUGUUACCUAUUUUUGGAUCCCACGAAAAAAAAACAAAAAAAUAGUAGAAAAAAUAUUUUAUUUUGAAAAUAGUAAUAAUAAAAUAUAAUAAAAUAAAAUAUAUUGGGUUUGGGCUCAACCUAAUCUUGUGGUCUAAGCCCACCUUGGUUGGACCCAAAUUCGGCCUAGAGAAGGAGUCCAGACCCAUGAGAAACAGGGUCUUGAUUGGCCCUAAAGGCAGCUGGGCCGAGUCUAGACCCAAGCAAAAAUGAGUCCUGUCAGCCCUAAAGAAAGAGGUCUUGACCGACCACAAAGGCAGCUGAGCCGAGUCUGGACCUAGAAGAAUCUAGGUCUCGGACUGGCCCUAAAAGCAACUGGACCAAGCAAAAAUGGGUCCUGCCAGCCCCAAAGAAAAGGGGUUUUGACCGGCCCCAAAACAGCUGGGUCGAGUCUGGACCAAGCAAAAAUGGGUCCUGCCAGCCCCAAAGAAAAGGAGUCUUAACUGGCCCCAAAAGUAGCUGGGUUGAGUCUAGAUCCAGGAGAAUCUAGGUCCUGACCAGCCUUCAAAGAAGCUGGGUUGUGGCAAGACCCAUGAGAAACUAGGUCUUGACCGCCCAAAGGAACUAGGCCUUGGAUGCUCCAAAAGCAGCAGGGUCAUGUCCGGACCCAAGCAAAAAUGGGUCUUGCCAGCCCCAAAGAGAGGGGUCUUGACCAACCUCAAAAUGAUUGGACCCAGACCGCCCUAGACAAAAGGUAGCUGGGAUGAGAGGGAUCGAGUCAUGGCCAUGAGAAAAUGGGUCAAGACCGACCCCAAGGUAAAAUGGGUUGCGACUCACCCCCAUAGAAACUGGGCCGCAACUAGGCCUAAACAAAACUUUUAACUGGGUCGAGGGCGACAACACAACAGCUGGGCUGCGUCUCUACCCAUAAUAAAUUGGGUCGAGGACGACCCAAACUGGGGUUAAUUAAUAGCACUGCAUGCAGAACCAAUUGACAUUCUGCAUGCAGCGAACUUGCUGCAAGCAGGGAAGAAAAGGAGUGGCGGGCAAGAGAAAGUUACCUGUCAUAGGGGGUAGUGCAACUGGCAGCAACAGUGGCUUAAAGCGGUGGUCUAGGCGGCGGCGAGGUGGUCGUGCACUAGGGAGUUGUUUUGCUAGCCCUGUUUGAGAUACCGAGAAAACGAGCAGUAGGAAACUAAUAUAAAAAGGAGAUUUGACAAUUUAAGACAAAUUGACUAAGUUUGUGAUUUUUGGACAGUACAAUUUGGGUUGUUUAGAGCUUAGAUCGUGCAAGAAAAAAUGUAUAUUGGGAUCCGAUUUAUUUUUUCAAGGACUUAUUUGAUUGAUUAAGGGCCAAUCUUAAACUUUGGAAAGUCUAAUUGGUUUAAUCAAGGGCUUAAUGCUAAGGAAACAAGACGACGUCGUGCAACCUUUUUUGGACACAAACGACACUGCCCCAUCCUGGAUUUAUAAUUAGUAUGGUAUUGUUCAUUUCCAUGUUUUGAACAAUGCCUCUUCUCGUCCGCAAUUCUUUCCCUUCUUUGCAACCUUUCCUGCUAGUUUUUUUUUAUUCUCUUGUCCUUGCAUCCUCGGGUCAGCUCGGUCUGUACAAGUAUCACCCCUUUUCAUGCCCGGUUUUCAGCUGCAAUUCACGAUAUUAGCAAGGGAAACGGUUUUGUAUCUCACUGUGCUAGCUUUGAAAGAAGACAAAGAGAGGAACCUUAAGGGCUGGGAUUUAUCCCUAGCACAUACGGUUGAAAUGAAAGGAUGUUAGAGUGGUCUCCAAGUUUUGGCAGGGGAGAAAAAGAAAACAGAGAGAAAAAUAGAAAACAGAGAGGAAAGGAGAGAGAGAAAGCACAGAGAACAAGAAGAAGGCUAAGAGUAGAAAAAUAGAAAAAUAAGGAGAACGAGAGAGGAGAUUAACUUCAGUCUAUCCUACCUUGCUGAAAAGGAAUUUACAAAACUCUAAAAGGUUUUGAAAAAGCUCCUAACGACAAAAGAGAAAGGCUUUCUUUAAUUAUCAGAGGCAAAAGGGCAGAUACUUUCCAUCGGUUUAUAUCUCAUCUUUUGCAUUCAAAACGAGCAGGAUCUGCAGGUAUAAGUCUCAGCUUUCUUUUUCCUUGACAUAUUUAAAGUUGUUGUUUGGUCUUUGUUCUUUUCAAAAAUCUAUUUCUGCUUUUGUUUUGGACAUUCGUUUUCCAUCUUAGCAACAAAGUUGUUUGACCACCUUUUCUUUCAUGGCUGUGAGUUAAAAUGAGGGUUUAUGUUAGAGUUGCGGGUUCCUUUCUUCUCCUCUUAUUCAUGAGGAAUUGUGAGCCAUGAAGGUCUUCAUUAUCCCUCCAGUCCUUUGUUCGAGUGUCUCCCUGUUUUAGAAUUCUGUAUAGGAGCUUUGCUCCUAAACAUAGUUUGCCCAGAGGAUAAAGUAAAAACAUGAGGAAAGUUCUCUUUUACUUGAGGUAAUCUUUUGGCAGGUUCUGGGUCACCUUUUUUUCUUUUCUGCUCGCUGGAGAGGAGAUAGUUGGCCAUGAUGUGUUUAGUUUUUUUAGUCUAUGAUAUUACAUGAUAUAAAGACAUGCUCCCCAAGCUUUCUUUCCUUUUAUUCGUGUUGUCUUUUUUAAAAUUAUUUUUUUUUCAAUUAUAUCCUGCAACGUUGAAUUAAUUAAGAAUUAGACUUUAUAAUUUAUCUGAUUUAUUUUUUAAGUCAUGGGUUUGAUAAGUUAACUCGGGUUUUUUUUUUAAAUGUGAACACUUGGCAAAUAUUAAACUAGAGGAAUUCUAUUUAAACAUAAAAUCAUACUAACAGAUUGCAUGAAAUCUAUCAGAUUGCAUCAGAUAGAUUUGAUUUGAAACCAAGAUAUCUGCAUCUACCAUUUAUGUUGGAGUUUCCUUAUCUUGUUAAACUAUAUAUCAUCUUGUGUUGAAUUUGUUGCCAUUGAAACUCCUUCAUCCUCCAAUGUCUCUCCUCUAGAACAACAUUUAGGGAUUAAGUCACGAGCAGUUAGCAAGACAAAGGGCUGUUAUAAAUCCCAGGAAAUUAAUAAAACAGAUUUAUUUGCACAAGAUAGAACUACAUCCAAUCUUAUUUCAUAUGAAACUCCGUGGAAUUCAUAUAUGGCUAAACUUUGGCACACAAGGUAUAAAAUCCAUAACUAAUAUCAUGAAUGAUCAAAAUAAUCAUUUUAUGAAAAAAAUAAAUAAAAUAAAAGAGAAGACCAAAUGAUAGCUUAUCAAGGAUGAAGCUCAACGAGAGCUCUUGUGCCAAGCACGUUAUGUAUCAUAUAGCUGAUGAAACCUGCAUCAAAGAAGAGCUUAGCCCACUCCAUUUCAUUUCUAUCUAGGCCAGUAACAGUCACCAUCAUUUCUAGAUCCCAAAGCAGUUGCGUUCCAUUUGACUCAUCGCUGUCACGGCUGUUUGUUUGAGAGUGUAGUUAUGAUUAUUUUUUAAAGUAUUUUUUAUUUAUAAAUGUAUUAAAAUAAUUUUUAUUUUAUUUUUUAAAAUUAGUUUUUAUAUCAGUGCAUCAAAAUAAUAUAAAAAUAUCAAAAAUAUAUUAAUUUGAAGUAAAAAAAAAUUAAAAUUUUUUCAAAAACGUUUUUGAAACGCAUAAACUAUUCAGGUUUGACCAUGCAUUGUUCAUCGAGACUAAUUAAAUUGCUCACCUCAUUGUUCAUAACUAUUUUUACUUUUUUAGGUCCAUGUAGUUUUUGAGCAUUGCUUUAUUAAUUUCUUUUGUUUUUUCAUCCAUCAUUGUUUUAUAUGUUGAAAUGUGUUUUUUUAUGCAUGCUCUCACAUAUACACUAAGAGAGUUUAUUCUUGCAUUACAUUACAAAUCACUAUUAUAAAAUAGAAUUAUUACUUCUAAAUUUUUUUAAAAGAACAAGGACAAAAAAAAAGAGAGUUGUCUUUUCAUAUACAUUGUUCAUGAGGCAAGAAUUUCUACAUUUUGAUCCCUUUUGUUUUCAAAAUAUACAUUUCAAUCAUAAAACUUUAUUUAUAUUAUAUUUAAGUCCCAAAAUGUUAAGGGAUGAGAGAGAGCGCCUUAAAAAAGGAAAGGAGAGAGAGUUUUUGGUUAAUCAUGUUCUAGCCACACAAAAAUCGUUCAAAAUUGAAAAAGUUUGUUUGAUUUUGGGUCCUUAGUUUGAUUAAAGUGUGUGUGUUUUGAAAAUUGAUUUAUAGAGAUUUUUAAGAUUUUGUUUUUGUAAAAAUAUGUUAAAUUUAGAUUUUAGGGAUCCUUUUGAUUACUAGCUAGAGGUAGCUGGAAAGAAUUACAAUGGAUGAUAUGUUAUUUUUCUAGACAAACAAUACGUUGUUCACAUUUAUAAAAAAAAAAAAUACUAGGCAUGCAGGGCUAGCCUUCCAAGACUAAGAGUGUCAAGCCUAUAUUUUGAAAGGGCAAACACUAGCAUACAUUUUAUUGAAUUAUAAGUUACAACUAUCCUGUUGUGUUCAAUCAUUCGUGGUACAUGGUUUGGUGGCUAGAAAUUUGAGAAUUAUGGAGGUUUGUCAUCUUUAUUUGGGAAUAACAUGUGCAAAUAUUUUCAGAACCGCACUAAAAUUACAUAUUUAAAUUCAUAUGAUCUUCUUAGAGCUUCAAAAAUAAUUGAGAUAAUUUCAGCUUAUAUAUAUAUAUAUAAUUUAUUGAAUUUGUUUUCUUAAGAAAAAAACCUACAUUUUUACUUCAAAGAAUUUUUAAACUAUUUGCAAAAGUGAAUUAAAUUGUCAUUGGCAUCUAUAAAGAAUUUCAGUUAAAAAUACUAUAUUUAAAAACAGUUAGUAUUUGUUAAAAACAUGAUAAUUCAAGUACAAGAUUUAUCAUUUAUCAAAUUGAUAGUGGAUGUUUUAAAGUGUUUUGGUAUUGCAGUUAAAAUGUUAUUUGUCAAGUUUUUAAUUUAAAUUUUUUUUACUUAAAAAUUUUUUUAUAGUAUUUUUAUAUCAUUUGAAUAUGAGUUAAAAAUAAAUUUUAAAAUAUAAAAAAUUAUUUUAAUAUAUUUUUAAAUAAAAAAUAUUUUAAAAUAUAAUUAUUAUCGUAAUAACAAUAUAUCACAAUUAGGGUAAAAAUGCCAUUAUUUCCCAACUUGGCCAUGAAUAGCAAUAAAUCACAGGAUCAACAACUUUUGUUCACCCACCUACCGUAUUUGGCCAGAAGAUUUUUUUUUAUAUUUUUUAUACUAAAAUGGUAUUUUCAACCAUAGCUUGACAAAUAAACACAAAAAGGGAUGAAUUGUGUGAUUUUCCACGGCACCUCAUUCUUUUCAUUAAAAUUCUUUAUAGAUCUAAGAAAUUGCAGAGGUAGAAUUUCAAUGCGAGAGAUUAGAAAGAGUAUAUUUAUUAACUAAAUACAAAGAAAUUGUGUUUUUACUAUUAAUCACAUCAUUAUAUGAUAUACUAAAUAAUAUCAAUGUUUUGUUGUUUAUCCUUUUAAUGUUCAUCAAGAUAUAGAUCAUUGUGGAUUGAAGCAGUAUAAUGAUAUAAUUGUCAUUGCCAAAUAAACUUGCUAAACAUGCAGUUGGGGGUGGGGUUAUCUUUUCUAUGGAAUACAUUUGGAAUUUGGAAGAAUGGUUCAUUCAUGUUUUUUGGAGUGCAAUAUAGAUACUGAUUUGCCUUUCAAGGCUCAAAAUUUUAACAUUUGGGUUGGGGUUUUAUUUUGUCAUUUCAAGAAAAAUAAACAUGGUUGUCAAACUCAGGCACUAGAGAAUGGCAUGGCUGUCAAACACCUAGCACUGGGGCUAUGCAUGUCUACCAAACCCUAGGCGCUCGGGUUUGGCAAAGCAACCACACCUCAGGUGCUCGGGUCAGGCAUGACUACCAAACCCCAGCGCCUUGGGUUUGGAACGUCAUGGGUCUCGCAGGGACACCAAACCCAUGUUAAUUGGGUCUGACAGGGGAUACCAUACCCAAGGAAUUUGGGUUUGGCACCAACAGACCCAAGUAAUUUGGGUCUGUCAAAGUGUCGUUUCAUUUAAAAGAAAAUAACGCCAAAAAGUUUUUGUUUCCAAAUCAGUCCUUAAUUUUUAAUUUUUUCAAUCAAGCCCUCAAUUGAGAUUUUGAUUUUAAGAAUCAAUUCAAAUGCAUUUGUGUCAAAUUAAAAUGUCAACCCUAAAGUUGACCGUCUUUUUCACUUUGAUCAUUGAUUUUGAAUUUGUGCAAUUUGACCCUCGAUUGAUCAACAAACUUCCAAUUUUGGCCCUAGAUUCGGUCCAUUUCAGCCCCUUCUAGUUUAGUCCUUGGUUUUAAAUUUCUCCAAUCAAGUCCCUAAUUGCCCAUCAAACUUUAAUAUUUAUGCAAUUAAGCCCUUGAUUUGACCAAAUUAACUCUUAAAAAUUGUAAUUCGACCCUAAACUUUAAUUUCUUCCAGUUAAAGCCUAAAUAUAUUUAAAAAUCAAUUUUUCUUGCAAUCAAACCCUUCAUAAACUCAAUUAAUCUUUCAACCAAAUCUAUUUCAGACUUUUCUUCCUCAAAUUAAUUUUUUUUUUCAAUAGGGCCUUCAUCUGUCAAAAAUAUGAUGUCAAAUUAUAAUCUUUGUAUUUUUGAACUCUCUCAACCAAUCUUUGGCUAUUUUCUGGGCACCCUUGUGUCUUCUUCUCAUUGCUAUAUAUUUUUUUGGUUUUCUUCAAAAAAAAAAAAUUCUCUUUUCUAUGUAGGGACCUAAAAUGGAUAACAAUAUCUAUCUAGUUUGAACAUCACUUUUCUAGCUAAUGGUUAUUUUCUAGUAUUUAACUAUCGAUAUUUUCACCAAUGGCACAUAUAACACAACAACGAGCAACCAACUAAUGACUUUUUUUAAAAGAAAAUUUACCAAUAAUCUGAUUAUGGAACAUUUGAAAGCAAUAGAAAAGGUACUCAAAUAUUUCGGGUACACAUUAGACUACGGACAAUAUUAUGUUGGUUACCCAACAGUACUAGAAGGGUAUAGUGAUGCAUAUUAGAUAUCUAACACUAAGGAUUCAAAAUCCAUUAGCGGAUAUGUCUUCACACUUAGUGGAGUAAUUGUGUCAUAAAAAUCAUCUAAGAAAAAUUGUAUCAUAGUAUACAUGAUGGAAUCAAAGUUUAUUUCUCUUGAUAAAGGUGGACAGAUAGUCUAGAGGCUUUGAAAUUGCUUAGAGGAUAUUCUAUGUUGGCCAAAAUCAGUGCCAAUAAUUUAUGUCCUUGCGACUAGUCUUGAGUUGAAAGCAAUAUAUAAUGCUCAAUCUAGACAUAUAUAUCAUAGAUAUAAAGACAUUAAAUACUUGUUCUCAAAUGAAAUUAUUUUCAUUAACUAUGGAAAUCCAAAGUAAAAUAUUACAAAUCCAUUGACCAAAGAUUUAUUGAUAGAUCUUAUGUAUAAUUCAUCAAAGGGAAUAGGUUUAAAAACUUUAAAGAUAAAAGAGUGUAAUGAUUGUGACCAUAACUAGUUGAUUAGAAAUCCCAAAAUCUAGGUUCAAAUAGAAAACUAAGUCAUAUGAUAUUUUUUAUAGCAUUAAAAAAUUAUUAUUUCUUAUUUAUUCCUCUGAUGAAAUAGGUGCUAGCUCCAGUGUAAUAAGAUGGUGAGUUGCGCUCUUAUUUAUUUUUAUAUAUUGGUAUACCAAGUAGAAUAUAAAUGAAUACUCUUAAUGAAAUAUCGCCUAUGUAAGUGGGAAAUGUGGUCAUUUCUUUGAGAACUUUGAUAAAGGCAAAUUUCUAUAAAAACAUCCAUAAAUCCAGGAUUUGUUUAGAGCCAAAAUAAACAUAAUAAUGAGAACCAAAGUAAAUAUUUAGGUAAAAAACUGUGAAUAUUAUUGUCUUGAUUUACACAAAAGGUUGAAUAAUUUAAGACAUCAUAUUCCCUAUUUAAUCGAGUAAAUCUGAUAGUUUUUCACUAAGAAAUGUUCAAAGUUAAAAGAAACUUAUCUAAUGUAGUAUCUCUCUAUAAAUUUUCAAGUCUUUUAUACUAGCCGGACAAUUUUCAUUCAUAUAGAGGAUUGUUGAAAUUUUUUUUAAUAAAACAUGAUUGAAAGGCAUACCUAAGUCAAAUUUAAAGUGGAAUCCUCUCAUUUUUAAGGUCAAAAUUUUAUUAAAAAUUAUUCUCCAACAAAACUUUAUUAAUAUGGAACAUUAACAUUAUUAAAAUAAGUUAUGGGUGAAUGAGAAUUGAUCUCAAAGAAUAAUUAGUUGACAUGUUUUUAUAAAACCAAACAUCCUCUAUGCAACAUAAGAAAGAAAGAAAAAUAUAUUUUUUAGAUUAUAUAAUGGGAUGUUGAGGAGUCAUAAAUGAGUCUUAGCAAAGUAGUAUGGGUUUAACCCAUAAACACGUGAUCAAAUCAACUAAGCUAUGGCUCGAGCUCCUUGUUCUAGGUUUCAAGUCCUUAGUCUUGAUUUUGGGUUAUUUUUUACUAACAUAUUUUGAUCUUGAAUUUGGGUUUAUUAUAAAAUAACUCUUUGGCUCAUAAAUAAUUAUUUUUUCUAGUCCAUUGUUUUGUCCAAUCCAGCCCAUGAAUCUAAUCAGUUUUCUUCAAGAAGAGUUUCUUUAAAUCGUAUUAGUUUUUUCAACUCAGAAUCAUCAAAUAUUUAAAGCCAAAACAUUAAUGUAUAAUUUUGAUUUUAUGACGGUUAAUCAAAGUUAAUAAUGCUGAAAAUCAAUUCUAAUAAUCAUCAUUAUUAAUUCUUUAUCAGUUUUAAUUCCAAAAUCCAUUAUAAAAAAAGGGUAAAUGAAGAGUUUCUUGCAUUGUUUAUCCUGAUUUUAUAUAUUCUUCCUCACCUUAGUUUUUAAAGUUAUCUCUGCACUUUUUGAACUUUGUUUUUCCUUCUAAUCUAGAGCUUAGACUCAAUUUUAUUAAGAAAUAAUUGAGUCUAAAUAAGAUGUUGUUAUUGUUAUUGGAAUCUUAAAAGAUAUAUUAUAAACAUCUUAGUUACACUAAGUGAGGAAUAAUAAAACAUUAAGGAUAAAGAAUUUAUUAUAAUGACGAUGAGGACAACAAUAACAACAUUAACAGUAGUAGCAGCAACAACAACAAUAAUUUUAUUAUUUUACACAUAAAUAUUAUUUUGGACAAAACCAUAAUAUCAUGAAUUUUCACAAAACCAUAAUAUCAUGAAUUUUCACACUUAAGCAUAACAAAAGCAAAACAUUACUAAGAUCUUAUCAAGGAUAAAGCUCAAUGAGAGCUCUUGUGCCAAGCACAGGGUGUAUCUUAUAAUUGAGGAAACCAGCAUCAAAGAAGAGCUUAGCCCACUCCUUUUCAUUUCUCUCCAUGCCAGUAGCAGCCACCAUCAUUUGUAGAUCAAAAAACAGCUGCGUUUCAAUUGACCCUCCGUCUCCAUUCAGGUUCUCUCUCACCAUAUCUAUAAUUAUCACCUUCCCAGCUUUCUGCUGUCCCUCACUCAUAAUUGCUUGUUUGCAUCGUUUAAGUAUUUUCACGCAGUCUUCGUCACUCCAGGCAUGCAGUAUCCACUGUUUGUCAUUUACCAUAAGAUAUGCUGCAUGAAUAAAUGAAGACGGGAAAAAAAUCCUAAAGGAAAUAGAAAAUAUAAGAUGCAUAUAUAUAAAAACUCCGUAGUAUAGAUUUUUGGGUUAGAGAUGAUGUCCAUCUUUGAAUAUAAAUCUUCAUAUGCAUGUGUACGCAGAGGUCAGGAAUGGAAUAGUUUAUAUAUGUGUCAAUAUAUAACCCUCGUCAACAUGUUAUGUGCUGCGUUAAUUCGUUUUUGUUAAUGAAAGGUAAGCAUAUGCAAACUUACAAUACUGCUAAUUAGUACAUGGAAACAGCAAAAAAUUACCUUGAGUAAAAUUACAUCUGCAGGAGGAACUGCCUCAAACAUAUCCCCUCCAACAUACUUCAAGUUUUUGCUGCCUUGCAAGUCAGAAACCACACGCGGGAGAUCAAACACAGUGCAGUCCAUGUGCGGAAAUGCUUCUGCGAUGCCCUUGGCCAUAGUUCCUAAGCCUCCCCCUACAUCCACCAAAGAAUUCACCCCCUCAAAGAUGCCUUUACAUUUGCUUACAACCACCUUACUAACUAGUAUGCUAUCACUAGCCAUGGCAUCAUUAAAGAGAUUGUUGAUUCUUGAAUCUUGGCCAGCGUACUCCCAAAAUAUACUUUCAUGGGCAAUACUAAAUGCGGUGGCUUCAUCAUUUCGGAACCAAGUGCUCAAGCAAUCAUGCGGUUUUGUCAGAACUGGGUCUAGCACAAAAAGUAAAAGAGUUCUCAUACUCCAGGGAUUGUCCUUGAGUAGGAGACGAGUGGAUUGGGUAAGGGAAUAGGCUUCUUGGUUAAGAUUUUGCUGGGAAAAGAAACCGGAGUGCACGAGAAUACGCAUAAGGCGGUGGACAUACUGAGCUUUUGAUGGGUGGAUCGGUAGGGCAGAAACAAGCUCCGAGAGGGUCAUGGGUUUGCCAUGUUUUUGGAUCACAUCUGGUAUGCCUAGUUGAACGGCACAUUUCAGAGUCAUGGAGUUUAUGAAGCAGAAUAUAUGAUUCCACACAUGAGUUUGAGCUUGAAGCAGCUCACCAGCACUUUCCUCGUUAAUCAACUCCAUUGAUUUCAAGUAGCUAGUACAUAUGCUAGUGAAUGUUGUGAUACCUCAAAAUACUAUUUUCUCGUCAUAUUUAUAGAAGUGAUCAAACUUACUGUAACCUCGGAGAAGGCUUAAUUUCUCAACUGUAUCCAAUAAAAAAAUUGAUAUGUGGCUCUCACAUUCACAUCUUCUAUUUUAUAGAUUGUUAUAGAUAAAGUGCUCCUUCGAAAUCACAUUAAAUUAUUAAACAAUAUUUUACAAAAUUAAAACAAUUACAGCUACAUGGUUUUCAUGACACGUUUAUAUAUAUUAUUAUUUUAAGUUGAAGUAUUUAAAUUAAAAAAAAAAUUACACCAUACUAGAAAAACAUAAUUUUGUUCAUCAUAACAUAAAUAAAAUUAUGGAAGAGAAAAGUCAAUGAUUCUUUCUUGAACAAUGCCGCGCGGGACCUCGAAUAUUGUUGUCAUAUGAAUUUUAGUGGGUAACCUUUGGAACUUGUAAGAAGUCGUUGCUUUUGCUUGUUAAGUUAAUAUAAUUUGACUUCUCUCAUAAUGUUGUCCGUGAAUUAUCAGAUUAAACAUAGCAACUUGAUCCUUUUUUUUUUCCUGGGUGUCUAGCUAACGUUUCAGGAGUGGAUUGGGAUUAGGUUUUUCAUUUUAAAAUAUAAAACAAAUAGAAUAUAAAAAUUAUCAUCUUAGCUGCCCAUGAUGCCCGCUAACGUUCCAAAGGUUAACUAAUAGUGGGUAACCUUUGGAACUUGUAAGAAGUCGUUCCAGGUCGAGGUCCCGCGCGGCAUUGUUCAAGAAAGAAUCAUUGACUUUUCUCUUCCUAAACUGAUUCAAGAAGGCUCUCAAUGAUUCUUUCACUUGGUCUGAUGUUGGUGGGGCAGCGUUUGCUGAACCCCCAUCCUCGUCAGCAGGACGAGCUUCCUGUGCGCCGAGGCUCGUGGUGGCGGGUUCGGGUUCUUGCGCUGGAACGGGUGGUCCAUGGUUUGGUGGUUAGAAAUUUGAGAAUUAUGGAGGUUUGUCAUCUUUAUUUGGGAAUAACAUGUGCAAAUAUUUUCAGAACCGCGCUAAAAUUGCAUAUUUAAAUUCAUAUGAUCUUCUUAGAGCUUAAAAAAAAAGAAGAGAUAAUUUCAGCUUAUUUUUAUAUAUAUACAUAUUUAAAUUCAUAUGAAUGUUUUAGAACGUUUUUAGUAUUAUGGUUAAAAUGUUGUUUGUUAAAAAAUUAAUUUAGAUUUUUUUAUUUAAAAUUAUUUUUAUAGUAUUUUUAAAUUGUUUUAAUGUAUGUCUAAAAUAAAUUUUAUAACUUAAAAAAAUUAUUUUAAUAUAUUUUUAAAUAAAAAUUAUUUUUAAAAAUAAUCAUUGCUAUAUACGAAACCCCACUGUUAAUAUAUCACAAUCCUAAUAGGGUAAAAAUGCCAUCAUAUCCCAACUCGGCCAUGUAAAGUAAUAAAUCAGAGGAUCAACAACUUUUGUUGACCCACCUACCGUAUUUGGCCAGAAGAUUUCUUUUUAUAUAUUUUAUACUAAAAUGGUAUUUUCAACCAUAGCUUGACAAAUAAACACAAAAAGGGAUGAAUUGUGUGAUUUCAUUCUUUUCAUUAAAAUUCUUUUUAGAUAUAAGGAAUUGCAGAGGUAGAAUUUCAAUGCUAGAGAUUAGAGAGAGUAUAUUUAUUAACUAAAAACAAAAAGAAAUUGUGUCUUUUUGUGUGAAUCACGUAAUAAAACACUAUUUAAUAUAAUAAUUUUUUUUUUUAUUUAAAUAUUUUUUAAUUUCAUCAUUAAAUAUUUAGAUUAUUAGAAAUUGAGUUUCUUAAUUUGUUAUGGUUAACUUUUUAUAAAGUCAUUCCAAUCUCAUGAUUUGUGUCACUAGUUUGACAGGUUAACCCAGUUGAUUCAAGUUUUUUUUUUUUUGAAUUGACAUUUUUUAUUUAAUCUUUUAAAAUUUGGUUGAUUGUGAAUUGGCUUUAUGAUUUAUUUCGGCUUACUUUCUAUGAGGUUAUCUUAAUCUCAUGACACGGAUUUUGUAAGUUAACCCGGGUAAACUUGGUUUGUUUUAUUGUGUCCUUUUUUAUAUUGAUUGUUUUUUCAAUUUUAUCAUUCAUCAAUUGAUUCAUUGAGAAUUGAACUUCAUAAUUUAUUUUGAUUUAUUUUCUAUGAGAUUAUCUUAGUUUUAUAGAUCAAGGUCACAAGUAUGACAAAUUAACCUAAAUUGACUCGAGUUAUUUUUACAGUUUAUUUUUUAUAAUGUUAUUUUGAUUUCUUAAACAUGAUCAUAAGUUUUGUGAAUUAACCCGAUUUAAUUUGAAUUGUUUUAUUUGUGUCGUUUUAGUUAAUAUCUUAUAAUUAUCAAUGUCUUAUAAUUCAAAUCGCAAAUUCUUUUAGUUAAUUAAGUUCACCCGUACAUAUUCACAAAAAUGUGAACACUUGGCAGUAAUAUUAAACUAGAGAACUUCUAUAUAAAUAAAAACAUAGUAAUAGAUUGCAUGAAAUCUAUCCGUGGGCAAUAUUGCUACGCAUCUUAGGUCCGCCAAGGUUAUCUGAUUUGAUUUGAAACCAAGAUAUCUGCAUCUACCAUUUUUGUUGGAGUUUCUACCAUCUUGUGUUGAAUUUGAUGCCAUUGACACUCCUUCAUCCUCCAAUGUCUCUCCACUAGAACAACCUUUAGGGAUUAUUAAGUCACGAGCAGUUGGCAAGACAAAGGGUUGCUAUAAAUCCCAGGAAAUUAAUAAAACAGAUUUAUUUGCACCAGAUAGAACUUCAUACAAUUGUUUUUCAUACGAAACUCCGUGGAAUUCAUAUAUGGCUAAACUUUAGUACACAAGGUAUAAAAUCCAUACCUGAUAUCAUGAAUGAUCAAAAUAAUCAUUUUAAGAAAAAAAAAGAAAAAGAGGAGAAGACCAAAUAAGAGCUUAUCAAGGAUGAAGCUCAAUGAGAGCUCUUGUGCCAAGCACGUUAUGUAUCUUAUAGCUGACGAAACCUGCAUCAAAGAAGAGCUUAGCCCACUCCAUUUCAUUCCUUUCUAGGCCAGUAACAGUCACCAUCAUUUCUAGAUCCCAAAGCAGCUGCGUUUCAUUUGACUCCUCGCCAUUUUGGCUCUCUCUCACUAUGUCUAUGAUUAUCACCUUCCCAGCUUUCUGCUGGCCCUUACUCAUAAUUGCAUGUUUGCAUUGCUUUAGUAUUUUCACGCAGUCUUCAUCACUCCAGUCAUGCAGUGUCCACUGUUCAUCAUUUUCCAUGAUUAAAGACAUACUAUAGUUACAAAAUAAACUAAAAAAACUAUUCAGGUUUGACAAUACAUGCAUUGUUCAUCAAGACUCAUUAAAUUGCUCACGUCAUUGUUCAUAACUAUUUUUACUUUUUUAGGUUCAUAUGUAGUUUUUGUGCUUUGGUCAUUGCACUUUAUUAAUUUCUUCUUUUUUUUCCAUCCUUAAUUAUGUUAUCAUGAUUUUAUAUAUAUAUAUAUAUAUAUAUAUAUAUAUAUAUAUAUAAAAAACAGAGUUUAUUCUUGCAUUACAUCACAAAAAGCUAUUACAAAAUAGAAUUAUAAGUUACUGUUAAAAAAAUUAAAAGAAUAAAGACAAAAAAAAAAAGAGUUGUCUUUUUAUUUACAUUGUUCAAGAGGCAAGAAUUUUUAUAUUUUGAUCCCUUUUGUUUUCAAAAUAUACAUUUCAAUCAUAAAACUUUAUUUAUAUUAUAUUUCAGUCUCUAACAGUUGAGGGAUGAGAGAGAGAGCCAUCAAAAAGGAAAGGAGACAGUUUUUGGUCAACCCUGUUUUGGCCACAAAAAAAAAUAUUGAUCGUAGUGUUAAUGAGUUUAUUUUGAAGAGAAGAGUUCAUUGAAAAUGAUUUGACCAUUUAAUCAUGUUGAAAAAAAUAAUUCAGAAUUCAAAAAGUUUGUUUAAUCUUAGGUUCUUAGUUUGAUUAAAGUGUGUGUUGAAAAUAAAGUUAUAGAGGUUUUUAAGAUAUUUUUUUUUGGUAAAAAUGUGUUAAAUUUAGAUUUCAGGGAUCCAAAAACUUCAAAUCUGAUUUUUUUUAUUACUAUGUAGCUAGAAAGUGUUACAAUGGACAAUGGAUCAUUUUUCUAGAUAGGCAUGCAGGGUUAGCCUUCCAAGCCUAAAGAGUGUCAGGCCUAUAUCUUGAAAGGCCAAACAUUAGAAUGCAUGGUUUAUCCCUUCAAAGCCUAGUCGCACCUAGGCUUCAUUCUCGUUGCCCAUUAACUUUUUGUUUCUUUUCUAUUUAUUUUUUUAUUUAUACUUAAAAUAAAAUAAUUUUUAAAAUAAAUAAUACAAUAAUAUUUAAAAGAUCAUGAAACCAACUAUUAAAGAUGAAAUUGAAAAAAAAAAUUAUGUUAAAAAAUAGAUAUAAAGAAGGGACCGAUAUCAUUCCAGGUUAAUCUUUCAAACUCGUGAUCCGGGUUAUGAGGCUAGUAUAAACCUAACGGGAAAAAUCAUGAAGCCUAAUUUUGAAUCAAUUAUAUGUUAAAGGAUAAAAUUAAAAAAAAAAUUAAUUUUAAGACAGGAUCUAAAAUAAAAAUAGCAAUCAAAAUAAUAAGAACUAAAAUUGACCCACCUUUAAUUUUUGAUUUGACCAACGUGAAUAUCAAGAAGAUAAGAAAAACUAGAGGAGAUAAGAAAAAAACAAUGUCAACGCCUAUCAGCUAACUAGAUACAACAUGCAUUAUCCCAAUGGAAAGCCUAUGGCGCGACGCUUUAGAAGACAAGAUGGAAGGUUGUUUUUGGCCAACAAAGGAGCUCGCACAUGCCCACUUGAAUGCAAUGGGCCUCCUUCACAUGAUGGUGUGUAUUGUGUAGUUAGCCUGCCUAUUCACUAUAGUCCACUAUAUUUUUUUAGUUUGAAUUUUGGUUCCUCAAAAUCUAAUUAUUUUACAUCAAUGUAAUUUCAUUUUGUAUUUCCCAACUGAUCAUAAAUCAAGGGUCGGGAUUCUCAAUACAUUGCAAGAACCCUAUAUCUAGGGGGGAAAAACAAACUACAAAUUCAAGUUUUAAAUAAAAUCAAUGUGAAUGGAUUGAAUUAAAAAAAAUGACCCAAAAAAUAAAAUAAACUCAUCCCCUGACCGUACAAAUCUCCCUGAUAUUAACAAAAAAAAAGGAUUGAAUUGUCUAACCUCAAAUUAAUUCGGUCCAUAAAAUCUAAUUCUUUUAAAUAAAUGAAAAAAUUAUUUUUAUUUUGUAAAACUAGGUAUCAACGAGUGACAUAAUAUUUUUCCGACACCUCAAGAUUCUUAUAUGCAGGCAUGAAAAAUAAAUCACCAAGAUCAAUUGCAAAUUAAAAAAAUGUUAAAUGACCAAAUAAGAAAAAUAAUAAAUUGAGGUACUAAAGUGUAAAAAAUCAUAGGAAUUACAAAGAGAGAGACAUUGUUCAAUGAACAAUGAGUGAAUAACUAAGCUCUUUUUAAAAAAAAUUACAAUAAUUUUCGAAUGAACAAUGUUUCAUCCACACAAGCAUGAAAGAUAAAUCAUCAAAACCAAUUGCAAAUCAAAAUAAUUUUAAAGGAUCAAAUAAAAAAAAUUAAGGAUUAAAGUGUAAAAAAAUAUAGGGAAAAAAAAACAUGGUUAGAAUAAACUGUAUUUCUCCUCAUAUGCCUACCGUGAAUCACCGAAUCCUUUUAGUCAUUUGUUAAUAAUAAUAAUAAUUUGGGUUUGAAGGACCAACGAUUUUUUUUUUGUGUGCGUGGAGAAAUUAUGGUUGCUUCUUAAUUUCUUGUCUUUUGUCUGACCAGUUCAGUGCAAUAGACCAUGCCACCCUAACCAAUAUUUUCUUUAUAUUAAUAUUCUUUUUAAAUUAUGGUUGCUAACAAGACAAGUUAAUUUGUCAUGUUAGGCGUAUAUUCAAAUUUGCAAGUAUUUUUUUUUAAUUGUUUUUUGUGUUUUCUUUUGUAAUUUCUUUAGUGCUAAAUAACCCUCGUCAACAUGUUUAUGUGCUGCGUUAAUUCGUUUUUGUUAAUGAAAGGUAAGCAUAUGCAAACUUACAAUACUGCUAAUUAGUACAUGGAAACUGCAAAAAAUUACCUUGAGUAAAAUUACAUCUGCAGCAGGAACUGCCUCAAACAUAUCCCCUCCAACAUACUUCAAGUUUUUGCUGCCUUGCAAGUCAGAAACCACACGCGGGAGAUCAAACACAGUGCAGUCCAUGUGCGGAAAUGCUUCUGCGAUGCCCUUGGCCAUGGUUCCUGAGCCUCCCCCGACAUCCACCAAGGAAUCCACCCCAUCAAAGAUGCCUUUGCAUUGGUUUAAAACCAGCUUGCUAGCCAGUAUGCUAUCACUAGCCAUGGCUUCAUUAAAGAGAUUGCUGAGCCUUGGAUCUUGGCCAGCGUACUCCCAAAGUGUCCUUUCAUGGGCAACACUAAAUGCGGUGGCUUCAUCAUUUUGGAACCAAGUGCUCAAGCAAUCAUGGGGUUUUGUCAGAACUGGAUCGAGCAACAUAAGUAAAAGAGGUCUCAUACUCAAGGGGUUAUCCUUGAGAAGCAGACGAGUGGAUUGGGUAAGGGAAUAGGCUUCUUGGUUGAGAUUUUGCUGGGAAAAGAAACCGGAGUGCACGAGAAUACGCAUAAGGCGGUGGACAUAUUGAGCUUUUGAUGGGUGGAUCGGUAGGGCAGAAACAAGCUCCGAGAGGGUCAUGGGUUUGCCAUGUUUUUGGAUCACAUCUGGUAUGCCUAGUUGAACGGCACAUUUCAGAGUCAUGGAGUUUAUGAAGUUGAAUAUAUGAUUCCACACAUGAGUUUGAGCUUGAAGCAGCUCACCAGCACUUUCCUCGUUAAUCAACUCCAUUGAUUUUUAGUAAGCUACUAUUGUGAUACCUCAAAGGACAAUUACCUACCUCUCCAUGUAUAUAUAGCAGAGAUGGCUUAAAUUCUCAACUUCGUACAAUAAGAAUUCAAUAAAUAAAUUCAGGUAAUUAAUAAUAUAAUUAAAAAAAACAUUAACAAUAAAUAAAAAAUAAUAGUAAAUAACUAUAAAAAAUAAGUUAGUAAUAUCAUGCAUGAUAGAAAAAAGAAAAAAAAUAUGUUAAAUACUCAUCGUCGUUUUGUUGCGAACAUCACUCUACCACCAAAAACAACUCACUAAUAUGUUUGAAGAGUACUUAAACACCCCGCUUUCCAAUUUAAUUAAUAAUUUAUAUCUACUGAAAUACUAAUUUGUCUUUUUGUCUGCUUAUUAUAACAAAAACAAGUAGGAUGAAAAUAAAUAUAAAACAAAAACCCUAAAAGUAAAUUAAAGAUUAUUUUUUAAUUUAAUGGUAAUUGAGUGAUUUUAUUGUACUUGUCAAUUUAAAUUUUUUUCUUUUAAUAGUAAAUUAAUUAAUUAUUUUACAUGUAAAAAAAUAUAUAUAAAAAACAUUCUAUCCAUGAAGUCAUUAAUUAAUUAAUUUUUAUUUAUCUUCAAAUUUUAUAUGCAUGUUAAUAACAACAAGAAAUUGGGCAAGGGUACAAUAAGCAUAUACCGCACGAAACGAGCAGUAGCAGAUGAUCAAGAGAACAAACAUUUAUAAAGUCAGGCAAAAAUACAUGGAAUAUAAUAAUAAUAUAAUAUAGCUAAGACUUGAAAGCCACCCACCUCCACUACAGCUAGGGCUUGACACACCACCCAUAAGAUAAGACAGCGAAAUGACAGGCCCCUAGUAUCGUUGAAAAAGUAAAAAACGAAUUUACUAUUAAAAAUUUAUAAUUUUACUUAUGUAUCUAACAUAUCAAAUUAGAUUAAAAUUAAAAAAUUUGUAAAAUUAGACAAAUUAGUUCAACUCGAUAAAAUCAGUAAAAUCAGACUGAUUUUACAAGUUUGAAAAACAUAUAAAUUGUUCAUUAUGGUAAUAUAUACCUUAAUAUUUUCACUGUUUAAAAUUUAUAUUUUGCAAAACUUGUUCAAGGCUUGAUUUUGACUAUAAUUAUUAUAAUUUUUUAAAUGAUACAAGUUAUUUGUGAAUUUUAUUUCUGUAAAAUUAAAAUAUAUAUUCAUUCUUCACAAUUUUUUAUGUAAACUAUUAACAUAUCAAUUGAUAUAUUACUCUGUUUUGGCUGACAAAUAUAUAGAAUAAAAGUUGUAAAUUGACAUGCUUGACCCUUGGAGUAAUUAAUGUUAAAUGAUCUAUCAAAAUUUGAAGGAACUCGUUUAUUUUAAAUGAUGAAGUAAGUGGGUCGAUUUGUCCAAUAAGUUGAGGAAUUAACGUGAAUAAAAUAAAGAUAUUUCUAUUGUUUAUUUUAUUUUUAUUUUUAUUGUGUUAUAUUAUUAGUUACUACUUGAUUGAAAUUGUUAAUAUAUAAUUAAUUAAAAUAUUUUAUUUAUAAUUUUACGAUUCAAGUUUAUAAUUUAAAUUUAUAUUGUAUAUUCUGUGUCGUGUUAAAAAACUAUUUUUGACAACUUUGACACCUGGCAAUUGCUUGGAAAGUUCAGCCACCUUAUCCUAUAUUUGUGUUUAAAAAAACUUUAAAAAAAUACUGAAAUUUUUUAAAAUAAUUUUAGAUUGUUUUUAUAUGUUGAUAUAAAAAAUAAAUUUUAAAAAAUAAAAAAUAUAAUUUUAAUUUAUUUUUAAAUAAAAACUAUAUUUUUUAAAAUAACUAUCAAAGUAAUAAAUACACUCUACGACCUGCGAUCCAUCCACUACUCUCGAGUCAAUUUAAAACCGCGUGUUACUGUCCCAGCGUUUGACAUUGACAUGGAUAGAGAUAGACACUAAUAAAAGGCAAACCAGUCACCACUGCGCUUGGUCAUCUGAAUUAUUUAAUUUAUAAAAAAAUAAUGUUCAGCCAAAGUCAUAACAAACUUUGUAAUUGUAAUGAUCAAGUUGAGAUUAUAUUUAAUUGAAGAGUAAAAUUAAUAAAAAAAAUUAUGAAAAUACAAAAAUAUCCCUUGAUAUCAAGUGUAAUGUUUUUGCUUUCAAUGAUAUUUAAAUUCUUUUACUGUGUAAUUAAAUAAAAAAUAUUUAUUUAUUCCUCUUUUAUUUAAUAAUAACAAAUAAAUUAUAUAAAAAAAUUUAAAAUUCUUGAAAGUUAAUUUUGAGUUUUUGGAUGGAAAGAUAACAACAUUAUUAUAUUAUUUAAGUGAACAAGAACUAUAGAUCUGGAACUACCUUCCGCAGCGUUUGGAAAAAUAUAUUAAAUUAUAUUUUUUUUUAAAAUUUAAAAAUAUUAUUUUGUUUAAAAUUAAGUUUUUUUUAUAUAUUUUUUCAAAUUAUUUUGAUGAACUGAUAUCAAAAAUAAUUUUUAAAAAUAUUAUUUUAAUAUAUUACCGAGCGAAAAGCACUUCAAAAUGCAAUCAUUACCAAACUCUCUAAUAACCCAUAUAUAUAAUAUGUUAAUUAGUCUAAGUUAAUGUGUGCAAUCAUAAGAUUCAUAAGGAAAUAUGCACACAACCAAAAACGAAAAAAUAAAGUUUUUUAAAUAUUAGUUUAUUAGUUUUGAAUAUUAGUUUUCUUGAUAUUUUAUCUUGAUAUUUGCUCUUGUCAAUAUUAGUUUUGAAGGUAUAUAAAUAUGUAAAUUCCGAUGCAUUUUCAUCUUUCUCCUUUCUUUCUUGAUAUAUAUUUUCAUAUAACUAGAAAAGUAUUGAUUCAUGAUAUAGAAUCAUUCAAUUGAGCAUUAGUUGGUGGCUUACUCUCACCACUAGAAAAUUAGAAAAAAUUGACUGAAGAAUAUUUAUUGGGCAUUAAAGAAAAACUUAUGCCCACAAUUACUAUUCCAAUUGAAUAGCUGGCUGAAAAAUAUCAUCAGUAAUAUGCUCAUCAUGGAUUUGUGUGAAUAUUCACACCAAAAAAAUUAAAUUUUACAACUUUUUUUUUUGUUCGGAGCUCCAUCAGCAACAUUAUGUUUACAGGAUUGCUGGUGAAAUAUGCCAACAUAAUAGUCAAUUCUAUUGAUAUUUCUAUAAGAAUGUCACAUUUGUUUUGCGUUUUUUUGUUGGUAUAAUCCCCAAUAUGCAUUUAGGAUUAUAAUCUUAGAGCUUCAAAAAAAAAUUGAGAUAAUUUCAACUUAUUUUUUAUAUAUAUAAUUUAUUGAAUUUGUAUUCUUAAGAAAAAAAACCUACAUUUUUACUUCAAAAAAAUUUAAAACUAUUUGCAAAAGUGAAUUAAAUUUCCAUUGGCAUCUAUGAAGAAUUUCAGUUAAAAAUACUAUAUUUCAAAUUGUUAAAAGAGAUUUUUGGUGAAUACUAAAAAUCAAAUCAAACAAACAGUUAGUAUUUGUUAAAAACAUGAUGGUUCAAGUACAAGAUUGAUCAUUUAUCAAAUUGAUAGUUGAUGGUUUAGAAUGAGUUUGGUAUAUAUUGCGGUCAAAUGUUGUUUGUCAAGUUUUUAAUUUAUUUUUUUAAUUUAAAAUUUUUUAUAGUAUUUUUGUAUAGUUUGAAUAUGCGUUAAGAACAAAUUUAAAAAUAUAAAAAAAUUAUUUUAAUAUAUUUUAAAAUAAAUAAUAUUUUAAAAUAUAAUUAUUGUUGUAAUAACAAAUAGGGCAUUGCCGUGUUCUGAAUAUAUCACAAUCCUAACAGGGUAAAUGUAAGUUGAUUUUUGGAAGGCUUUUGACUCAGUCUUGUGGAACUUUAUAGGGGAUCUAUUACGGCAGUUUGGCUUCCCUGAGAGAUUUGCUCACCUUAUCAUGCAAUGUAUUUCCACAACCUCCUUCUUUGUUGCUGUAAAUGGUGAUUUGUAUGGGUUCCUCCCUGGGAAAAGUGGGGUGCGGCAAGGAGACCCUCUGUCCUCCUAUCUGUUUAUCUGUUGCAUGGAAUACUUAUCUAGGAUGCUCAUACUUGCUUGCAGGCAGCUUGGCUUUCGGAUCCAUCCAAAAUGUGGUAUCCACGGCAUUAGCCACCUCGCUUUUACAGAUGAUGUCUUGCUGCUUUCUCGUGGGGAUUGCUCUUCAGUUAAUGGUACUUUCCAGCAGCUCACAUGCAAUCUUUGGCAAGACUGCAGGGUUGGAUAUUAAUCCGAAUAAGUCUUCAAUUUUCUUUGGAGGUGUUAGUCCCAGUCAAAAGCUACGUAUUCUUCAUACUACAGGCUUUCGUGAAGGAUGCUUUCCUUUCACUUAUCUUAGGGUCCCCCUGAGCCCUCAUAGGCUUAUUGCUAGUCAGUUUUCCCCUUCUACAUUCCUUGGAAUUGUCUGUUCAAGGCUGUAUUGGCAAGCACCUCACUUUUGCUGGAAGGCUAGAGCUCAUAAGAUCUGUUUUAUAUGGGAAGGUACAAUUUUGGUUGAACAUCUUCCCGCUGCCAGAGAUUGUUAUAAAAAAAAUCACUAGCAUAUGCAGGAACUUCCUCUGGAUUGGGGAUGUUAGGAAGAGCACUUCUGCUUUGGUUGCUUGGAAAUCUGUUUGCCUGCCUAAGGCAGAAGGAGGCCUUGGAUUGUUCGAUAUCAAAACUCGUAACAGGAGUUUUCUUGCAAAGCAGCUUUGGAAUACCAAUCCCAAAUCUGAUUCUAUCUGGAUACAUUGGGUGCACCAUUUCUACCUGCGCAAUGGAGCUAUUUGGACUGCUUCUGCCCGCCAUUCUUCCUCUCACCUGUGGAAGUCUAUUAUAUUCCUUAAAGACUACAUCAUCCGGCACUAUGGAAGUCAAUCUGGGAGUAUUGCACUCAUGAGUGGCUGGAAUUCUAGAAUGGAUACAUUUUUGUCUCAUGCUUAUAACUUCUUUCGACCAUCUGGCUCACCAGUCUCAUGGGAAAGAGUUGUAUAGGAAAAGUGGUCUCUGCCAAAGCACUACUUUAUUUUGUGGCUGGCAGUUCAGAGGAAGCUUCAAACUCGAGAUAGGUUGCCUUUUCUUCCUAGUGAUCCCCUUUAUGUGUUCUGCCAGCAUGAGGAGGAGUCGUAUGACCAUUUUUUUUUUGCAUGUGAAUGGACAUCCUGCUAGUGGGGAAAGAUUAAGUCAUAGCUGCGGAUUGGCAAGAACAUGACGAUUUGUAUAGUGCUCUUCGUGGUUUGAGGUCUAGGAAAAGCAAUCUUGAAGCUCGAAUGCGAAGAGUUUCCUUGGGCAUCGGUGUCUACCUUAUAUGGGAAGAAAGGAACAAGCGGAUAUUUGAAGGAAAGUGCUUGGGGGUUGAUAGAGUCUCCAGGAGAUUUCAAAUCUUAUUCUACACAAUAUUCCACUUCCAUGCCGUGGACCACUCCCGACUGGAUAAUGGCUGAGUUUAUUUUGCUUUUGCUGUUGGAGUUGCAGGCCUCCUAUUAAUGGCCCUUGUGUGUUUCAGUAGAUGUUGGUGGUUCUCUUAUGUUUCAGUUGCAAAUUAGGUCAGCUGUUGGUUUUUCUUUUGGGUAGUAUUCUUUUUGGUUGGUUAUCUUUGGCACCUGCUGGAUCUUGAGUUCUUUAGCUAACCGAUGUAAUACUUUUGGUUCUCUCUCUAGGUAGUUGUCUCCCUGUAUUUUUUAUGAAUGGGAGCAUGUUCCCUUUUGCUUCUGAUUUUGUAUAUGUGUAUAUAUGACUUGCCAGCUUCCUGACCUGUUUCAUUUUGUUCUAUUAUAUUCUUAUAUUUGAUUUAAAAAAAUGCCAUUAUAUCCCAACUUGGCCAUGAAAAGCAAUAAAUCAUAGGAUCGACAACUUUUGUUCAACCACCUACGGUAUUUGGCCAGAAGAUUUAUUUUUUAUAUAUUUUAUACUAAAAUGGUAUUUUUAACCAUAGCUUGACAAAUAAACACAAAAGGGGAUGUAUUGAUCCAGAUCAUUGUGUGAUUUUCCACGGUACCUCAUUCUUUUCAUCAAAAUUCUUUGUAGAUAAAAGAGACUGCAAAGGUAGAAUUUCAGUGCGAGGGAUUAGAGAGAGUAUAUUUAUUAACUAAAAACACAAAAGAAAUUGUGUUUUUACUAUGAAUCACAUCAUUAUACAAUAUAAUUGUUUCGCUGUUUAUCCUUUUACUGUUCACAAAGAUACAAAUCAUUAUGGACUGGAGCAAUGUAAUGAUAUAAUUGUCAUUGCCAAAGAAACUUACUAAGCAUGCAGUUGUGAGUGGGAUUGUCUUUUCUAUGGAAUACAUUUGGCAUUGAAAGAAUAGUUCGUUUGGGUUUUUUUGGGUGCAAUAUAGAUACUGAUUUGCCCUUAAGGGCAUAAAAUUUUAACAUUUGGUUUGGGGGCUUCUUUUGCCUUCUCAAGAAAUAUAAACAUGGCUGUCAAACCUCAGGCACUAGAGAAUGACAUGGCUGCCAGACACCUGGCAUUGGGGUUAGGCAUGUUUGCCAAACCCUAAGCGCUCGGGUCUGGCAAAACAACCACACCAUAGAUGCUCGGGUUAGACAUGACUGUCAGAUCCUAGCACCUUGGGUCUGGAACGUCAUGGGUCUGACAGGGGCACCAGAGCCAUGUUAAUUAGGUCAAGCAAGGGAUGUCAUACCAAGGAAUUUGGGUUUGGCACCAACAGACCCAAGUAACAUGGAUCUGUCAAAGCGUCGUUUUGAACAAAACAUGUUGUUUCAUUUUAAAAAAAUGACGCUAAAAAGUUUUUGUUUCCAAAUCAGUCCUCAAUUUUCGAUUUGUUCAAUCAAGCCCUCUAAUGCAACCAUAUUAUUCGAUAGUUUUACCAACAUUUACCUAUUAUUUUUCCUAUGUUUUAUAUAUAUAAUGUCUUAAUAUUCUUUGCUUUAUGUUUUGAAGGUAUUUUUGGAUGUAAGACUUAAAAAGAAGUAAAUUGGAGAUAAUUGGCAGAUUUGACCUCCAAUUGAUGUUUUGUGCAGAACUUGAGCUCUAGUGGUCGAAAUGAAGUGAUUCUAGUGGUAUUAGAAAGAUAACAUCCAUACCUUUCUAUACAUAUAUGGAAAGAAAAAUAAAAAGAGAAAGAGAAUGGAAAUCACAGACUUCAAAGACAAAUCUCGCAUUCUGCCAGUGAUUCUAGUGUUUGUUCUCUUGAUUGUUUCCUGAUUUAUUUAAUUUAGCUUGAAUAUUUUAUUCUAUUGUAGCCUAGAUAAUCUCCAAACUCCCCCCAAAUUGCAUAUCGUCUAGCAUAAAAAUCUGAACUAAACUUUACUCAUGGGAUCAACCCCUUGCUUGCUCUAUACUAUAUUGUUUAUUUAAGUUAAGGUAAUUAAUUUGUGUGACUACGACAUCGCUACACCCUUAAUUGAGAUUUUGAUUUUAAGAAUCAAUUCAAAUGCAUCCCUGUCAAAUUCAAAUGUCAGCCUUGAAGUUCACUACCUUUUUCACUUUGAUCAUUGGUUUUGAAUUUGUGCAUUUUGACCCUUAAUUGAUCAACAAAGUUCCAAUUUCUUCAAUUUGGCUCUUACUUCGGUCAAUUUCAGCCCCUAUAUUCACAUGCCUUUUUCCAGUUUAGUCCUUGGUUUUGCAUUUCUUCAAUCAAGUCCUUAAUUGCCCAUAAUGUUUCAAUAUUUAUGCAAUUAAGCCCUUGAUUUGACCAAAUUAACUCUUAAAAAUUUUAAUUCGACCCCUAAACUUUUAUUUCUUCCAAUUAAAACCUAAAUAGACUUAAAAAUCAAUUUUUCUUGCAAUCGAACCAUUCUUAAACUCAAUUAAUCUUUCAUUCAAAUCUAAUUGAGAAAGCAAUAUAUAAUGCUCAAUCUAGACAUAUACAUCAUAGAUAUAAUAUCAUUAAAUACUUAUUCUCAAAUUAAAUUAUUUUCAUUGACUAUGAAAAUCCAAAGUAAAAUAUUGCAAAUCCAUUGACCAAAGAUUUAUUAAUAGAUUUUAUGUAUAAUUCAUCAAAGGGAAAAUGUUUAAAAACUUUCAAGAUAAAAUAGUAUAAUGAUGGUGACCACAACUAGUUGAUUAGAGAUCCCAAAAUCCAGAUUAAAAUAGAAAACUAAGUCAUAUAACAUUUUUUGUAGCAUUAAAAAGUUGUUAUUUCCUGUUUAUUCCUAUGAUGAAAUAGGUGCUAACUAUAGUGUGAUAAAAUAGUGAGUUGUGCUCUUAUUUAUUUUUAUAUAUUGGUAUACCAAGUAGAGUAUAAAUGAAUACUCUUAAUGAAAAAUCAUCUAUGUAAACGAGAAAUGUGGUCAUUUCUUUGAGAACUUUGAUAAAGGCAGAUUUCUAUAGAAACAUCCAUAAAUCCAGGAUUUGUUUAGGGCCAAAAUAAACAUAAUAAUGAGAAUCAAAGUCAAUAUCUAGGUAGAAAACUAUGUGAAUAUUAUUGUCUUGGUUUACACUAAAGGUUGAAUAGUUUAAGACAUCGCGUUUCCUAUUCAAUCGAGUAAAUUUGAUAGUUUUUUACUAAGAAAUGCUCAAAGUUAAAAGAAACCUAUCUUGAUGUAGUGAUCCACCAAAUUAGUAUCUCUCUAUAAAUUUUCAAGUCUUUUAUACUAGCCGAACAAUUUUCAUUCAUGUGGAGGAUUGUUGAAAUUUGUUUUAAUAAAACAUGAUUAAAAGGCAUAUCUAAGAUCAAAUUUAAACUGGUGUCCACUCACUUUUAAGGUCGAAACUUUGUUAAAAAUUAUUGUCCAACAAAACUUUAUUAAUAUGGAACAUUAAUAUGAUUAAAAUAAGUUAUGGGUGAAUGAGAAUUGAUCUCAAAGAACUAUUGGUUGACAUGUUUUUAUAAAACCAAAAAACUUUUAUCCUACAUAGAAAAGAAAAGAGAUUUUUUUUUAGUUUAUAUAGUGGGAAGUUAAUGAGUCAUAAAUGAGUCUUAGCAAAGUAGUAUGAGUUUAACCCACACAUGCAUGAUUAGAUCGGCUNNNNNNNNNNNNNNNNNNNNNNNNNNNNNNNNNNNNNNNNNNNNNNNNNNNNNNNNNNNNNNNNNNNNNNNNNNNNNNNNNNNNNNNNNNNNNNNNNNNNNNNNNNNNNNNNNNNNNNNNNNNNNNNNNNNNNNNNNNNNNNNNNNNNNNNNNNNNNNNNNNNNNNNNNNNNNNNNNNNNNNNNNNNNNNNNNNNNNNNNNNNNNNNNNNNNNNNNNNNNNNNNNNNNNNNNNNNNNNNNNNNNNNNNNNNNNNNNNNNNNNNNNNNNNNNNNNNNNNNNNNNNNNNNNNNNNNNNNNNNNNNNNNNNNNNNNNNNNNNNNNNNNNCUUUAUCAGUUUUGAUUCCAUAAUCCAUUAUAAAAAAUGGGUGAAAGAAGAGUUUUUCAUUGUUAUCCUAAUUUUAUAUAUUCUUCCCCACCUCAGUUUUUAAAGUUUUCUACACACUUUCAAACUUCUUUCCCCUAAUCUAAAGCUUAGACUCAGUUUUACUAAGAUAUAAUUGAGUCUAUUGACUUUGAUUCUUAGACCUUGUUUAGAUGCUUUGUUUAGAAGUGCAUCUAAACAAUAUAGUGUUGUUGGGAUCUUAAAGGACAUAUUGCAAACAUCCUAGUUGCUCCAAGUAAGGAGCAACGAAGCAUUAAGGACAAAGAAUUAAUUAUUGGCAACAACAACAAAACAAACUUUAUUAUUUAAAAAUGCUUUCACAAGUGAGUAUCCUUCUUUAUUUUAAUCUAAUCAUGGAUAUAUUAUAUGAUUAGUAUACAAGUUAGAAUUAUAUUUCUAUCUCUUAUGCAACUUUGAAUAUACGCUUAGAAUGGAUGAUAGUUUUUAUUUUUUAUUGCAAGUUUGCAAUGAUAUAUAAAAUUGCAUGUUUAUAGUUUAAAACUUGUAUAAAUUCUAGUUAUUUCUAGAACAAUUUUUUGCUUAGUAUAUUCUUAUGAUCUAAACAAUUAAUGCUUACUGGUUUUAUUACUCACUAAAUUUUUGGACAACAAUUUUUACUUCUAAAAACAUAUUUUAAUACUCCAUACAAGUCACGAGCAGUUGGUAAAACAUGAUGGCUAUAAAUCCCCAUAAAUAAAACGAAUUUGUUUACAUAAGAGAGAAAGACCCUGUUUGUUUACUGGAAAGUAGUUUCCUUUUGGAAAGUAGUUUCCUUUUGGAAAGUGAAUUCCGGAAAAGUGAAUUAUUUUUUGAUGUUUGAUAGUGUAAUGAAAAAUAAGUUGGAAAACGCUUGCCAGUGUUUGGUUAUGUCAUGGAAAAUGAGCUAGAAAAUAACUUAUUAAUGUUUUAUUUUUUUCAAUUUUAUUAAAAUAAUGAGGAACAAAUCUUACAAAUUAAAAGGUUGAAUGAGAAUUAAAUUGAAAAAAAAUAUAAUUUCAUAAAUUAUCUCAAAUAAAAUAAAUAAUAAUCAAAAUAAUAGAGAUCAAAUUUAAAAAAUAAAAAAAUUGAAAGAUGAAGAAAUUAAAAUAAUAAUAAUAGUUACCAUUUCAUAAAUUAUUUCAAAUAAAAUAAGUAACAAUCAAAAGAAUGAGGACCAAAUUUAAUAGAUAAAAAAUUUCAAUUAAAAAAUGAUAAGGGAAAAGCAAAUAACAAUUAUAAAAAUGAGGACCUAAGUUAAUAUAAAAAUUAAAUUCUAAGGGAUGAAAUUAAAAAAUAAAUAUUCAAAACAAAAUAUAUAUAGCAAUCAAAUGUUUGAGGACCAAAUUUGAUAUAAUUAGCAAAUAAUACGAUAUUUCUAAAUUUUUCAUAAUUUCCGGAAAGUGUUUUCUGCCCAAAAUAAAAGGAAAACACUUUUAUGGAAACCAAGCCAAAUUUUUCUUUGACUGGAAAAUGUUUUCCGUUAAUCAAUUUUUCUAAUGGUAAACAAACACAGGAAAGUUUGGAAAGUGGUUUUCCGAAAACCACUUUCCGGAAAACAAAUGCACUCAAAAUGUCAAACUAUUUUAGCAAUUCAAAGCUAAACUUUAGUACAGAAAAUGGCUUUGAAAACCAUAAUAUCAUGAAGUUUCAAACAUAAACAUACAAAAAACAGAACAAAAGAAAACAAAACAUUAAGAUCUUAUCAGGGAUAAAGCUCAAUGACAGCUCUUGUGCCUGGCACAGGAUGUAUCUUAUAGUUGAGGCAACCAGAAUCAAAGAAGAGCUUAGCCCACUCCUUUUCAUUUCUCUCCAAGCCACUAAAAGCCACCAUCAUUUCUCGAUCAAAAAGCAACUGCGUUUCAAUUGACCCCUCGUCUCCAUUCUGGUUCUCUCUCACCAUGUCUAUAAUUAUCACCUUCCCAACUUUCUGCAGCCCCUUGCUCGUAAUUGCUUGUUUGCAUCGUUUAAGUAUUUUCACGCAGUCUUCAUCACUCCAGUCAUGCAAUAUCCAUUGUUUGUCAUUUGCCAUAAGAUAUGUAGCAUGAAUAAAUGAAGACGGGAAAAAAAAUCUUCAUAUGCAUGUAUAUAAAAACUCCGUAGUAUAGAUUUUUGGGUUAGAGAUGAUGUCCAUCUUUGAAUAUAAAUCUUCAUAUGCAUGUGUACGCAGAGGUCAGGAAUGGAAUAGUUUAUAUAUGUGUCAAAAUAUAAGCUCAAGGACGCGCGGACGUGGGUAUAUAAGCACCUCUCAAACAAAAACUAAUAAAAGAUGUUUAUAUAUAUAGUGAUUUUAGCCGAGCCAUCUAAGCCGCCGCUAAGCCGAGCCACUAGUCGAGCCAAAAGAAUAUUUCCGAGAAUAUUCCUGGUUCAACCCCAGUGAACCGCCCGAUGUCUAGAAUCGGUUUCCUGACCGGUUCAGCCAAUUUCUGACCCAUUUUCAACCAUGUCAGACUGGUUCCCUAUUGUUUUGAGCAUUCUGGAUCCAUCUACAGUGUCUGUUUUGCCAAAUUCAACUCCCAGAAUGUGAUAUAGUCAUUCAAAGAGCAAAAUGACUACAGAAAAUACACAAACACUCAUCCCAAAGCUAACCAAAGACAACUAUGAUAGUUGGUGUAUCAGAUUAAAGGCAUUUCUUGGUUCACAAGAGUGUAUAGAGAUUGUGCAAUAUGGUUAUGAUGAACCAGAGUCCAAAGAAGCAGAAGAUGCUCUACAUGAGGCAGAGAAGCAAGUCCUUAAAGCCAAUAGGAGGAAAGACAACAAAGCAAAGACCAUCAUCUAUCAAGGUCUUUAUGAAGCAAUAUUUGAGAUCAUUACUUCCGCAGAAACAUUAAAAGCAAUAUGAGAGGCUCUCCAACAAAAAUACAAAGGUGCUGACAGAAUCAAGAAGAUUCGUCUCCAAUCUUUGCGAGGUGAGUUUGAAUUAUUGCAAAUGAAGUCCUCGGAAUCUAUUUCUGAUUAUCACACAAGAAUUAUGGUGAUAGUCAAUUAGAUGAGAAGAAAUGGAGAAGCCCUCACAGAUGCUCGUAUUACUGAGAAAAUUUUGAGAUUCCUAGAUCCAAAAUUUGAUUUUGUUGUUGUCGCUAUUGAAGAGUCCAAAGAAGUGGACAAGUUGAUGAUGGAUGAGCUUAUGAGUUCUUUGCAAGCUCAUGAGCAAAAGAUUGUGAAAAGAAAUGGAGAUAAGGCAAUUGAGCAUGCCUUACAAGCAAAGUUAUCUCUCAAAGACAGAUAUGAGCAAGGGGAGACUUCAACAAGUGGCUAUACCAUUCGGGGAAGAGGUCAACAAAGACAAGGAGGAUUUCAGCGAUUUCAAGGAAGAGGAUCUUGGAAUACAGGAUUUAGAGGAAGAGGUGGUAAAAACACCACCAGAAGAGGUCGAGGACAACAAGCAUUCACUCCUAGAGGAAGAGGAGGCGGUUACAAUAACCGUGACAAGAGGAAUAUCCAGUGUUAUAGUUGCAAUCAAUUUGGGCACUAUAGCACUAAAUGUCGAAAGAAAGCUCCAUUAGAGGUACGUGAACAGGCCAACUAUGCAGAAGAGGAUGCCAUCAUCAGAGGAUCAGCUGCAUUAUUUAUUCAACAAGGACUUGGCGAGAAUCAAGAGAAUAUUUGGUAUCUAGAUUCUAGAGCCAGCAAUCACAUGUGUGGCCAACGAGAUCUAUUUGGUGAUCUAGAUGAGAUCAUACAAGGUCUAGUCACCUUUGAAGAUACCUCAAAAGUUACAUUUAAAGGUAAAGGCAACAUCUCAAUCAAGUUGAAGAAUGGCGAUCACAGCUACAUCGCAGAUGUUUACUAUGUUCCAGCCAUAAAGCACAACCUGUUGAGUGUAGGUCAACUUAUGGAGAAAUGUUAUACACUUUUCAUGAAGAAUUGUCAUCUGACAAUUAUAGAUACAAUAGGAGAUUAAUUGCUUAUGUGAAGAUGUCCAAGAAUAGGAUAUUUCCUUUAAACAUUCAAUAUGAUGCAGCAAAGUGUUUGAGUGCCAUCACCAACAAUGAAGAAUGGCUUUGGCACCUAAAGAUUGGACAUCUGAAUUUCACAAGUCUGAAAAUGCUAACAAGCAAGAAGAUGGUCAAAGGUAUGCCCCACAUUGAUCAUCCAGAUGAAGUCUGUGAGAGUUGUGUCCUCAGCAAACAUCACAGAUCCAAUUUUGCCAAAGAAGUCAACUGGAAAGCAAAUCAGCCACUGGAGUUAGUGCACACAGAUGUGUGUGGUCCCAUAAAGCCUAUGUCAACUAGACAAAAUAGGUACUUCCUUACUUUCAUUGAUGAUUUUAACAGAAAGACAUAGAUAUACUUUCUAAAGAGGAAGUCAGAAGUGUUGAAUUGUUUUAAAGAUUUUAAAGCAAUUGUUGAGAAGCAAAGUAGCUAUAAGAUCAGAACUGUGAGAUCUGAUCAAGGUGGAGAAUACACUUCAAAUGAUUUUGAAGCCUUUUGUACACAACAAGGCAUCAGACAUCAGACAACACCAGCUUAUACACCACAGUUGAAUGGUGUAGCUGAGAGAAAGAAUUGAAUGAUUCUUGACAUGGCAAGAAGUCUACUCAAAGCAAAGAAGCUGCCCAAAUAAUAUUGGGCUGAAGUUGUAUCAUGUGCAGUGUAUCUACUGAAUCGCUGCCCAACCAGAAGUUUGCAAGCUGUCACUCCAGAAGAAGCAUGGAGUGGUCAUAAACCAAGUGUUACUCACCUUCGAGUCUUUGGUUCUGUGGCAUAUGCAAAGAUCCCAGAUGCAAGAAGGACCAAACUCGAUGAUAAAAGUGAGAAAUGCAUCUUUGUCGGAUAUGGUGAUAGAAGAAUGGGAUACAAGCUGUAUAAUCCCAUCACAAAGAAGGUAAUUAUGAGUAGAGAUGUUAUCUUUGAAGAAGAUAAAACUUGGCAAUGGAAUGAUGAUCAAGAAGCAGUCAAAUGGAUCAGCACUGAUUUGAUCCUUGAAGACGAAGUGGAAGUACCAAUAGUACUUGCAGAAGGUCCAAUAUUACCAGCAAAUGAGCCACAAAGUCUGGUACACAGAUCCCCUGUAUUUAACAGGAGAAACACACCAGAAUCAUCAUCAACACCACCAUCAGCAUCCUCAUCAGAAGAACCAAGAAGGAUGAGAAAUCUAGAAGAGUUGUAUGAUGUCACUCAAGUCAUGGAAGAUACAACUCUAUUUUGUUUCUUUGCAUAUAAUGACCCACUUAGCUUCAACGAAGCUAUCAUAGAAGAGAAGUGGAUAAAAGCAAUGGAUGAAGAAAUACAUGUCAUUGAGAAGAGUGAUACCUGGAAGCUGACUAAUCUACCAGGAAACAAGAAAGCAAUAGGUGUCAAAUGGGUCUAUAAGACAAAGAAGAAUGCAAAAGGAGAAGUACAAAGAUUUAAAGCAAGAUUAGUGACAAAAGGCUAUAAACAAAGAGAAGGCAUUGACUAUGGAGAAGUAUUUGCUCCAGUAGCCCGGCUAGAGACAAUUAGACUGAUGAUCUCACUACCUGCACAACAUAGAUGGAAGAUCUAUCAACUCGAUGUGAAGUUAGCAUUUCUGAAUGGCUUCCUAGAAGAAGAAAUCUAUGUUGAACAACCACUUGGAUACAUUGAAGCUGAAAAUGAAAGCAAAGUAUACAAGUUGAAAAAAGCUCUCUACGGUUUGAAGCAAGCUCCGCGUGCUUGGAAUACCAGAAUUGACAGGUAUUUUCAAGACAAUGGAUUUGAAAAAUGUUCAUAUGAACACACAAUAUAUGUGAAGAAAGAAGCAGAUGGCAGCAUAUUAUUUGCAUUCCUAUAUGUUGAUGACUUGAUAUUCACCGACAACAACCCUACCAUGUUUGAAGACUUCAAGAAAAACAUGGUACAGGAGUUUGAGAUGACAGACAUUGGUCUGAUGACACAUUUUCUUGGCUUAGAAGUGGUGCAGAAAGAAGAUGAGAUUUUUGUAUCCCAAAGCAAUUAUGCCAAAGAUAUUCUUGAAAGGUUCAAGACGGAAAGCUGCAAUCCGGUAUCAACUCCAGUUGAAAAUGGAAUGGAAUUGAGGAAGAGUAAAGUUGGAAAUGUUGAUCCAACUUACUUCAAAAGCUUAGUAGGAAGCUUAAGGUACUUGACAUGUACCAGACCGGAUAUACUCUACGGAGUUGAACUUAUCAGCAAAUAUAUGGAGACACCAGACCAGUCUCACUUGAAUGCAGCCAAGAGAAUUCUUCGCUACAUCAAAGGAACAAUAAAUAAAGGUAUGCUUUAUACUUCAAGUAAAACCUUCAAUCUUGUUGGCUACUCGGAUAGUGAUUGGGGUAGAGAUCUGGAUGAAAGGAGAAGCAUAACAGGAUUUGUCUUUUUCAUGGGAGAUACAUCUUUCACAUAGUCAUCCAAGAAGCAAUCGAUAGUAAAGUUAUCAAGCUGUGAAGUUGAGUAUGUUGCUGCCAACUUAGCUAUAUGCCAUUUAAUAUGGUUAAGGAAUAUGCUGAAGCAUUUGGGAUUUCCUCAAGAAAAUCCUAUAGAGAUUUAUAUUGAUAAUCGAUCAGCGAUUGCAUUAGCAAAGAACCCAGUGUAUCAUGAAAGAAGUAAACACAUUGAUACAUGUCAUCACUUUAUCCGAGAGCAUGUGAAGAACAAAGAAGUUGAACUGAUAUCCUGCAAAACAAAUGAUCAAGUUGCACAUAUCUUUACAAAGUCAUUGAAGGGAGAAAUAUUUAUUAGAUUGAAGUUCAUGUUUGGCAUGACAUCCCUCGAUUGAGUUUAAAGGGGGGAUUUGUUGUAUUAAACUCAAUCUAGAAGGUCAAAGAAGGCAACCACCACUUGCAUCCACCGCCUGCAGUCACCACCAGCGACUUCUCAAACCACCAGCCGCCAGUUGUCAACCGCCUUUACAAACUACCAAUAAAGAUUUUUUCUUACUUUCAAUUUGUGUAUAUAUAGGAAACUAAGUUUAUGCUAUUAUCAGUGUGUGAGAAAGAUAAGAAAGAAACACUAGAGAGAAAAGAGAGGGCGUGUAUUAAGAGCUUUUGUUCAUUUUUGUAAAGCUUCUUCUUGUUGAAAUAAAAAAAAAUGUGUUUUAUCCACUCUGAGUGUUUCAAAGCCACCACCAGUUGGUUCUCCCACCAACAAAAACCACAUAGGGGAGAUCAAACACAGUGUAGUCCAUGUGGGGAAAUGCUUCACCAAUGCCCUUGGCCAUAGUUCCUAAGCCUCCCCCGACAUCCACUAAAAAAUUCACUCCGUCAAAGAUGCCUUUACAUUUUCUUACAACCAACUUACUAACUAGUAUGCUAUCACUAGCCAUGGCAUCAUUAAAGAGAUUGUUGAUUCUUGGAUCUUGGCCAGCGUACUCCCAAAAUGUAUUUUCAUGGGCAACACUAAAUGCAUUGCGAUCAUCAUUUCGGAACCAAGUGCUCAAGCAAUAAUGUCGUUUUGUCAGAACUGGGUCGAGCACAAAAAGUAAAAAAGGUCUCAUACUCCAGGGAUUGUCCUUGAGUAGGGGACGAGUGGAUUGGGUAAGGGAUUAGGCAUCUUGGUUGUGAAUGCCAUUAAGAUUUUGCUGGGAAAAGAAAUCAGAGUGCACGAGAAUACGCAUAAGGCGAUGGACAUAAUGAGUUUUUGAUGGGUGGAUUGGUAAGGCAGAAACUAGCUCCGAGAGGGUCAUGGGUUUGCCAUGUUUUUGGAUCACAUCUGGUAUGCCUAGUUGAACAGCACAUUUCAAAGUCAUGGAGUUUAUGAAGUAGAAUAUAUGAUUCCAGACAUGAGUUUGAGCUUGAAGUAGCUCACUUUCACUUUCCUCAUUAAUCAACUCCAUUGAUUUGAAGUAGUAUAUAUGCUAGUGCAUGUUGUGAUACCUCAAGAGAUCUCUCUUCAUAUUUAUAGUAGUGAAACUUACUCUACCCUCGGAGAAGGCUUAAUUUCUCAACUUUAUCCAAUAAAAAAAAUUAAAAGGAAAAAUUCCAUUACAGGAAUCUGUUUUCACAGUGCAACAUGUUGUGUGCUUUCAGUUUUUUGUUUCUUCAAAUGUGCUUCGUUUCUCCCUCUCACAAUCAUAUUAAAGUGUAAAGUGACAAAAAUAGAAUGUAUUUCAAAAGCAGACUUAAAUUAAGGUUUACUUGUACAAUGAUUCAAGAUUUUUAUUUAACAAAAGCUUCAAAAUUAAAUAAGAAAUAUUUGUCUGCUUUAUGAAAUUAAAAUUAUCUAUACUUCACAAAACAAAAUUAAGUAUAAAAUAAAAAUUGUUCAAGAUCUUACUCGUUAAAUAUAUAUUAAUAAAAUAGUUUUUAAAUAUUUUAAAAGAUUUCAUUUGUAGUUUUCAUCAAUUCCAUUAUUCAUGCUAAGAGAGCAUUUGAAAACGCGGGCUAACCCGUGUUUUCAAAAAAUUCAAUUUGUUUGCUAAAAAUUAUUUUUUUUCUAUUUUGGAUCGUUUUGAUGCGCUAAUCUCAAAAAUAAUUUUUAAAAAAUAAAAAAAAUAUCAUUUUGAUGCAUUUUGAAAUGAAAAACACUUUGAAAAGCACCCGCAAUCACACUUUCAAACAGGCCCUAAGCCGGUUAUGCAAAUUUGGAACGUUGUUUAAUUUAAUUCAAUUAUGUCGAUCUAACUUCUUGAAUCGAUAAGCUAUGAAGAUUUGCAGUAUAUAUUUCUAUGUUAUUUUAUUCUUUUAAGAUAGUAACUUGUUAUUUUUUAAAAUGACAAUCAAUAAUAAUAAAAAAAAAGACCACCUCGUUGUCAAAAUCUGUUUUACACAAGAUUGUUAAUUCCGUUCUGUUUUGUUAGGAAUAGCCGAAACAUUUCAUACCAAUUCAAAAAAUAGAACAAAACGGAACAAUUUUCAUCUCAUUUCAAAUCUCGGUCUAUUUCGGAUUUUCCGGAUAAAUUUCGGCCAGAAUGUUCCGGUUUCAUUUCACAUGUUCCGCUCCGAGCUUGAAAAGCCAUUAAAUCAAAUUGGUAUUUUGUUUAAGUUGAAUUACUUUAAGUCAAAGUUCUAUUUAAUCUUGACUAUUUAUGAAUAUUUUAAAUUUUAAAAUUAUAUUUAUUUGACGUUGUGUUUGUAUUGCAUAAUUUAUAAUUAAUUUAUUUUGAAUUUAAAUUAUGUUUGUUGAUAUAUAUAUAUAUAUAUGAACAGUACAACCCUGAAACGGCACGCCAAAACGUUCCGAAACCGAAAUAUUCCAUUCCAAUUGAAAAAGCGAAACACCUACAAAAUUGAUAGCCUUGGUUUUACGUUUUUGAGAAGGAAAAUUAAAUGCUUAAAUGAUAAGAGCCAUAAGAUUUUAAAAAUAUAUAUGAGAAAAACAAGUUAAAAUACUGUAACAAUAGACUCACACCGAGAGGGGGUUUGAUAACCGAGAGGGGGUUUGAUGGCAUUUUUUACUAUUUGUUUUUUAUUAAUAUGGGUGUUCAGGAUAGCUUGCGUGUACCUCAACUAAUCCCACGAGCCCUGAAGUUAAUGACCAUGUAAGCCUCCAGUGGCCCUGAGGUUUGUGAAACUCAAACUGGUGAUCUUUAGGGAGUAAAUUCAAAACCUGACCAGUUGAGCUACACCCCUCAGGAUUGACAUUUUUUACUACUUAAUUAUUUGGGUCGUGGCUCUUAUAAUAUCAAGUUGCUAAACUUUGUCCUUGAAUUAUAAUAUUUUGGUUUUCAUCAUUAUUCUCUUGAAGGUAUUUAAAUUUCAUUUUUUAACUCUUACUUGAAAGAAGAUUUAUAAAUACAUUUGAUUAGAAAUAAUUAUUUGAUUUAAAUAAAAAAAAUUAUAUAAAAUCAAAAUCAAAAUUUUACUUUAAUCAAUUCUCUUAAAGAAACAAAAAAAAAAGGUUAAUAAAAAAAAAAGGUUAAAGAAAAGGAAACUUUCCUCAUUACUGCAGGCGUAGAAAAGCCACAAUAUAAAAGAAGAGAAACGGGGUCUGAAAAACAGAGUGGAGAGACACGUAGAAACCCUAUAACAUAGCAAAGAAAAACAGAGGAGGCGAUACCAACAGGAACAAAAAGAACAGAGGCAAAAAUAUUGAAGACUGGGAGGACAACUAUCUAUUCCAUUUAAAUUCUAUGCUUUUGAGUGAUGUUCAUCGUAUCAAGUUUGUUUCUCUUUAAUUUAACUAUGGAGUAGACUUUUAUUCUGGGAUUUUUUAUGUAACCUUACUAUGAAUAUGUGAACAAUUUCUUCGAUUGAAUUAUUACAUUAAGAUGUUGAGUAUUUCAUUCUAUGUGUAAUGCUUGCGUGUGUUUGGCCAACAUCUGCAUGAUUUAGAAUUCAAUUUGAAACUGAGAAGUGAUAAUUGUUUUAGCUAUUGUUUGAAAUACCUUAAGAAAUCUAUAGGAUAGAGAUAUCUUAGGAACUUUUGUAAUCGUUACAGGUUUUACAGUACUUAAUAAAUUUCGACAAGUUCAGAACUUUCGUAGAGUAUAUGAAAUUUGUUUGUCGAAAUAAUUUAUUGAUGCUCGAGAGAGAUUAAUAUUUACAUUAGAAAAACCUGAUUAUCAACAUUAGGAGUAAUUAAUUUAAUCGAGAAAGUUCACAUAGGCAUAGUUACUGUAAGUCAGAAAUCCUAGAACCAGUACAAUUGAAUUCAUUAAUAUUUAAUCAUUUGGUUGUUUGUUUUUUAAUCAUUACUUUUUGUUUCAUAAACUAUCUCAUUUGAUUCCUCAAAUAGAUCAUAAUUUAAAAGAAUUUGAUAAUUAGUAGUAAUUUUUACAAAUCCUCGUAGGAUGAUACUCUACUCAUCACUUUAUUACUUGUUACGAUUCGUGAACUUGCGAAAUUAACCAACAACGAGAUAGUCCCAACGCUUGAUCAAGAUACCCUUGUUUUCUUAAGCCAUCAAGCAAAUUAAGUUGAGUAGGUCAUUAAAUCUGGGAAAUGGCUUUGGGCAUGUAUAUCCUCGAAAAGCUCUUUGGCUUCCAAAACUAUCCCUGCCUGAAACAAGCCACUUAUAAAAGUGGUAUAAUUAACAAUGUGAAACAAGCCACUUAUGAUCCGAUAUAUCGCCUUCUUUUUCUUCUUUCCUCUAGAUGCAUAGCAUUAUGCUUGCAGAAAACGGAUCUGAAAUGUUUAUCUACAGAUGCAAAAAAUAUACUGAAACACCAAACCUAAUAUCCAUGAUGGUUGUUUUCUUUUGAACAACAGAUACAAGAUGCUUGAAUAGGACAUGAAAAAAAUACAGAUAAUAGAAGAUUCUAAAUUCACUCGAGAAAUUAUUCAUCACCUAAAUAUCCUAACUCUACUUAUUACUAUAUGCAUGCUUGGAAAGUGUAUGCAAGCACCAGCACAUGCUCAAAAGUAAAUGCUAAGAAGAGGGGAGUAUGGAAAAGUGAUUUUCAAAAACCUAAACGCUCACCUCCUCCUUAGUCUGUUCUGAACGUUGUUAAUUACACAAUUUUCUGUCAUACUCCUCGGCUUCAUUGAUGGCAUUUCUCCUGCAAAAAAUGGGUGUGAAAUGUUUAUCCACGUGAACAUUAUGCAAGCUGUUUAACAACAGUUUGUAGUCUUGAUGUCUCAGUCACAUACAACAAACAAGAAAGAAAAGUAUGACUUGAUUCUAGAAACUGAGGAGGCUAGUCAGUAGCAUCAGCACGUCUCAAACAAGGCAGUCGCUUUGAUUCUGAUGAAUAAUAUAUAAUAGUGCUCAAUGAACACUCCACGUGAGUAUACUUCAAUGUUUUAGUAUGGCAGACUUUGCAGGAAACCCUUAUUUAGGUCAUUGUGAAGGUAAAGUCCUGGCUAGUUAUACAAUUUUCUUAUUUUCUUUGGCAUUAUAUUUCCUAAUCUAUGAUUUUUCUCGAAUUUUUUACCAUUACAUGGUGUAAAGAUCAACUAUGUUACACCAUAUAUAGCAGAGUAUCAUGGCUACAUGGAUUACCAUGGACAUGUAAGAGUAAAAACGAUGGUCCUGGGUAUGUUGUUGCAUUUGCAUCCUUUAGCAUCUAAGGUUUUUUAGUGCCAAAACAGCAACUAAGAGGAUAUAAGUUGAGCAAAGAAACUAGGGAAUCAGCAACAGGUACAAGUGCAAACAACAGAGGAUCACACAUGAGUAAGUGCACUGGCAUGCACAGCAGCCACAUUCAAAUAGUUGGAGCCAGCAUUGACAGAAAACAACUAAGAUACCAUCAGCUCAACAUGACCAAAAAGGUGGUUCUUGCAAAGGCAUUCCAAAAAGGUAGCAAAAGUUUUGAGUUUUCCUAAGAAAAUUACGUAGAAUUCCAACAAUUUCUCAUAGGUUUCUGCAACAUGACAUGAAACACCACCAAUUCAAACUUAGGAGGCCAUUUUUCUUGGCAUCGUUUCAAGGGUGGACCAUGUGUUGAGUUCUGGCCGACUGUCGACCGUAAGAAGUAGUGACUUUGCAGUCAAACCAAAGUCACCUUACAUAAACUCAUCCUUCAUAAUCCACGCAUAUAGAAGAUCGGAAUCUUCCAUCAACAUCAAUGAUGAUCGUACCUUUAUGUUAAGCACACGUGAAAUGUGAAUUAGAAGCUCUUCUUUCCCUAAAGUAUCAAUCCCAAUAACGAUGUCAUGCUCCGAAUGAGAAGCAAUGAUAUCAAUAACUUGUCAUUACCAAGUAAUUAAACCAGUAAGAAAAGUUGUAUAACUGAUCUGUUUCCUAUUUUGAAGCACUAUAAUCUCUGCCAAGCCCAUAAACUCAAAAUAAAUCUACUUACUUUCAUGAUCACUCCUAAGACACGAAUACUAAUCAAUUGCUCACUAUAUUUUUUCAUUUUCAACACCAACAAUAUUUAGCUCUUUAUCCAUGCUUCAUCCCUAUUAACCAGUAUCCAUUCCCCGCAAUGCACAUUAAUCGUCAGCACCUACCAAAAAACACUCAAAGAAAGAACUGUUAUGUGAACAAGAAAUAUGUAAAUCCUACCUACUGAGCAGCAACUUCUCGAGUGGGAAAAUCAAAAGACGGAUUACAAUACGUAUUAUCCAAGUAAAGAACAUCAGUCGUCUCAUUCUUGAGAACAUUAAGUAGCCUACUCCUCGCAUCCUUUGCCCUCUCGUUAUCAACUUCCCAUUGAAAAUCCCCCGUAUACAUCAAGCAUCCAAACUCCCCGCGAAACAAAAACAUGACCCCUCCUGUUACAGUUCAAUCCCAUCAAAUCUCCAUAGCCAACCAUCCAAAAAGUGAUUUCCAGAAGGUAAUGAUUUCUUUUUCUGAAAUUGAUUCCCAAAAUAUCUCAUGCAUUGCGAUUGAAUAAGCAAGCGAACUCGGCCGGUGGGUUCUGGGAUAAAAAAUAAAGCAUAAAAAAAUUGGCUUACCAGGGCAAUGGUGGGCGUCGAGAGCCAUGACAUGAGCGGUGAUUUGAGAUCCGAUGGUCGGAGAAAUGAGAGAAAAAAAAUGCCUAAAAUAAAAAAAUUAAUAAUUAUAAGCUAAUUAAUAUUUAUAUAUCGUAUAAAAAUUUUGAAUUAUCUAAAUUUAAUCUUAAAAUAGCCUAAAAAAAUAGGAAAUUCAUGUUUAUUUGUUUUGCAUUAAGAGACCUUUCACCACUCAUUCACUGUUUUAUUAUUCACAUAUUGUUCAUUGCUUUUUUAUUUUAUUUUGAUUCUUAAUUUUUUUUUUUUCAAUUGUAUUUUUUAUAGCUAAAUUAAUAAUCAAUUUCUUAUAAUUUACAUUUAAGAGUCAAAGUUCUAAGUUAGAUGAUUAAAGUUCAAAACACAGAAAAACCAAGGGACCAAUAAUUACUUUAAGCAAACAAAAAAAGUUUUUUUAGUCCAAAAAAAAAAGUUCUGGUGGUUUUUUUCAUCGAUAAUUCCAGAAAAAUUACAUCUAUACUUGGAGAGCCUUUUAAUAUCCAGUUUAAUUCUUGGUUUUUUGUUGUUUUGGGGUUGGAAAAGAGGUAAUUAAGGGUUGUGGGGGUGUUUUAGCCUUUUUCUAUUUUUUUCUCCUCCUUAAAAUUGUCUCAAAAUGGGCUUCGGAGGUAAAACCUAACUGAUUUUUCUUCUUCUUUUUUUAAUAUUAUUGGGCCAUGCUUAUCCAGCACAAGCCUAUUUCUAUACAAACCUAGUAUGCUUCCAACCCAAUUUUUCUUAAUACCUUUCCUUUUCAAUGAUUUAUUGUUUUCUUAAUAUCAAUAUUAUUACAAUACUUAAUGAUUAUUUUCAUGAUUUUAGCUUUUUUAUUUAUUAAAAAUUAGUGUAGAAAGAUAAUCAUUAUGGUAAAAAUAACGAUAUUAAUCAAUUUUUUCUAUAAUAAUUGAGGCUUGAGGAUAGAUAAUAUAUAAUACUAAAAUAGAGUUAAUAUGAUAACUAUUUUUUUCUCUUAAUAAAUUCAACAUUGACUUUAGAUUAAUAUUCAAAAUAAUAAGGAUUUAUUUGUUGAUAAUUUAUCAUUUCAAGUUUUUAUUAUUUUUGGCGAAUUAUGUGUUGGUUCAAAAUUGAUCAUGUUUCUUAAUUAAUAUUUUCAUUUUUCUAUGUAAAUUAAUAUUUUAUUUCAUAUGAUAAAAAUAAAAAUAAUAUUCUAAUAAAUGGAUACAACAAGUUUUUAGUGAAAUGAUUUAUGAGGCUUAAUUCUAGACACCUUUAGUUACACCACUCUACUCUUAUAAAAGGCUUGUUUAAGCCCUCGUUUGAUAUUGUAUUUUAAAUAGGGUUUAGGUAAAAUUUAAAUAUAUUUUUUUAUAUUUUAAUGCAUUUCCGAGUUAAAAAUAUUUUAAAAAAUAAUCACUACUACCUAACGCGGGGUUUGGAAGGAUAUGAUUGCCAAGGGCAUCCCAUGCAGAUUUGAUGACUUACUCAACGCGUAAUGGCUUUUGUGAAGUUCAUCAAGGGGAAAAGGUGACGUAAUAGCUUCAUACAAGGUAUUAUUAGUCUAGUCGAAGUCUGGAACAAGCCACCAAUCACUGGCAUUUGUUUCUUGUGGGUUAUAAACUGAUCAUACAGGGAGACUUAUAUGUCUGUCAGCAUGUGGUUUUAAUCCCAUAAUCAAGUAUCAUGUAUUUAUUGUUCAAGACAAAACAAUCAUCCUGUGGUAUUCCUUUUUUUGCUGGCAAAAUGCAAUGGAUCUAGGGGAAAGGGAGGAAAGAGAGGUGAAAGAUUAGAUCGUGAAUGAAGCUGAAGAUUGUAAACAAGCUACAAAGUGUAAUGUUCCUAAAAUAAAUCACUCAUACUAUCUAGUACUUGCACUCACUUCACUGUGUGUAGCACUCAACCUUAUUGUGUUUAGCACUCAAUCUAAAAAAAAAAAAUUGCCUCAUAGCUUGUAGGAAUUAAGCUCUGAUACCACUAUUAAAGCUGCAAAUAAAUGUAUAACAAUAGGAGCAAAGAAUAGAGGGAUAAAUUGUCAUAAAUCUGAUAGAAUGGUAGAUAAUUUAACCUUUAAUUGACUAUUAUUUACUUGUGCUUAAUAAAUCUUUCAAAUAUGAUUGUUUAAAAAAUUUAAGUGGCAAAUGAUGGUGCAAUGUUUUUAUUAAAAAAAAAACUAGCAUGUAUAUUGCACACGUUAGCAUUCCAACCAUUUUGGUUUGCCAAAAAAUUAGAAAUCAUAGCUAUUUAACCCUAAAUAGUAAGAAACCUUGAAUUGCAGACCCUGACCCUAUCCUUACUUACCUCAUUUUGUCUGAUCUUAUACCAACACACACAUUUAUGUAUUUUUAAGUUCCCAAGUCAUCCACACAAACUUUCCAUGCAUGCAAUAUGUUCUAUGCAUGAAGUGCUUUCUCUAUAUAGUCUUAACACCAUUUUUCUAGCUAAUGGUUAUUUUUUGGUAUUUAAUAUCGAUAUUUUCACUAAUAGCACAUACAUAUAGCACAACAACUAGCAACCAACUGAUGACUCUGCUUUUUAAGAAAAUUUACCAAUAAUCUGAUUAUGAAUCAUUUAAAAGCAAUAGAAAAGGUACUCAAAUAUUUGGGGUACACAUUGGACUAUGGAUAAUAUUGUGCUAGUUACCCUAGAGUACUAGAAGGGUAUAGUGAUGCAUGUUAGAUAUCUAAUACUAAGAAUUCAAAAUCCACUAGUGGAUAUGUCUUCACACUUGGUGGAGUAAUUAUGUCCUAAAACUCCUCUUAGAAAAAAAUUGUAUCAUAAGUUACAUGAUGAAAUCAAAGUUUAUUGUUCUUGAUAAAAGUGAAGAGGUAAUCGAGAGGCUUUGAAAUUGCUUAGAGGAUAUUCUAUGCUGGCCAAAAUCAAUGCUAGUAAUUUAUGUCUAUUGCAACAACCAGUCUUGAGUUUGAAGCAAUAUAUAAUGCUCAAUCUAGACAUAUAAAUUAUUGACAUAAUACCUUUAAUUAAAUACUUGUUAUCAAAUGAAAUUAUUUUCAUUGGCUAUGGAAAUCCAAAGUAAAAUAUUGCAAACCCAUUGACCAAAGAUUUAUUGAUAGAUCUUAUGUAUAAUUCAUCAAAGGGUAUAGGUUUAAAAAAAAUUAAAAUAAAAAGAGUGUAAUGAUGGUGAGAACAACUAGUUGAUUAGAGAUCUCAAAAUCCACGUUCAAAUAGAAAACUAAGUCAUAUAAUAUUUUUGGUAGCAUUAAAAAAUUAUUAUUUCCUACUUAUUCAUAUGAUGAAAUAGGUGGUAGUUGUAGUGUGAUAAAAGGGUGAGUUGUGCACUUAUUUAUUUUUAUAUAUUGGUAUACCAAGUAGAGUAUAAAUGAACACUUUUAAUGAAAAAUCACAUAUAUAAGUUAGAAAUGUGGUCAUUUCUUUGAGAACUUUAAUGAAGGAAAAUUUCUAUAAAACAUCCAUAAAUCUAGGAUUUAUUUAGUGCCAAAAUAAACAUAAUAAUGAGAGCCAAAGUAAAUAUCUAGAUAGAAAACUAUGUGAAUAUUGUUGUCAUGGUUUACACCAAAGGUUAAAAGUUUAAGACAUCGCCUUCUCUAUUUAAUCGAGUAAAUCUAAUAGUUUUUCACUAAGAAAUAUUUAAAGUUAAAAGAAACCUAUCUUGAUGUGAUGAUCUACCAAAUUAGUAUCUCUCUAUAAAUUUUGAAGUCUUUUAUACUACUUAGACAAUUUUCAUUCAAAUGAAGGAUUGUUGAAAUUUAUUCUAAUAAAACAUGAUUAAAAAGCAUCUCUAAGGUCAAAUUAAAAGUAGAGUCCACUCAUUUUUAAGGUCAAAUCUUUAUUAAAAAGUGGAGCCCAACAAAACUUCAUUAAUAUGAAACAUUAACAUGAUUAAAAUAAGUUAUGGGUAAAUGAGAAAUUGAUCUCACAAAACUAUUGGUUGACAUAUUUUUAUAAAAUCAAAAACCCUCUAUGCAACAUAGAAAAGAAAAUAUAAAUAUAUUUUUUAGUUUAUAUAGUGGGAUGUUGAGGAGUCAUAAAUGAGUCUUAGCAAAGUAGUAUGGGUUUAACCCAUAAACACAUGAUCAAAUUAGCUAAGCUAUGGCUCUAUUAUAGAAUGUACUUAUAUAGAAAAUAUUGUAUAUAGGAAAUAUUGUAGACAUACUCUUGUGUGGUAACCUCCACCAUUACUAUUGUAUAUUGCCCUACAUAUAUAUAUAUAUAUAUAUAUAUAUAUAUAUAUAUAUAUAUAUAUAUAGAAAGGGUUGGCUAACCAUUAGGUUAAGCCUCCCAAUUAUUCUCAACUUGGUAUCAGAGCCUUCUAUCGUCAGAACUCUUUUCUCCCUUCCUCCCUUUGCAGCCGGCCCUCUCUUUAUUUUCUCUACAUGGAUUCUACUGCUGCCGCCGACUUCUCCCUCUCCACAGGUGGUGCAGCACAGCCGGCCAACCAUCCCCAAGCUGCUGCCGCCGGUGCUUUUUCUUCCCCACAGCAGCCUCCACUUGUAGAGCUUGUCUCUGAUUCUUCCUCCCACGUCCCUGUCGUUCCUUUACCUCUCAUGGGAACCCACACUACAACUAUUGUUCCUUUAGCGAACACUCACCAAGUUGUUUCGCUAAAACUUACGAACACAAAUUAUCUAUAUUGGAGAAUGCAGAUGAAGCCAUAUCUCCUUGGUCAAGGUGUUUUUCACUUUGUUGACGGCUCAAUGCCGUGUCCUCCAUCUCAUAUUUUUGACAACUCUGCUGGUUCUUCCUCUAUCAUCAGCCUUUCUUUUCUUCGUUGGAAGCAACAGGAUCAACUUAUUUUGAGUGCUUUGCUCUCCUCUCUCUCCGUGGAUGUGUUGCAUCUCGUGGUAGAUUGUUCUACUUCGCAUUGUGUUUGGCGCACUCUUGAGAAAGCGCUUGCCUCUCCGUCUAAUUCUCGCAUCAUGCAACUUCAUGGCUCCUUUCAAGACCUUCGGCAAGGUGACUCAUCGGUUAGUCUAUACAUGCAGCAAGCCAAAUCGUUAUUUGACGAAUUGGUUGCUGCUGGUCGCCCCAUGUCUCUUGAAGAUUUCAACCUUUAUGUGUUUCGUGGCCUUCGUGGUGAGUUCAAAGACUUGGUAACGAGUCUCAUAACCAAAGCAGAACCACUAUCCUAUGCUGAUCUUCACAGCCACCUUCUUACCCAUGAGUUUCUGCACAAGAACUCUUUCCAUUCCAUGGCUGCCGCUCCCUCUCUGUUGUCUUCUUCUUCUCUGCCGCAGCAGCUACCUCUGCUGCCAACACCACAGUUUUCUGCACAUCAUGCUAUGUCUCAUCACAGCCCCAACUUCAGCCGCAACAGGGGUCGCUCUAGAGGUAAUUGGCGUCCCCACAGCAACCGUUCUACUCCCCAAAACAGGGGCCACUCUGUUGCAGAUUGGCGGCCAAACCACUGGCAACCAACCAGACGCCAUUCCAGUGUUGGGCAGUGGUCUGGACAGCAGCAUGAACGCUGCCAAUUGUGCUCCGGUUUUGGGCACACAGCUCCUCAUUGUUCCCAAUUUCGUAGCAGCUCUCCGCAGCCCUCUACUCAUCUUGUUGUUGGGAAUAUCUCUGUUGCGACUUGGUUCCCCGACACCGACACAAAUCAACACGUCACACCUGAUCUUGGAACUCUGACCGAUUUUUCACCCUAUCUUGGUAAUGAUUAUUUGCAUGUUAGUGACGGUAAGGGCCUUGACAUAUCCCAUAUUGGACAUACUACAUUACAUUCCCCAAAACGCAUGUUUGCAUUAUCUAAUGUUCUCCAUGUGCCUCACAUUACCAAACCGUUGUUAUCUGUUCAAAAAUUAUGUCGUGAUAAUCGUGUUUAUUUUGAAUUUCACGCUUCUAUAUUUUAUGUGAAGGAUCUCGUCACCAAGGAAGUUCUCCUUUCCGGUCAGAGUCAUGAUGGCCUUUAUGUCCUCUCCGAGUCUUCUGUCACGUCAGUUCCUCAAGCUUUUUGGUCUCCUUGCAUCUCCGCGACUGCCGACCUGUGGCAUCGUCGUUUGGGUCAUCCAACCCCUCACAUUUUCAAUUUGUUAGUUUCCGGCAAUAAAAUCGUAUGUACUUCUAGACAUUCUCUUACUCAGUGUCAAGCUUGUCCUUUAGGAAAGUCGUCUCGUUUGUCAUUACGACCUACGGGUCACAAAACUUCUGCCCCACUUGAAUUAAUUUUUAGUGAUGUUUGGGGUCCUACCCCUAUAUUUUCUUCUGAUGGCUUCCGCUAUUUUGUUAUUUUUGUCAAUGCGCAUACCAAACAUAUAUGGUAUUAUCUGCUUGUUGCGAAAUCUGAUGUUUUUUCCACUUUUCAACGUUUUCAAACACUUGUUGAGCGUCAGUUUUCUCUUAAAAUUAAAUCUGUUCAAACUUAUUGGGGCAGUGAAUAUCAUAAAUUAAAUAAAUUUUUUCAGACCAUUGGUAUUCAUCAUCGGUUAAUUUGUCCUCAUACUCAUGAACAAAAUGGCACUGUUGAACGUCGUCAUCGACAUAUUGUCGAAACUGGCCUAACCCUUUUAGGCCGGUCUAGUGCCCCAUUGCGAUUUUGGAACUAUGCUUUUGAAUCAUCGGUCUACCUUAUUAAUCGCAUGCCUACUCUUGUUCUCCAAAAUACAUCUCCGUUUGAGUGUCUGUUUCGACGCACUCCUGAUUAUAACUUCCUACGUACUUUUGGGUGUCUUUGUUUUCCCUUUUUGCGUCCAUAUCAUACUCAUAAAUUAGAUUUCCGGUCUUCUCCUUGUGUGUUUUUAGGUUAUAGCUCAUCCCAUCUUGGUUAUCGUUGUCUUGACUUAGAGUCUGAUCGUAUUUAUGUCUUUCAUCAUGUUCGUUUUCAUGAAAAUGUCUUUCCUUUUGCGAAGUCUAAACAGGUAACAUCCUCACCGGUACCUCCCACCCCACCAACCUAUCUUCCAUCCUUGAACCCUCCUCCAUCCUUUCAGCCUACUACUUACCAAACCGGCCCCAACCACAACCCAAUUCUGCCCUCUACCGCACCCCACCAGCCUACCCUUUUGCCCAUAGAUUCUGCCACCCCUUCAUCACCAUCCCACACUGCCAUACUGUCACCAUAUGCUUGUAUUUCCAAUGAUCAUUGUGCAGGAACAGGUUCUCCAUCACCGGAUGCGCAUGUUCUCAGGUCUGCUGCAACAGAGCAGCCCAGUUCUGCAGCAGCCUCACCAGUGUCUGCAGUGCAGACCAGUCCCUCCACUACUUCUCCAGCUGGUCUGCAGCUCUAUGUAGACCUCUCCUCAUAUCCUCUUCAGCAUCUUCUAGGUACAGGUCACACUUCUCCAUGCCCAGCUGCUCGUCAACAUCCCAUGGUUCUUCGUCUAAGGCAGCCCAAGACAGUACUGUCCACAGCCACUGCCGCAACCUCUGUUGUCUCCUUCAGCUGGGUAAUUUCUCCUCCCUCUCAUGAGCCACUUGUUUUUAAUAAUGCUAACAGAUAUGAGGCGUGGCAUAGUGCUAUGCAUGAGGAAAUUCAGGCCUUACGCGCAAACAGAACUUGGACCUUAGUGUUGUUUCACCCCUCCAUGAAUGUUGUUGGUAGUCGGUGGGUAUACAAGAUUAAACGCAGAUCUGAUGGAAGCAUCGAGAGGUAUAAGGCGCGUCUGGUUGCUAGAGGUUUCACUCAGCAAGAAGGUAUUGAUUACUCUGAAACCUUUAGUCCAGUCAUCAAACAGGCGACCGUCAGACUAGUCUUCUCCAUUGCAGUUUCGUGUGGUUGGAAAAUUCAUCAGCUUGACAUCCAUAAUGCCUUCCUCAAUGGUGUUCUUGACGAGGAGGUCUACAUGAAACAACCUCCAGGUUUUGUUGAUUCUGCUCUCCCUUCUCAUGUGUGCCGAUUGCAUAAAUCUCUAUAUGGUUUAAAACAGGCUCUGCGGGCUUGGUACACUCGUCUGAAUGAUUUUCUGUUAUCUAUUGGUUUCCGUGCCUCUAAGGUGGAUACCUCAUUGUUUAUCUUCUCUAUUGGUGCUGAUAUUUGUUAUCUUCUGGUCUACGUUGAUGAUAUUCUGCUUACGGGUAGUAACUCUCUUCUGCUCCAACGCCUCAUUCAGCUACUGAGCUCAGAAUUUAAGCUUCGCGACUUGGGUUCUGUUCAUUAUUUUUUGGGUAUUGAGGUUCAGUCUACUAGUAUGGGUCUUAUGCUCCACCAGCAUAAAUAUAUACUUGACAUCCUCACUCGAGCUGGUAUGUUAUCUUGCAAACCUGUUGAUACUCCUAUCUCUACAUCCAAAGCUACCAUUCUGCCCGAUCCGUUGUUUUCUGAUGCUACCCGCUUUCGUCAAAUUGUGGGUGCUCUUCAGUAUCUCACUUUUAUGCGCCCAGAUAUUUGCUUUGUUGUUAACAGAGUCUGUCAGUUUAUGCAUGCUCCUACAGAUUCUCAUUGGGUUGCCAUGAAACGCAUCUUGCGUUAUCUUCGGGGUACGACAUCACAUGGCUUACAUAUUACUCGCAGUUCUUCUUUUGCCUUACAUGGUUUUACAGAUGUAGAUUGGGCAGGCAGUGUUGAGGAUAGAAAAUCUACGGGUGGUUACCUUGUGUUUUUUUGUCAGACGCCGAUUUCGUGGAAAUCCGGUAAGCAACGCACAGUUACUCGCUCUUCUACUGAAGCUGAGUACAAAGCCUUAGCUGAUGGCACUGCUGAGGUUAUUUGGCUUCAGUACUUAUUAACAGAUCUCCAGAUUCCGUCUGCUUCUGCUCCUAUUAUCUGGUGUGACAACCUUGCUGCCACUUAUUUGUCUGUGAAUCCUGUUUUUCAUGCUCGCACAAAACAUGUUAAGGUCGAUUAUCAUUUUGUCCGAGAUAGAGUUGCAAAGAAGGAGAUUCAGAUUCGUUUUAUUUCCUCCCAGGAUCAACUUGCCGAUGUCUUCACUAAGCCACUUCCUACUUCUUCGUUUACUGCUUUUCGUUUCAAGCUUCGGGUUGAUCCUCCACCCUCAACUUGAGGGGGCAUAUUAUAGAAUGUACUUAUAUAGGAAAUGUUGUAUAUAGAAAAUAUUGUAGACAUACUCUUGUGUGGUAACCUCUACCAUUACUAUUGUAUAUUGCCCUACAUAUAUAUAUAUAUAUAUAUAUAUAUAUAUAUAGAAAGGGUUGGCUAACCAUUAGGUUAAGCCUCCCAAUUAUUCUCAACUGACUCGAGCUCCUUGUUCCAAGUUUUGGGUCCUUAGUCUUAGUUUUAGGUUAUUUUUUGCUAACAUAUUUUGAUCUUGAAUUUGGGUUUAUUAUAAAAUAACUCUUUGGCUCAUAAAUAAUUAUUUUUUGCUAGCCCAUUGUUUCGUCCAAUCCAGCCCAUGAAUCUAAUUAGUUUUCUUCAAGAAGAGUUUCUUUAAAUCGUAUUAGUUUUUUUCAAAUCAGAAUCAUCAAAUUUAAAGCCAAAACAUUCAGGUUUAAUUUUGAUUUUAUGAUGGUUAAUCAAAGUUAAUAAUGCUGAAAAUCAAUUCUAGUAAUCAUCAUUAUUAAUUCUUUAUCAGUUUUAAUUCCAAAGUCCAUUAUAAAAAAAAAAAAAGAUAAAUGAAGAGUUUCUUGCAUUGUUUAUCCUGAUUUUAUAUAUUCUUCCUCACCUCAGUUUUUAAAGUUAUCUCUACACUUUUUGAACUUUGUUUUUCCUCCUAAUCUAGAGUUUAGACUCAAUUUUAUUAAGAAAUAAUUGAGUUUAAAUAAGGUGUUGUUAUUGUUGUUGGAAUCUUAAAAGAUAUAUUGUAAACAUUUUAGUUGCACUAAGUGAGGAACAAUAAAACAUUAAGGAUAAAGAAUUUAUUAUAAUGAUGAUGACAACAACACUAGCAUCAACAACAAUAGCGGCGGCGGCGGCGGCGGCGGCGGCGGCGGCAGCGGCGGCAAUUUUAUUAUUUUACACAUAAAUAUUAUUUUGGACAAAAUCAUAAUAUCAUGAAUUUUCACACUUAAGCGUAACAAAUGCAAAACAUUACUAAGAUCUUAUCAAGGAUAAAGCUCAAUGAGAGCUCUUGUGCCUAGCACAGGGUGUAUCUUAUAAUUGAGGAAACCAGCAUCAAAGAAGAGCUUAGCCCACUCCUUUUCAUUUCUCUCCAUGCCACCAACAACCACCAUCAUUUGUAGAUCAAAAAACAGCUGCGUUUCAAUUGACCCCUCAUCUCCAUUCAGGUUCUCUCUCACCAUAUCUAUAAUUAUCACCUUCCCAGCUUUCUGUUGUCCCUUACUCAUAAUUGCUUGUUUGCAUCGUUUAAGUAUUUUCACGCAGUCUUCAUCACUCCAGUUAUGUAGCAUCCACUGUUUGUCAUUUGCCAUAAGAUAUGUAGCAUGAAUAAAUGAAGACGGAAAAAAAUCCUCAAGGAAAUAGAAAACAUAAGAUGCACAUAUAUAAAAACUCCGUAGUAUAGAGUUUUGGGUUAGAGAUGAUGUCCAUCUUUGAAUAUAAAUCUUCAUAUGCAUGUGUACACAGAGGUCAGGAAUGGAAUAGUUUAUAUAUGUUUCAAAAUAUAAGCUCAAGGACGCGCGGACGUGGGUAUAUAAGCACCUCUCAAACAAAAACUAAUAAAAGAUGUUUAUA